rnacentral:lncRNA from 1 species
CGGAAGUAACUCAACAUAAGUCAGAAGUGAUUUGUGCUGAAAUCGGAAUGAAAAUAGAAGAUCUAGAAUUUUCUGUUGGAAACGGUACAGAUAAAUUAGCAGAAAAUGCACAGUCUCAGAAAAUUAUGAAAAUUGGAGGAUAAGUCACAAAUAUUUUUAUGAGGCUAGAUUUAAAGUUUCAUAUUUUUCUGACACCCGUAGAGUGAGAAAUAAAAUCCGACAGUUAUCUGAUAAAGAUUACAGUUCGGUACAAUUUUUGGUAACCAAAUGGGGUCGAAACUGAAAAUUUAAAAUAUAUUCUUACUCAGUACGUUAAACCGAGCCUGCCUGUCAAAUUUGAGCUCAAACGGACGUUCAGAAGGGCUCCAACGAAACUUAUCAGAUUUGAGGGACUAAACUGAAAGGUUGUGUAGUAGAGGGGCUGAUUUGUAAAGAGGGGAUUAAAUCCCUUUCUUCUUCUUCCUCCCAGCCGAACACAACCCGCACACACACACGCAACACACACGCAUGGAAAGGAAAAGAGAAAACCUCCCUUUCUCUCUCUAAAUCUCUCCCAAAAUCAAAGAAAUUGGUGGAGAUUGAAGUUGGAGAUGGAUCGUCUUCAUCUUCUUCAUCUUCUCCUUGGUUUGGAGCUAAAUUUGAGGUGAGUUUCUUGAGCCCUCUCAUGGUAGAUCUCUAAAGCUUUAUUUAUAAUCCAUAGAAAUGGUUUGUUUUGAUUCCUAGCAUGCUAAAUAGAUGAUAAAUGCUAGAAUCUAGGAUCAAUUUAGUUAAUUCUUGCAAAAAAUGGAACCUAUGGUUCAAAAUGCAAAUUUUGCUACUAGUAGGGUUUGAUCUCAUUUGACCCUCUGUAAACCUAAUUGCUAGGUAAACGAACGCGUCGGCGAAGUCGGUUCGGCGAUUCGUCGAGCCGUUGUAAAGUUAUUAAAGGAACGGACGUUUAGGCUUCGUUUCCGCCUGGAGAGCCGAGGCGACAUCAUAUACUCAUGAAAACGGAUUUGAAGCAUCGUGGCACAUAACCGAAGACCUUUAAUUUUCGGAUCGUGAAUUGGAGGCCGUUCGGGUGGUCGCGCGAGAGAUCGGGCCAAACCGGGUGCCGGGUGCCGCGGGAGGCCGAUUGCAAGUGUCGACAAGCAAUCGGAAUGCGAAAUGAGGUGGGUUGUGCUCACCGAAGCGACUAGGUCGCCUAUAUGUCUAAGAGUAAUGGUUUUCUAAUUGAUGCAUAUAGUUGUGUUGGUAGGCUUACAUGAUGAUAUGAAUGCUUGAAACAUACUAUGUAGUUGAGAUUACCUACCAAUGAGAUGAGAUGCAUAAUGAAUUAAAUGCUAAAAGAAUGCAUGAGAUAUUAAGUAUGGACUAUUUUGGAUAAUGACUAUAUGUAUGAUGACAUAUUAUGAAUUAACAUAUUGUGGAUUAUGUUAAAUAAAAAAACAUACUUGAUGACAUAUUGUCAUAUUGUGGAACAUAGUAGAUGGCAAUGUAUGCAUGUUGAUAUACCUUGAGAUAUGAGUUGACAUAUAUGCACGUUGAUGUAUUGUGGACUAUGUUAAAUAACAUAUGCAUGUUGAACUUGGGUCUAUAACUCUUGGAUGGUUAGAAAACUUUACGUUGGAAAACAAUGACGUAUGAACUAUGAUAUGUGACGUGGACAAUCUAUAUAUAUUAGAUCGAGUGGCAUAUGAUUAGUAUAGUGGAAACACUUAUGGCAUGUUGAACACUUAGAGAACAAGUGUGGUAUGAGUCCAAGAAUAAGUAGUGUAUAUGACACAAGUGAUAGUAAAGAAUGCAAAGAAAAGAAUGAUUGAAAUAUUAUGACAUUUCAACCCUAGAGUUUAGGGUCAUUUGAGCAUAGUCUUCCUAAAGUUAAGGAAUGGAUUGAACUUGGAGUCUUCAAAUGUAGGAUUGAUCAUACUCACCUUUAGUCCUUGCUCGAGGUUCUGGUAGCUCCCCCUCGGGCGAUGUGCUCCGGAGUCGACAUCACUGGGUUGUAGCAGGUAUCUCCCCAGAGGACGGUCCUACCGGGUUGUAGCGGGUAUCUCCCCGGUUAAUCGGAUUUUGGGUUGGUGAGUUUGUUGAGGGCGAAACCUUCGGGUUAGCCAAGAGAUUGGGUAACAAGCACAUGAGCUGUAGCAAUAUCCUAGUUGAGUGGACUUAAGGCUGAGGUGCAAGUGAGACGUCCUUCGCCUCGAGCCUGGCUUUACGCGGUACUCCGCGAAUGAUUAACUCGAGACCGAGUCGGGUGGAUAGUUGAUAAAGGUAAAUGAGACCAUAUGAUCAGAACUGUAAUUGAUAUGAAUUUAAAAUAGUGGAAUAACUUCGAAGUCAAUUGAACGAGCUUUGAAUAGCAGGAUUAAAGUAGUAUCGAUUGAACUACUAAUUGGUUGCAUAAAUCGCAUGAUUUUCAUAUUGCAUAGUUGUAAGACAUGACAUGUAUUUCAAUUAUCGCAUAUAUAUAUAUAUCUGUUUGAUAUUUGUUGGACUAACAUGUUGCAGUGCCUCCUUGGACCUGUGGGUCGAGCUCUUCCCUUGGGUGGCCGUACCCACUGGGAACUAUAUUUAUAUAGUUCUCACCCCUGUGUUGUUUUUAGGGGUAUAGGUUCCCACGUGAGCGGCACGGCGGCGCGAGGAGAGGGCGUAGUUCCUUAGAUAGCGCCCUACCACCGAGGCCAGAGAUAGCGGUACCCCGAGUCAGCCUAGCUAGGGGUGUAGAAGAAAAGAAAAGGAAAGAAUAAACAAUGUUGUAACAACCUUGAUUGUAUUUGGAAGUUAAAUAUAAUAAGUAUUCGUGAUGUAAAAUGUAUCUAGUGAAUGCGAAUGCUUGUAAUAGCAAGUAGAUUAUGUUUUUAAUACUUCCUUAUACAAUCUUUGAUUGAAAUGUGUUCCUAGUUGGAACUUCGUACAUUGUAUCGAUUGCGACGCCUUGGACGUACAGGGGAGACUCUGUCCGCAGUGCCGGAGAAACCCUGUCCGUUCGGCGGUCUGUCGGCGUGCCGCGACUCGGCCAAAUAGGCGGGUGGUCGCGGGGCGUGACAUUAUGCAACCUUAAGAAGCAUGUUAGAGUUUGAAUGAUGAUAUAACUCCUUGAGGGUACCUAGUGAAUAGGUUAAGUAGAUAGUUUUUUAUAUGAUGACAACAUUAUACUUGUUAUAGGCAAAGUGAAUGGAACUUAGCAUUUCUUGCAUUAUACUUGUUGUAGACAAGGUAGUUGUGAUAUUGUGACAUAGAACAUAAUAAGGUCAUCAUGAAGCUAAACUUGGAGUAUUCGAUCUAGUUGGACAACUAGAAUUUAACAUGUGACACGAUAACUUGAUGCAUUAAGUUAGUAGAACAACUAGUGUUUGCCAUUGUGAUAUUACAUUCGAUCUAGGGUUCGAUAGUUAUAUUCCAUGUUUUAGACAUGAGGAAAAAAGAGUAAAAGCCCUUGGGGCGAACCCUAAUAGAGAUGAUUGCACGUAAUACUAGUGGAAUUGAUUAUUUGCAUCAUAAUACUUCUACUCCAUGUAGUGGGGAUAUUAGUGGAAAGACAUGUGCAUAAUAUGCAUUGUUGUAUUUGUGGACAUUUCAUAGUUCUCUUGCAUAUGGCAUUAGUACAUGUUUCUCUUGAUAAUUGUUGUAAUUGCAUGUCAUGAACCUUGUUGGAGAUUUGAAUAAAAUAGUGAACUAUCCUAGGUAGGAUAUUGUCAUAUGAACUAUGCAUGCUUUAGGUAUUAUAUGUGUUGGUAGAGACACACCACCAAAGUAGUUGUAAACAUGACAUUAAUGAUCUAGUACCCGACCGUCGAGUCGAUAUGUGAAAAUUUCAUGUUUUAGACAUGAUGAUUGAGUAUCCCAAAUUGUGGACCCUAUGCUAUGAUCACGCUUGCUUGCCUUUGUACUCAUUUGCAUAUACUUGUGAGGGUCACUCCUUACAAGCCGGCACUCCGGAGUUUAGCCUUGCGACGAUAGAUCGCCUGUGCGUGAUUGGGCGCCGAAGUGGGAUGUUGUGGGCAGAGUCUCUUUUCUUGCAGAAAAAAUGAUGACCCCCACGGGGCCACUAAGGCACGGCACGAGCCGGGAUGUUACCACGUGUACGUUCCUUGUAAAUUGGGUAUUGAGACUUAAUUUGACAUUAUACAUCACCGUAGUUGAUGCAUACAUAGUAGAUGUUCAUGCAUAUGGUUUGCUACCUUAUACUACUAUUUGAUGCAUACAUAGUAGUGGGACAUUUUGUGAGACAUUAUGACAUUAAUAACUUUAGUGGUAGUAAACCUAUAUUCUUGUGGACUAGUAUGUAUGCAUGGCUAGAAUAACAAUGAAAAACAUAAUUUACUCUUUGUAGCAUCAUGGAUAUUAUGAUUAUGCAUGUAAAUUGAUAUUGGCAUACAAUUGAACAUGCAUUAAAAUCGACAUUGACAUAGAGUUGAUCAAAUGAAAGUAGAACAUCAUAUACUUGAUAGUUAAUUCUUUAGUAGAGGCAUGACUAUGAUAUGAACAUGUUUAAAAUACUUUUUUUUUCAUAUAUUGCUUAAUUAUUCCCUUAUAGCAUGCCUCAGUUGACCUAGUAGUGUAUUUCGCUACUCUCGGCGGCUUACACACUGGAAACUAUUAUUUAAUAGUUCUCACCCCCAUUUGUUGUUGGUUUUUGUUUCAAAGCCUUCCGCGAUGGGAGAGGCUAGGGAUCGUGGCAAGGGGUUAGCGACUAGCUAGAGCCCCUACGGAGUUAUUUAGAUGGACCCGUUUUCAUCUUUCUUUUUGUAUCUUGUAGAAAGAUUUAAUAUGUUUAUGAUUUUAGAGAUGUUGUUAGUCUCUUGGAUUUAGUUGUUACACUUUGUAUAUUUGUGGAUAUCUUUGUGCUAGAAUAUUAGUGAUUUUAUAUUACUCGCUCUGAUAGCCUUGUUAGGACCUUAUCUUAUUCAUUUCUAGUUUUUGGUAGACGCCUUGUGUAUAUCGUGUUUGUUUGGUGUGCAUGGCAGGUCUGUGCACGCGCCGGGCGGGCUUCCGCUGGGUCCCGGGCCGUGACACAUAGGGCCAUUCGGAUGUUCGAAUAUUUACUUCUUCACACACUUGAUAUCUCGGAUAGGAUGUCCACUUGUUCCAAAUGCUAGACCAGGCUUUUCGAAAUGUUUCGGGUAUCCCGAAACACUAUCCUAGGCAUUCAGAAAGUCUGAGAGUUAAACUCUGACAUCUUUCAGCCACCAUUUCAAUUUAAAUCAUUUUCAAUUCAUUUUAAACUUAGCCCAAACUUUUCUAAACUUAUUUUAAUCAUGUCUAGCAUGAUUUGGAUUCACAUUUCGCCUAUUUGGCUAAAGUAUGGUAUAUUAUAUAGAGUUCAUUACAUCCCUCCCUCUUUAAAAGGAGGUACGUCCAAAAAUUGAAAUUCAUAUCUCAAGUGGACUUCCCAAAAAGUUGCAUAAAGGACUCCCAAAUAGUUCUCUCAAGCUCCUAUGUAGCUUCCUGCUCCUCAUGUUUGCUCCACAACACUUUGAUAUAUGAAAUGGAGAGAUUCAGCAACAGCUUCUCUUGUCCCAGCAAGGAUACUAUCUGGAUACUCAUCAUAGCUCAAAUUCUGCCACAACUCUAGUAGUGGAUAACAAAUUAUGUGUGUGAGAUCAGGUACAUACUUACGGAAUAGAGACACGUGAAAUAUGUUGUGUACUCCCGCCAAACUCGGGGGUGGCACAAUCCGAUAUGCCACAGGGUCAAUUCGUUCUAACACCUCAAAAUGUCCAAUGUAGCGAGGACUCAGUUUUCCUUGCAUUCCAAAAUGCUUCACUCCUUUUGUUGGAGAGACCUUCAAGUAUACAUGGUCCCUAAUGCUAAAAUUCAAUUCACAUUGGCACUUGUUGAAGUAACUCUUUAACUGGCUUUGCACCGUCAACAACUUUUGAUGCGCAAUGUGAACUUUCUCCUUGUCAAAAUGCUUCCCUCCUCUUGUUGGAGAGACCUUCAAGAACACAUGGUCCCUGAUAAUAAAUUCAAUUCAUAUUGGCACUUAUUGAAGUAACUCUUUUAUCGGCUUUGUGCUAUCAACAAUCUUUGAUGCGUAAAGUGAACUUUCUCCUCGGCCUCUUACACUAUGUCUGGGCCCAAGGUAGAUUUCUUGCCGACCACACUCUAUGCAACUAAGAUUGACAUUUUCUUCCAUACAAUAUUUCAUAGGGUGCUAUGCUGAUGCUCGAUUGGAAGUUAUUGUUGUGGGCAAAUUACGCAAUUAACAAGUACUGUUGUCAUCCGUCUCCACAACCUUAACAUUGGUCCACCUAACUCAUUAGUUAGCUUGGUGCAUUCAAGAGUCUACUAUAUGUCAUAUGACUUUUUUCUAUUUAUUGCACCAUCUCCGGAGCCAAAGUUGCGCCUUGACUGUCUUUACUCCCAAUUAAGUAAUAAGGCUUGAUGUCUCUCCUUAUAUAGGACUCUAAGUGAAACUUUUCCAUUACUCUAUAGGAAGCUUUCUUCCUAAAUGAGUUCUGCUGCAACUGAGCCUCUAUAUUCUCAACGAGGUUACACACUUGCCGACGUCCUUGUGUAUUUAAAUUACUUCAAAAAUUUAGCCUCCAGAACUCACAGAUGGCUUCCUACUAUACGUGGUUGCUAUAGCCGCUUCAACUAGCCCGACUUAACUUCUCACGGGGAGUAUACAAUCCUCCUAUCACAAAUGUCAUGAGUAGGCAUCAUGUCGUCCUUAUGACGAGCAAGCAUGGACACCACACCUACAAGUCCAAUUGCAACUCUGCGGUAAUGCCUAACUUGGAGUGCAGAUCUCCCUUGAUUCUAAGUACCUUCCUAUUCGAGAGGGUGCGAUCUUUCUUAAAUCUCCAUGAGAUCUAGUGUAAAAUAGAACCAACCUAGUGUAUGGUUGAGAUAUGAGGCAAAUUAGGUAAACAUGUAACUAAUAACAUAGUAGCAUCAUAGCAUAUUGUUAUAUAUAUAUGUGAGGCAUUGUACACUAUGAGAAAGUUUAGAUUUAGUGGCAUUUAUAAAUGUUGCUAAAUGAGUAAGAAAUAUAACUAAAUCUUUUAGCAACACUUAACUUUCAGUGUUGCCUAUGCCUGUGUUGUUGAAUCUUUUAGCAACAUAUGGAGAGAAUGUUGCUGAUGCUCAAGAAUUAGCAAUAGUUAAUAAAUGUUGCUAAAUAAAAAUUUUAAAUGGGCAACAAUUAAAUGGUGGUGCAUAUUGUUUAAUUAAUUAUUGUGUUAAUUUAGCUAUUAUAUUUUAAAUUAAAUAAAAAUAUUUCAUUAAUUAUAAAUUUUGAUAUUAAUUAAUUACAAUAUUAUUAAUUUUUUAUUAAUUAUUAUAAUCACAGUUUAUAAUAAUCAAAUGUUACUAAACAAUCACGUAUAAUAGUAUUUUGAAUUAUUAGUAAAAAUAUUUAUUAUGUUAACAUUAAUUAAUUAUUAUUUAAAAAAUUUAUGAUUAAUCGCUAAUAAUCGAAUAUAUUUUAAAAAAUAAUUACAACUAUAAUAAGAAAUUCUACUAGUUCUAUAGUACUCACAAUUUUUUCACUCAAUUGAUAGUCAAAAUGGACAACAACCAUAAAUACUAAAAACCUCAUGUAUAGCAUAAGACUAUCAAAACUUGUAAUAUAUAUAUUACAAAUCAAAAAACACAUUUGAUAUAAAACUAAAUGAGUUUCCUCAUAAUUACAAAUUUGAUCACGACAAAAUAAAAAAUUAGACAUCCUUAUUCGUUGUAGAAGUCUCCAAAACGCUUGAAUGAAAUAAUUUUGUAACCUUUAUUUGUUUACUGUGGUAUCCUUGGUGUACAGCAGUUGAGGCUUGUCGACAGCUCUGGAGAAUGUUGGAACAAGUCCGAGUCGCGUUGGUGUGAAAUAGACGCAAAACGGACUCAGCCGGGACGCGAGAGCAGGACUUGGCAUUGGAAUAAAUAAACAGCAGAUUUUCUACUUGUUGUACCGGUACAACCAUCAAGGCGUACCGGUACACUUUCUGUAUCGGUACAACAUCAGGGGUGUACCGGUACACUUCGACAGAUUUUGCGCAGCUGCUCUCGGGUUGCCAUUUGUACCGGUACAUUUGCCCGUGUACCCGUACACCUGAGUAGGUAAGGGGCUUUUUGGUAAUUUCGUACCUCGUACGUGUCACCACUCCACCCCUUCGCUAUUUACAUGUGUAGAGAGGCUGAGAGAGAGUAUUCUACCUGCUUCUUCUCCCAUCUCUCUCUAGCAUCGGCCGAGCAAAGAAGAGCUCAGGUGGAGUUCGAGUUUCGUCGACGUCGCGCCGUGGUGCCGUUCGAGCGUGUCUUCGUCGUCGUAGCAUCGCGAGGAGACUGGGCGAAGGUGCGAUUCCGCCGUUCUCGACGUCGCGCCGGAUUGGGAUUAGCUAUCGAGGUGGGUUAAUCGUCGAUUUGUCUUCUAAGUGUAUAGUUGGUUGACAUGUGUUGUUGUGUUGAUAGACUUUUCUCAGUUCAUGAAUUUUGGCAUAUUCCAUGUAAAAUCUGAAUUGAAGCUUCCUCGUUGCAUGUAUCUACAAGCACAUGUUGGACUGGAAUUUGACUUAGGAGAAAACAACGAUUAUGACCUAUUAUAUGCUUAAACUACCUGAUUUAGCUCUAGGAGCCGUUGUAAUUUUGUAUCGUCGCAGUAUCGGUGUGGUGGAUACUUCAGAUAGUUUAGAUUUUAGUUACGCUCGUGCUGGAAUGCCUAGCGUAUUUUUACAGUAGCAUUCAGAUUGUUCCGGACUGUUGGGUGCCGUCGGAGUUGACGGUGGACCCAUAUUGCUGUUUUGGCGUCAGAUUGUGCUGAGGGCACGUGACCUGUUGAUGGUUAGACCAGUUAGACUCGGUUACUGGACUUUGGCUUGUGAGAGAGCUCGACAGAGAUACGCUGCAUACUCGGUUCGGUAGCUCCCACGAGUGCCAUUCCGGAGACCAGCGUUGUGCUUUCGCGUGGGUGUCGUUCGUGCAGGUUGGAUUUGCUCUCCACGGACCGCUUAGGGUGGAGGUAGCUGUAUAGUCGCAACCGGGUGGGACCGGUGUGUUCACAGUCCCAGGGACAAGUAUGCUUACAGUCUCAGUUGGAUUGGGUCAGCAUUGACAUUUCCUCUAGUUGGUUAGUAUAGAGCGUGAUAGUGUAGUGACUUGUAGCUGUAGAUUUCCUUUCAGCAUUCUUAUACUAUCUUUGAUCCCUUCUGUAGAUUUAGUGGGUGGACCGAUGAUGUUGAGGGCGGUACCCACUGAGGACUACUUGUUUUUACAGUAGUUCUCACGCCUAGUUGUUAUCCCUUUUUUUGUAGAGCCUACUGUUCCGGCUGCUGCUUCCUCUGAGACCGAUUGUGGCAAGGGCUUUACCAGUUAGAGCCCUUCCUAGUUGCUGCCGUUCGAGAGGUUACCAGCUCCAGGUAGAGUGGUUUUUGCACUUCAUGUACAUACAGCUUAUGUAACUCACUAGAGUGAGCCUUUUGUACCUGGGUAUUCGUAUGUAUAUGGAACUGACUUUUGUUUACCUGUUUAUUUUCUAGCAGCUCUAUACUACUGUUUGUAGUAUUGUAUGUUUUACAGGUACAGCUAUCGCUUCGUAUACAGGAGAAAUUCUUUUGUAUACGGCGGAUUUGUCGGCGUGCCCGGGGAACGGGAUAUCCGGGGCGUGACAGAUUAAGUUGGUAUCAGAGCUUUGUAUUAGGUCGUUGGAACCUAGGAAACUUAAGUUGGCAAACCUUAGGAAAGCAAGACGCGAGAGGAGUGAUUUAUCGCGAAAGUCACUGAUUGAUUAUUCUAACUCCUCCUGGAGCGGAGGGAGUGAUUGAAGGAGUUGCUGUUUCGGUCCAGAAAAAUUAUGUUGGCUGCAGACGACAUAAUUUUGAGGAGAAAUAGGGCCGCCUUCUAGACUUUCGUUGAUUGGGUCGAGAGUGUUUGUUUGAUCUGACCCCGUUCUAUUUCUUGUAGCUAUGUAUCGUUACCGAGGUCGACCGUCUACGCGGGAUCGUGCACAGUUGACUCAGGAUCGUGCUGUACCUCCUGAGAUACCGGAGCAGGCAGAGGCGAGUGCACCCCCUGUUGUAGAGCAGAGGGCCCGACCGGAGGUGGAUGCACCUCCUGAUUUGAGUGCAAAGCUGGCCGCCUUCACGGAGGUGACGAGGCGGCAGGGCGGGUUGUUGGGAAGAUGUGUGAGAGGUUAGCUCCACCCCCGAGUUCAGCACCGAGAGCACCAGAGUCAUCAGCUCCACCCCCGACUACUCCGGCAGCAGUACCAGCCGCAGUUGUACCCCCGCCAGUGGAGAUUCCUGUGGCACCCGUUGUGCCUCCUAGAGGGCCGGUACAGAUGACUGAGGCCAAGCAGAAGCGGUUGACAGAGAGGUUGGCUCGUUUCCGCCGUUUUGAUCCACCGACCUUCGAUGGCAGUUGCACUGAGGCCUAGGUUGUUGAGGGCUGGGUCAGUGCAAUGGAGAAGAUAUUCGAGGAUUUGUUUAUUCCUGAGAGGGAGCAGGUGUCUUUGGGAGUACACUGCUUAGCAGGCGAUGCUCACGCCUGGUGGAGGAGGGUGAGACGAGACUAUGGAUUAGUGGCGUUGCAGCUGAGGUGGGACGAGUUUUGUGGAAUGCUGUUCGAGAUGUAUUUUCCCAACAGUGUGAAGCAGAAGCUCGAGGAGGAUCUGAAGAGAAUUCAGCAGGGCGAGCGGACAGUUCAGGAGUACAUUUGGAAGUUUACUCAACUCCUAAACUGUGUUCCGUUUGUGGCUCGAGACGAAGCGCACCGAGUUUACCUCUUUGAGCAGGGUUUGAGGCCCGAGAUCUUUCGGUUUGUUCAGGCACAGAGUUUGUGGACCUUGGACGCGUUGAUGGAGCAGGCUCUUUGGGUAGAGAGGGGUGAUGCCUCCAUUCGGGAGAGGACCCAGGCCGUGGGGCAGAGGCAGGACAGGAAGCGCCCUUUUCCAGAUAAUGCAGAACAGUCGAGCAGUAGGCGUCCGUCGAGACCACGACGAUCACGCUCUCAGGGUUAUAGGUCUUUGGGGCGUCAGCGUUCUGGGGCAUCCCGUCAGCAGGGACAGCCACCGAGGACACCGCAGUGCGUGAUCUGCGGGGGACCCUACUGGCCCCGGCAGUGCGAGCAGAGAGAGGGCAGGUGUUAUAGUUGCGGUCAGCCCGGGCAUAUGAGGUCAGCUUGUCCUCGAGCAGCACCACCAGCACCGUCCACAGCAUCUGCACAGCCAGCAUCCCCGCAGUCUUACGGGGCACCGUCGAGUUACCGCCAGGAGAAUAGAGCAUCUGUGUCGCGUCAGAGUGAGCGGCGAUAGCAUAAACCGAGUGGCCGUGUCUAUGCAGCUCAGGUGGAGGACUCCACAGCAGCCGACCGAGUGGUGGCAGGUAUUAUUUUGAUUUCUGGUAUUAGAGCUCGUACACUUUUUGAUACCGGUGCAUUGCAUUCCUUUAUUAGCCGAGCAUUUGUAUUGUUACAUAGUCUAGAGUUAGGGUCAUUGUCACAGGCACGAGAGGUGCAGAUCCCCGACCAUGUGUUAUAGGUUGCAGAGUGUUGUUGGUCAUGUCCGGUGCAAUUGGAUUCGUGGAUCAUGCCCGCAGACCUGUUGGUGUUAAAGCAGCUGCAGGACUUUAACGUUGUGCUCGGUAUUGACUGGCUGGCGCGAUACUAUGCUACUAUUGAUUAUGGAGUUAGGACGGUGACGUUCCGCGAGCAAGGCCAGGAGGAGUUCACUUUUAGAGGCUGCAGGAGCACAUUGUUUGCCACCUGGAUAUCUUCGGCGAGGGCUUGACAGAUGAUGAGUACAGGGUGUGUGGCGUUUCUGGCGACUGUUGUAGAGGUACCUACGGCGGCACCGGGACUCGAGGAUAUUCCUGUAGCCCGCGAGUUUCCGGAUGUGUUUCCCUCAGAGUUGACGAUGAUGCCGCCGGAGAGGGAGAUUGAGUUUGUGAUUGAUGUAGUUCCUGGAACUGCACCAAUCUCAAAGGUACCUUAUUGGAUGGCACCGGCGGAGCUGAGAGAGCUAAAGGCGCAGCUUCAGGAUCUGAUGGAUAAGGGGUAUAUGAGACCCAGCGUAUCGCCUUGGGGAGCGCCGGUGUUAUUUGUAAGGAAGAAAGAUGGUUCGCUCAGGUUAUGUGUGGAUUACCGGGAGCUGAAUAAAGUGACCAUCAAGAAUAAGUAUCCCUUGCCGCGCAUUGAUGAUUUGUUUGAUCAGCUGCAGGGAUCUUAUGUCUUCUCGAAGAUUAACCUCCAGUCAGGUUACCACCAGUUCAGGGUGAGGGCUAAGGAUGUUCCCAAGACGGCUUUUCGGACUCGGUACGGGCAUUAUGAGUUUACGGUGAUGCCUUUUGGAUUGACGAAUGCCCCUGCCGCAUUCAUGGAUUUGAUUAACAGAGUGUUUAAACCAUUCUUGGAUAGAUUUGUAGUAGUCUUCAUCGACGAAAUUUUAAUAUACUCCCGGAGCGAUGCCGAGCAUGAGGAGCACUUGAGGACUGUGCUACAGCUUUUGCGAGAGAAGAAGUUGUAUGCCAAGUUAAAGAAGUGCGAGUUCUGAUUACGGGAGGUUGCUUUCUUAGGCCAUGUGAUUUUCUGCGGAAGGAGUAGCAGUGGACCCGAAAAAGAUUGAUGCUAUUCGGAAUUGGCCCAGACCGACGACGGUGACUGAGGUGAGGAGUUUCCUGGGACUGGCAGGAUAUUACCGUCGGUUUGUGGAAGACUUUGCGAAGCUUUCCACACCCUUUUCUCGAUUGAUUCGAAAGGGGAUUCGGUUCAUCUGGAGUGAGGACUGUCAGAGGAGCUUUGACGAGUUGAGACAGAGAUUAAUGUCAGCUCCUAUUCUUGCCCUUUCUGUGAUGGGGGAAGGAUUUGUGAUUUAUAGUGAUGCAUCACACAGCGGGCUGUGCUGUGUGCUGAUGCAGCAUGGUAGGGUGGUAAUUGCUUAUGCUUCACGGCAGUUAAAGGAUUACGAGAAGAAUUACCCUACGCAUGACUUGGAGCUUGCCGCGGUAGUCUUUGCUUUGAAGUUGUGGCGGCAUUACUUGUAUGGCGAGCACUGUGAGGUUUUCACCGAUCAUAAAAGUCUCAAGUAUCUGUUCACCCAAAGGGAGUUGAACCUGAGGCAACGCCAAUGGUUGGAGUUACUGAAGGACUAUGACGUUAGUAUUCAGUAUCAUCCCGGCAAGGUGAAUGUGAUGGUAGAUGCGUUGAGCAGGAAGGCAGUGCAGAGCUUAAGUUUGAUGAUCACACAGCAGAGGCCGUUACUCGAGGAGCUACAGCCGCUGAGACUCGAGAUAGUGUUCCCUGGGUCUACUGCGAGACUGAUGUCCAUGGUCUUGCAGCCCACUCUGUUGGAUAGGAUCCGAGAGAAACAGGAUGGAGAUCCGCACUUGUUGAGGAUUCGAGAGCUGCUAGAUAGGGGACGGGCUGAGGGCUUUGUAGUGGACAGUUCGGGAGUACUACGAUACAGGGACCGACUGUGUGUGCCUAUGAAUUCAGAGAUCCGAGCGGAUAUUUUGAGAGUGGCUCAUUGUACUCCUUAUACGGUUCACCCUGGUGGAACCAAGAUGUAUAAGGACAUGAAGGCACAGUUCUGGUGGAACGGAAUGAAGAGGGACAUUGGCAGAUUUGUGGCUCAGUGUCUGACUUGUCAACAGGUAAAGGCCGAGCAUCAGGUACCUGCUGGCAAGCUUCAGAGCCUGCCAGUGCCCGAGUGGAAAUGGGAGCAGAUCACGAUGGACUUCGUCGUGGGAUUGCCUAGAGCACAGGAUGGUUUUGAUGCUAUUUGGGUGAUAGUGGACAGAUUGACUAAGUCUGCUCACUUCCUACCAGUUCAGACCACCUGGUCCAGAGAGAGACUCGCGCAGCUAUACCUGGAUGAGAUUGUCAGGCUGCAUGGUGUGCCAAUGUCAAUUGUAUCGGACAGAGACCUGAGGUUUGUUUCAUAUUUUUGGCGGAGUCUUCAGACAGCCUUAGGUACACAGCUACAUUUCAGCACGGCGUUUCACCCACAGACAGAUGGUCAGUCUGAGAGGACUAUACAGACUUUAGAGGACAUGCUGAGGGCAUGUAUCCUGGACUUUGGAGGAGGGUGGUAUCGACAUUUCAGACUGGCUGAGUUUGCGUACAACAAUAGCUAUCAAACGAGCAUCCAGAUGGCUCCGUUUGAGCCGUUGUAUGGACGCAGAUGUCGAUCCCCUUUAUUUUGGAGUGAUGUGGGUGAGAGGAAGACACUAGGGCCUGAGAUCUUGCUAGAGUCUUGAGGAAUAGGUGAGAGUUGAUCGACGACACCUUUUGACAGCCCAGAGCCGCCAGAGGAGCUACGCCGAUAUCCGGAGAUGAGACUUAGAGUUCUAGGUUGGAGAUCAUGUAUUCCUCAAAGUCUCGCCGUCCAGAGGGAUUCGCCGAUUUGAAGUACGUGGAAAGCUCAGUCCACGUUUCGUUGGCCUUUUUGAGAUAUUGGAGCGAGUUGGACCGGUUGUCUACAGGAUUGCUCUACCAACAGGCAUUCACGAUGUGUUCCACGUCUCAGCUUUGAGUAGAUAUGUUUUCGAUCCCUUUCACGUGAUCGACUUCACUCCACUAAAGAUUGGCGAGGAUCUGAGAUACGAGGAGCGACCGUUGCGGAUUCUUGCUCGGGAGACGAAAGAAUUGCGCAAUCAGGUCAUCCCGUAUAUAAAAAUACAGUGGAGUAAUCACGAGGAGCGGGAGGCGACUUCGGAGCCUGAGACGGUGACGAGGGAGUCCUAUCCCUACCUUUUUGAGGCUUAGAGCUGAGGUACGCUUAAGUUUUGCGAAUGAAACUUUUGUAGUAGGGGAGUAUGUGGUAUCCCUGGUGUAUAGUAGUUGAGGCUUGUCGACAGCUCUGGAGAGUGUCGGGACAAGUCCGAGUCGCGUUGGCGCGAAAUAGAUGCAAAACGGACUCAGCCGGGACGCGAGAGCAGGACUUGGCAUUGGAAUCUGUAAACAGCAGAUUUUCUGCUUGUUGUACCGGUACAACCAUCAAGGCGUACCGGUACACUUUCUGUACCGAUACAACAUCAGGGGUGUACCGGUACACUGCGACAGAUUUUGCGCAGCUGCUCUCCGGUUGCCAUUUGUACCGGUACAUUUGCCCGUGUACCGGUACACCUGAGUAGGUAAGGGGCUUUUUGGUAAUUUCGUGCCUCGUACGUGUCACCACUCCACCCCUUCGCUAUUUACAUGUGUAGAGAGGUUGAGAGAGAGUAUUCUACCUGCUUCUUAUCCCCUCUCUCUCUAGCAUCGACCGAGCAAGGAAGAGCUCGGGUGGAGUUCGAGUUUCGCCAACGUCACGCCGCGGUGCCGUUCGAGCGUGUCUUCGUCGUCGUAGCAUCGCGAGGAGGCCGGGCGAGGGUGCGAUUCCGCCGUUCUCGACGUCGCGCCGGAUUGGGAUUAGCUAUCGAGGUAGGUUAAUCAUCGGUUUGUCUUCUAAGUGUAUAGUUGGUCGAAAUGUGUUGUUGUGUUGAUAGAUUUUGCUCAGUUCAUGAAUUUUGGCAUAUUCUAUGUAAAAUAUGAAUUGGAGCUUUCUCGUUGCAUGUAUCUACUAGUACAUGUUGGACUGGAAUUUUACUUAGGAGAAAACAACGAUUAUGACCUGUCAUAUGCUUAAACUACCUGAUUUAGCUCUAGGAGCCGUUGUAAUUUUGUAUCGUCGCAGUAUCGGUGUGGUGGAUACUUCAGAUAGUUUAGAUUUUAGUUACGCUCGUGCUGGAAUGCCUAGCGUACUUUUAUAGUAGCGUUCAGACUGUUCCGGACUAUUGGGUGCCGUCGGAGUUGACGGUGGACCCAUAUUGCCGUUUUGGCGUCAGAUUGUGCUGAGGGCACGUGACCUGUUGAUGGUUAGACCAGUUAGACUCGGUUACUGUACUUUGGCUUGUGAGAGCCUGAUUGAGCUCGACAGAGAUACGCUGCAUACUCGAUUGGGUAGCUCCCACGAGUGCCACUCCGAAGACGGGCAUUGUGCUUUCGCAUGGGUAUCGUUCGUGCAAGUUGGACUUGCUCUACACGGACCGCUUAGGGUAGAGGUAGCUGUAUAGUCGCAACCGGGUGGGACGGGUGUGUUCACAGUCCCAAGGACGGGUAUGCUUACAGUCUCAGUUGGAUUGGGUCAGCAUUGACAUUUCCUACAGUUGGUUAGUAUAGAGCAUGAUAGUGUAGUCACUUGUAGCUGUAGAUUUCCUUCCAGCAUUCUUCUACUAUCUUUGCUCCCUUCUGUAGACUUAGUGGGUGGACCGAUGAUGCUGAGGGCGGUACCCAUUGAGGACUACUUGUUUUUACAGUAGUUAUUACGCCCAGUUGUUACCUCUCUUUUUGCAGAGCCUGCUGUUCCGGCUGCUGCUUCCUCUGAGACCGAUCGUGGCAAGGGCGUUGCCGGUUAGAGCCCUUCCCAGUUGCUGCAGUUCGAGAGGUUACUAGCUCCAAGUAGAGUAGUUUUUGCAGUUCAUGUACAUACAGCUUAUGUAACUCACUAGAGUGAGCCUUUUGUACCUGGGUAUUCGUAUGUAUAUAGAACUGACUUUUGUUUACCUGUUUAUUUUCUAGCAGCUCUAUACUACUGUUUGUAGUAUUGUAUGUUUCACAGGUUCAGCUAUCGCUUCGUAUACAGGGAAAAUUCCUUUGUAUAUAGCGGAUUUGUCGGCGUGCCCGGGGAAUGAGAUAUUCGGGGUGUGACAUUUACCCUGUAAAAAAAAAAGAUUCAAGAAUAAAAAUUUCAAACAAUUUAUCAUAAAAUAUAUAGGAUGCUAUGAACUACUAAAGGAUAAACUAUAUUACCCUUAUCAAAUCAUAAAAGAUCACAUAUUUGCUCGAACAUCUUCAAAAUUAAUGAUAUUUUCUAAAAAAAAACAUCAAAUUAAAUAAUAGCAAUGUAAUAACAAGAAAUUUAAUAUCUAAAAGUAAAAAUAUAGAAAAAAAAGUUGAUGAAAGUUAAGAAACAAAAAACCUCAUAUCAUACCACAUACAAUAAAUUAAUGUAAUGACGAACCAAAAGCUUGAAGAGUAAUCCUAUUCUAUUCAUAAUAAACUUUAUUAGUUAAGGAAAAAAGAAAAAAAAAUUCAAAUCUAUAAUUUUGAUUAGAAAUUAAAAUGAAAUUGCUUUACCUUACAAGAAAGGAAUACUUACUUAUCUUCAGAAACAAAGUUGAUAAUUCGAUAUCCAUGUUUUUUCCUCCAAUCUUACAAAAUAAAAAAAUUGGUGAGAAAAACUUUGUGGAAUUAAGGAAUAGAAGAAAAAACGAUAAGAGUAAAAAAUUUCUUGAGAGUUUAAAGUGAAGAGACAAAGAAAUAGGAGAGAGAUGGAAAGAAAUAUCACUAAUUAAAAGGAGGGAAAGAUGAAAUUUCAAAAACUUGGAGGGCUUUUCAAAAUUUGAAAAACUAAUUGUCAUUUAUCACAAAAAAUGUUGCUAUAUAUUCUAACAUUUAACUUUUAAUGUUGGUGUUAUUUAUAUUUAGCAACAUUUGCACCUAAAUAUUGGUAAAUAAAUACAUUUAGCAACACUAAUAAAUAAAUGUUGUUAAAUUUUAUAAUUUGUGUCCCUUAGUGAAAUGUUGCUAGUUAAAUGUUGCUAAAAGUUAAACUUCUUGUUGUGGUAGCUAGUUGUAAUUCAAUUUUUUGCAUUUCUAUUGUAGAAAUAGAUAUUAUUUGUUAUUAUUAUCUACUAAUAUCUCUUUUGGAUUGAGUGAGAACAGAGCGCACUUUCGGUGGUUGCACCUACUGGGUUCCCACCCCUUAUAAUUUGUUAAUUUUCAAGCCUACUAUUGGUACCUUUUAUUUUAGAAAAUAAAAAAUCUUGGAACAAAUGUUGUUAACAUUAGAGUUAAAGUUGUUAUGGUUUCAGUUUAGUGGUAUUUACUCUGAUUCUUCGUGUAUAUCAUGUAUGUUUGGUACAUGUUGGUAUAUGUUUCCGCUUCGUGUGGGUAUGGGAAGCCUAGCUCGUUCGACAAAUUUGUUGCACGUAUUUGAGCAGUCCCAAUUGGAAGUCUCGGGGCGUGACAAUGAUCAAAGGUGUAAAGGGUCUUAUGGGGAACGAGACAGUGGGUAAUGUUUUGGGAGUCAGCACUAUGAAGAUUCGGAUGUAUGAUUGGGUAGACAGAAGGCUGAUACGAUAUAUAGUAUAUUAUUGAUUUGAUGCAGAAUUUGAUCUCGUUAGAUGCGUUGUACUCAGAGGGUUGUGUGUUUUCACCUUCAGGUUCAGCUAUAAGAUUCCGAAAGCGAGACCGGAUUGUGUGUGAGGCGAACAAGCACGAAAAUUUGUACAUUCUGAACGAGAGCACAGUUAGAACGAGUGCAAAAAUAGUUAAAGUUCCAAAAGUUCACGAAAGUGCAAAUUCAGCUACUCAAGGAGGAGCAGAGGAUGCUGGGACAUCUAGCGGACGAGAUAAGCUUAAUAUGAAGUUUGUUUAUUAAACUCGAAGAAGCAAUAGAAAAUUACAAAUCAAAUCAAGGCGAAGAUUGUUAGAAUUUAGGUACAUUUGUAAUUACAUACUCGUUAGAUUAGAAAAAAAAAUAUUUAAAUCUAUUAAAUAUUAAUUGAUUAGAAUUUAAAUAUUAAUUAAAUUUAAAAUCUAAUUAAAUUAGGAUUUGUAGUACGUUUUAUUUGUCUUAUAUAUAUGCACAUGUUAUGUGCACAUUGUGCUAAAGCCUCGGGUGAUGCGUACAGCUAAGGCCUGUGUGCUGUACCAGAGAGAACCUUAGCCAAGUGUUUAGUGCACCUAGUGCAUAGGUGCGGGUGCAUAGAUGCGGGGAGAAAGAGAGGGUGGGAGAUUUUUAGAAAUAGGGUUCAGGCUAACGCUAUUGAUAACAAUCAGCAUUAGAGCGAGCUGUGGUUUCUUAGCAAUUAGUAUUAGAGAAGUACCAAAUUUCUAAAAUUUUGAAUAAUUAAAAUUUUAAAUUCAAAUUUAUUUAAAUUUUAGAUUCAAAUUUAGAUUUUGAAUUCAUAUUUCAUCUCGAGUUUUAAAUUAUUAAUUAAAUUUUUAAUUUCAAAUUUAGAUUUUGAGUUUAAAUUUUAAUUCAAAUUUAAAAUUUUGAAAAGCCAAAUGUAAAUAUCCACAUUUCCACUUUAUCUUCCCGUCUUUUAAAAACCUCUAUUUUGUCUUCUUAAAAUUAAAAGUUGUAGUACUUAACUCAAUACUGUUACAAUUUCGUUACAAUUCCAUCCAUAAAUCGUGUUGUACAACUGGAUAAUUAUUAAUACUAGUGAAGGCCCGCGCUACGCUGCGAAAAAUUUAUAUAAAAAAUUAAAUUUUAAAUUUUAAAUUUAAUUUUUAUUUUUUUUGUACAUGAUCCGCAAUUAUACAAAUAAAAAAAAUUUAGAACAGGGGAGGAAAAGGGGGAAAAAGGGUAAAGAAAAAGAUAAUAUNACAAAAAUCCCUACCCAUUCCUACCCAUGUUAAGGAUAUAAUGGUGUCUCAAUAGUUUUCUCAACUCUAUCAUGUUAUUUAUGCACCAAAUCAUGAUGAAAUUAUAAUAGCAUGGGCUAAGUGCUACAACUCUAAAUUUUAAAGGGGAAUAAUAGAGAUUUUCAGAAGAUAAGGGGUAAAGCAAGAAAAAAGAUAUUUAUUUUGAUAUUUUCUAUAUUUUAGCCAAUUUAAAAUUUGAAUUCAAAAUUUAAAGUAAAUUAAAAUUUUAAAUAUUUUGAAAUUCAAGUUCAUAUUUGGUUUCAAAAUUUAAAUUCAAAGUUAAUUAACAUUCAAAUUAUGAAUUCAAACUUAAAUAUUUAAUUAAAAAGAAAAUAAAAUAUUUAUAUUUAAAAUUUUUAGUAAUUACGUGUAGGAAGGGAUAACUUUAAUUUUCUCAUAGGUUACAGCACUAUUUAAAAUCAAUAAUAUAAGAUACCGACCCCAUCCAGAAAUAUUUUGUAGCAACUCAUGCACCGUACAUAACUUUAAUAGUGUACUAAUUAAGUUAUAUAGUCUCUUAUAGCAUACAAUGCUAAGAAAUCCCAUCUCCUUCUCAAAUACAUGGGUCGAUAUUAUAAGAUAACACACAACCUUCAAUUAUUCUAAACAUGAAGUUAAUACAAACUUCUAGGAGAUGAUUCUUUUUAUUCGACCGGCAACGAAAUCCGCGGGAUUGCAAUUAGAUGCAGCGGCUCCUUCCUUGGCGCGGUAAUCCCCAACGUCUCAGUCAUGUCGAGAUCUUCGAUUUUCAUGUCGCAUGGAAGCUUCCAAUCAAAAUAGAACAAAAGUUCAGCAAGGGCAAACUCGACGGUCGCCAAUCCGAAGGUUAUUCCAGGACAGAUCCUUCGGCCAGCACCGAAUGGUAGGAACGCGAAGUUGCUCCCCUUGUAGUCUAUCGAGUUCCCCUCGAAACGCUCUGGCAUGAACUUCUCUGGGUCCUCCCAGUACUUCGGCUCUCUUCCUAGUGCCCACGCAUUUAUGACUACGCGAGUUCCGGCCGGUACCGUAUACCCUAGAAUGCUACAGGUCUCCUGGCAAACCCUAGGGACCAAUAGAGGGACUGAAGGGUGGAGCCUAAGGGUUUCUUUGAUGAUUAGUUGGAGAUAGUUAAGCUUACUGAUAUCAUGCUCUUCUAUCUUAUCUUUUUCCUUGAAUGCUUCUCUCACUUCUUGUUGUGCUUUUGCCAUGAUAUUUGGGUUCUUGAUGAGCUCUGACAUGACCCAUUCCGUUAGGGUGGAGGAUGUUUCUGUCCCGGCAGCAAACAUGUCCUAUGAUAAAAAAUAAAAAAAAAUGAAAGAAAAAUGUUAAGUCUACAAAAAUUAAAAGAAUUAGGAUGUAGUCUUUUCAAUAAUAUUUAGCUCAAAAUGGCUGACUUAGGUCUCCUUUGCUAUCACUGUUAUUUUUUUAAUUUUUUUUAAGUACUAAUUGUAUACAAUUGAAUAUAUCAUUGGAAAGAUGUUUCUAUAGUUGCUAUAGUUAAUUAGCUUGUAGUGCCUUUUGGCUAAGUGAUGAAUAAUAAUUUAUUAAAAAAUUCUAAUAUAUAUAUUAAUUCUAUAUUUUUAUUUUCUGUUGUCAAACAAAUAUUAUGAAUGUUAGGAUUUUAGUCAAUAUGCCAUCUCUUUCUAUACUAUUUUAUGCAGAAAUUUUAUUUUAAAAAAUAAAAAAACCACAACUAUACCAAAUGAUGCCCAGCCCCUCAACUUUGAACUUUUUGAUAGAGACUUGAUUAACUUUCAAUUUUUUGGAAUUAAAUUAGCUUAAUUAAAAAUGAAAAUAUUUCAACAUAUUUAUUUAUAAGCAUUUAAUUAAAUCCAACAAAAGUAAUGAUUUAGAGUUAAUAUAAUUAAAAAUUCUAACAAAAAUUUCUACUAAAUUAAAGUAACUAGAAUAAUUCAAGUGCAAAACAAUUAGAAAUUAGGGGCAAGUGCUUAUAUUCCCCUGCAAGAUUUUUGAAUUUCUUAUUUAUUCUCCUUAGAAGGCUAAUAUUAAAAAUAUCAUUUUAACGCUCUACGUUCUUUCAAAUAUAUCCCUAAACUUAGAUUCUAUUAGUAAAUUGUUAGGAACAAAUUAUUUCUAUAAAAGAGAAAUUACUAUUUUGCCCUAUAUACUCUCCUACUAUCAUUAAAUUUUCUUAUUUGCCCUUAAGUCAGAAAAAGAAAAGGUAUUUUGACUUCGUUUCUUUCAAAAAUAUCCUUCUACUACCACAAACUUUUUUUAUUUACCCUUAAGUCAGGGGCAAAAAAGGUACUUUGACUUUUUCAACUUUGGCACAAAUUUAAUGCGAGUUUAAUAUGAGGCGACUUAACGGAUCCUAAUUGGGGGGUUAUUUUUGAAUAACAAAGAAAAAUAUAAAGGGUAUAUUUGAAAAAAAAUAAAAGAAGAAGAAUUAAGAGUAUAUUACAUAUUUCAGAAGUUUUGCAGGGUAUAUAGAUAAUUAUCCCUAAAAUUAAGGAGGUCACAAUCAAAAAAUUAAGGCUUAUGGGUCAGUUCAAUAUAUAUGUCUUAUUAGUUGAACAGGUCUCUAUAUAUUAUAACAUUUUCUAAAAUUGCCAAAAUGGAAAAAAUCAGGGUUAUGAUAUAUCUUUUGAGUUCCACUAAUAAAUUCAAGGGCGCCAUUAAUUAGCAAAUCACUAUUUAUUAAGGAGGUUUAUUGCAUUUCAAACUAUCAAAUUUGUUAAAACGAAAAAAAGAAAAGCAUUGGAUAAAACAAAACUAUGGAGGGUUAACAUAGGCCAUUUCAAUAUAUACUUCAUGUAAAUUGAUCAUCUUUGUACGUACUCACCAACAUCACGGCCUUAACAUUUUCAAGUGUAAUGGGCACUUCCAAGUCCUUUUGCUCCCUAGCUUUCAGCAGCACAUCCAACAAGUCCUCCUCCCCGUCAAGUCUUUGCGGCCUCUCCUGGUGGUCUUGAAUCGUGUCGUUGAUGAUCGCAUCCAUCUCUCCGUGGAUCUUCGCGAUCUUGCGCGUCAUCAUCACAUCGAGUGAUCGUAGCGAAGGAAACAAAUCCGAGGUACCGAAACCGGAGGCCAAUACCACAGCUUCCCUAAUAAUUACUAGGAACCUGCUUUGUUGCUUGAACAUCUUUCCGAAGGUUGCCCUGCGAAUUUUAUUUAUUUAUAAACAGAAGGGACUAAGAGGAAUUUUUGUGAACUUCGCAUCUUCGCCCACGAAUUUGUAUAUAUAUAACUAAAUAUUACGAAACUAGUGCAUGUUAUCAUUAUCGUGUAAAAUAGUGAGGGUUGCGAUUGCAAUCAAAUAAAACUCGAAAUAUAAAAAGCAUUUCAUGGGCUUACAAAUAAAUACUAUGCAAGCAACAUAUUUAUGGGAUAUUCAAAAAUUAUUGAUGUUGUAUUAUAUUGUUGGGUAAACUUCAAAUACCCCCUAGUGGUUUCACAUUUUCUCAUUUUAGUACUCUAUAGUUUAAAGUGUAUCAAAUUAGUACCUGUGGUUUCGCACUUUCUUACUUUAGUACCCUGUAGUUAAAGUGUAUCAAGUUAGUACCCUAUGGUUUCAUUUUCCUCUUUUUAUUAUUCAUUUCACUAAUUUUUUCGUUAAAUCAGUGGCGCCGGCAAAGUUAAAAUUAAAGGGUACUAAAAUGAAUAUUCGAUAAACCUAGGUAGGGUAUCUGAAUUUUUUAUAUAUAAUUUAACGAAAUAUUAACAGAGGAUCUUUUCUCAUUUCACUAAUUUUUUUCAUUAAAUCAGUGGCAAAGUUAAAAUCAAAGGGUACUAAAGUGAAUAUUCGAUAAACCUAGGUAGGGUAUCUGAAUUUUUUGUAUAUAAUUUAACGAAAUAUUAACAGAGGAUCCGACGAAAAGAGAAAAAUGAAACCAUAGGGUACUAAAUUGUGCACUUUAAACCACAGGGUACUAAAGUGAGAAAGUGCGAAACCACAGAGUACUAAAUUGAUACACUUUAAACCACAGAAUACUAAAGUAAAAAAGUGCGAAACCACGAGGUGGUAUUUGGAGUUUUCCCUAUAUUGUUUUCAUAGUAUAGUAUAAAGCUGUCCAAAAUAUCUAAUAUACCAUACCCGAUCCGGACCCUAUCCGGACCCUACCCGGAUACGAACCGGGCCUGAUAAAAAUAGAUAGUAUAUGGAUAGAAAAAAAAAUAUCCAUUAAAGUUCCGGGUAUGGGUUCGGAUACUUUAUAUCCAUACCCGACUUGGACCCGAUCCGAACGCGACAUUUUAAUCAGUAGGAUCCGGAAGAGGUUUCAAAUUCGGACACAGAACCGGACUCGGAUCUGUGAAAUACCCGAUAGUAAAUAAAAAAAUCUGAAGCUGAGGGAUCAAUUUCAAUAGGACUUAUAAAUAAAGGAUGCAUAUUUUCAUCCUAGUGAACCCUGGUCAUUUUGUUUACUCUUUUUGUUUUAUUUUACUCAUUUUUUAAUUGUAGCUGUAAAGUUUACUGUUUGAAUCUUUUUUUAAACAAAUUUUAUUGGAUUAGAUGCAACUAAUUAAAAUGUGGGUUUUUUUAAUAGUGAUAGAUUUAUAAUUUGUCUAUAAACUAUUUAAUCAAAUUUAUAAAAAAUAUAUGCAUAUAGUCAUACAGAUACCCGUACCCAAUUUAGGCCCAAUUCGUAUUCGAUUUUAAGCGGAUAGUAUACACGUAGUCACUAUCCAGACCUACUCAAAUAGACCUGAUAGAUAUAUUAUUAAUUUAAGUACUCAGAUCUUGACCCUAUCCAAAGUCGAAUGAGUAGUGGAUAGUUUUUUUUUUUCGUACCUAUUUUUUUUUAGGGUACGAAUAUAGUAUAUCAACUAUCCAGAUCGGACCCGAUAUACAGACAUGUUUAGUAUAUAGUAUGAGCGACAAUCCCAAAAUGUGCUUAUUAAAGUUCAGAUGGAUUUGUGGAUUUAUUUGUCCAAUUUUAACUGGUGCGGUCCCCAGUGUCUUGCUGGGACCAUACAUGCCUGUAACGGAACAUCCCGUCCACAUUCUAUAUAUACCUGCACACGAUGUUGUUGGCCAGGGACAUGAGCUUGAGGCUAAUGUUGACCGGUGUUUGCCGAGCCGCCGUGCCGGCGAUGUCCUUCAGAAACCCGGCAAUCUCCUCAGUGCGGAGCAACGAGAAUGACUUCACACGCUUGGCGCUAAGCAGCUCCAUGAUGCAGAUCCUCCGGAGCUGGCGCCAGUAAGUGCUGUGGGGUGCAAAGACGAUGUCGGUGUAGCCGUAGGUGAUGAUCUUUGGGGCCGCCAACUCAGGUCGGAAUGCAAAUUUGGUGUCAUGGGUCUUCAACACCGCCUCCGCCACCUCACGGGAUGUCACGACCGCGAGGUCUAUCUGCAUUGAUUAUAAAUGGCUGGAAUUUUUAGAGAAUAUGUGACACCCCAAUAAUCCCACAUCGGAUGAAAAUUGAGUUGUCAUUGAGUUUAUAAGAGACUUAGACACUAGUAAUAAUAACUGGGCUUAAGCAUUUUAGGCCGGUGUUUGGGCCUAACAAAUUAUUGUUGCUAGUGGGCUUGAUCGUUAUAUUUGGUAUCAGAGCCGGUUUACCAGCUGGACAGGUGUGGCGAGUCUCGGCUGAGUCAGGGUCUGGAUGACGGGCUAGCGAGACGAGUCUUACAUCGCCUGUUGAUCUUGGGUUGUGUGAUUGAAUCGACAAGUACGUUAGGGCCUUAACGGAGGUAGUCUGUGACACCCCAAUAAUCCCACAUCGGAUGGGGUCGUCAUUGUGUUUGGGCCCAACAAGGUCGUUGCAGAAUAAUAAUUAUUUUUAAUGGCAUCAGAACAGCAAAUUUUUAGAUAAUAAUGAUUGUUUGGGUACCUGGCCGAUGCGGAGCAGCAUAAGCGGGCCGUAGGUGCCUGCCAGUGCGGCAAGGGCACGAUGUGGCAGGGCGGUGGCCAGGUAGUGCAGGCUGCCGAUUAUGGGGAGGCGAGGGGGGCCCGGCGGGAGGUCUGACCGGCGGGACGAUCGGGUGACAAUUGCUAGAAGAGGGAGAAGUAAGAUUGGGACUAGUAGGAGAAAGAGAGAAGGGAGCUGGAGCUCCAUGUUCAAGAGAGAGAGUGAGAGAGAGAGAGAGGAGAUAAGGUGUGUGGGCUUGUGAGGUUUACUAAUCCCGUGUACGUAUAUAUAUCACAGAUGUGGGAGGCUAGACGCUUUAGGGAGAGUGUUGAGAACAUAGCAUGAGAAAUCCAUUUCAAGAUUAGGCUGUGUUCAUGGUUCUACCUAAACUGUGAAAAAAAAAAAUUUCAGCGCAAAUAUCUUCAAAAAAAAUAAAUUUUAACGUGCUCGGCGGUUGUAUUUCCGUUUAAUAGAAAAAAAAAAGUAUAUAAAUUUUUCCCGUUACAAUUGUUGGCUGAAAGCAUAACAAAGAAAAAUUAUAAAUGAAACUAUUUAUAUAUAUAUAUAUAUACUAUAUAUACUAUAAAGUCGCGGCUGGUACUCAUUGAUACACCAAAGAUUUAGUACUACGAUUUUCGACCGUCAGAUUUAAUUCUUGACUAUUUUCAUCCAUUGGAUUAUACUAUUCAAUAACAAUUUACUCAAUCUAAGGGGCUCUCAUCAUCCUAACCGUACCAUUUCUUCAUCAAGGGCCAAAAACUAAUACACAUAGUCCUUGUGCUAAAUUGGAUAAAGCAAUUCCAGACUUGUUAUAUUAUAUAGUAUAUAUAUAUAUAUAUAUAAAUCAUAUAUAGUAUAUAUAUAUAUAAUAUAUAUAUAUUAUAUAUAUUAUUUAAAUAUUUUAUAUUAUGAAUAGUAAUAAUAAUCUAUAUUACAAUAUUAAUACUAUAGUUAUAUUUUUAAAUAAAAUAUAUUUAAAAUAUAUUAUACAAUAAUUAAGUAUGUAUAACAUAUAUAAUAUAAUAUAUUUAGUACUAUAAAAGUAAAUUCAUAUAUAUAUAUAUAUAUAUAUCGAUAUAUAUAUAUAUAUAGAGUUGAGCUAGAAUAUCUAUCGUAGUAAACGAGCCGGUUUAACUACGAUUUAUUUCGAUAAUAGAACUUUCAAAUGACGAUCGGUCUGAAGAAUGAUCUAUACACGUGAAUGUUUUAGAAAUCAAUUCAAAUCUUUUUCGACAUCAUUUGCCUAAUCGACAAAGGGUUCAAAUUUGUAAUUUUAAUGGUCGAUAAGAUGCGUUUCUGCGUAACGUGUAAAAGAUAUCCAAUCAAUUGAAUUUUUGUUAGAAAAUUUUUUUAAAUCUAUUUAAAACAAGAUCUAUACUCUUGAUUCUGAUUACAAGACCUAUCAUUAUUUUACAAGAGUAUUUCAUAUUUUCAAGCCAUUUCAUUUCUGUUCACUGAUUGAUGGAUAAAGAACAAUAGAAAGUGCGUGAAAUUCGUAUUUCUAGAAUAGUUUAAAUAUUUAAGAUCAAUACUUUAAUGGAGCAAUCGCGUUCAAUUUGGAAGCUCUAUGCAUCGAAACAUAAUCGGUAGUAAAACACGCUCGUUUACUACGAAGUAUUCUAGCUCAACUCUAUAUAUAUAUAUAUAAUAUUAUAUAUAUAAUCUAACAACUAAGAAUCACUCCAAAAGACCCAUGAGGGUGAUGCUUUGAGUUUUCGCAUUGGAUGUAGUGAUUAUAGGGUGAGGUGAUGUGGAGGUGAGGGUAGGUGGUGGUAGGUGGGAAUAGGUGGAAUAGUGUUUGAUCAAAGCUAUUAGUAAUUAAGAAGUUAGAUCUAAGGCAGAACUUAGAAGCACCCACAGGGUUAGUGUUUCUAAAAGUAAUUCUAGUCAAUUCUAACAUAUAUAUAAUAUAUAUAUAUAUAUGCUAUAUAUAUGUAUAAUAUAUAUAUAUAUAUAGACAAUGUCUCAAUGAUAUCAUCUAUAAGAUAUGUCAUAUAUAUAAUAUAUAAUAUAUAAUCAAUAUAUUAUAUAUAUAUAUUAUACAUUGUUAUACAUAUGUAAUAUAUAUAUAUAAUCAUAUAUAUAUAUAUAUUCCGGCAUAAUGGCUUGUAAAAUACCAAGCAGCUUAGUGCUCUGUAUAUUUUACAGUUAGAUCUACUGCCUCUUGAUUAUUUUUCAACCGUUAGACUAUACUACUCAACCACCACCACUCAACUUAGGGGUCACAUCAUCUGCUAACCACACACCAUCUCUUAAUCCAAUGACCACAAUAUCUAGCAAGUACUACUAACUUGGAAUUUUAAAACACUAGACCCGCUAAAUUCUAAAUAUAUAUUAGUAUGUAUAUAUAUAUAUAUAUAUAUAUAUAUAAUAUAGAAGAGAGAGAGAAGAGAGAGAGAAAGAUGAGAGAGAGAGAGAGAGAGAGAGAGAGAGAGAGAGAGAGAGAAGAGAGAGUUGAGCUAGAAUACUCUCAAAACACCAAGGGGUUGGUGCUUUUGAGUUUUUUAGCGCAUGAUUGAGGAUGUAGGAUUAGAUAAUGGUGGUGUGGUGGUACGAUGGAAUAAGUGUUUGAUCCAAAGAUAUAGUAAUCAAAAGAUUCUGACCAAGGAUAAAAACUCCACAAGCACCAAGGCGGUUGAUGCUUCGAGCAGUAUCCUAGCUCAAUAUAUAUAUAUUACUAUAAUAUAUAUAUAUAUAUACUUAUAGAGAGAGAAGAGAGAGAGAGAGAGAGAGGAAGAGAGAGAGAGAGAGAGAGUCCGGUGAGAUACUGUAGAUAGCAUCAACAUUUGGUGCUAACCCCCCCCCCCCCCCCCCCCCCCCCCCGCCCCCCCCCCCCCCCCCCCCCCCCCCCCCGCCCCCUCAGUUUCCGCCGUUAGAUUUAAUUUUUGACUAUUUUUACCCGUUAGAUUAUACUAUUAAACUAAUAAGCUCAGUCUCAACCUAGGGCUCACAUCCUUCAAUCGUACCAUUUUUCAUGCAAGGGCCGAAAACCAGCUAAUAACAUAUUGUCGUUGAUAGUAUUCCAGGGCAUAUAAUAUAUAUAUAUAUAUAUAUAUAUAAUAUAUAUAUAGUAUAUAUAGGUUGAGAUAGAUAUACUUUCAAAAGCACGCAAGAGGUCGUGUUGUGAAUCUUUAAGCCCUUGGACGAAGAAAUGAAAUUGGGAUGAUGAUGGUGGUGUGGCAGGUGGUGGUUAAGGUGGAAAUAGUGUUUAAUCCAAAAGUUUAUUAUAAGCAAGGAGUAGUAAUUCAACAGCUAGAAACCUAGAAGCACCAAGGGGUUGGUGCUUCUAAAAGUAUUCUCUAGCUCAAUUUUAUAUAUAUAUAUAUAUAUAUUUUCAAAUCCAAAUAAUUUAAUUAGUUAGUAAUUAUAAAUUUUGUUAUUCUAGAUAAAAGAGUCCAACUAUAAUGAUUCCGAAAGCAUCACUUAUGUGGUGCUUUUAAUUUAUUCAUCCUUAAAUCAAACUCUUUGAUUAUUUUAAGCCCCUGGAUUAAUACUAUUACCUUAGAAAGACCACUAAAUCCUAGAAGGCCACCAAACCGUAGGGAUGUUGUUAUCAUUUUAAUCCUACAAUUUGUGAUCAAAAGAUUAAAAAAUUGAAAAUAUCAAUUAUUUUAUACUUUUCAUUGCAUAGUAAUUCUGUACUACAUAAAAUAUAUUAUAUUGUUGAAAUGGUACCAGUUAAUGAGUGAAACGAACGGCUGUUGUUACUUUGAAUCCUACCAGAAUAGACGGUUAUAUAUGCGUCAUUGAAUAAGACCCCACAAAUUUUCUAGCGGAAGUGUCUCGAAUUUCCAACACACGCACUUCGACAAUUAAGUUUGAUGUAUCCAAAUCCUCUCAUUUCUCCUAUAUAUUCCGGGAAUCACCAUUUGUUAGUUUGGUUUGACUGGUACAUUUUUAUUUUUUAUUUUUUUUUGACCGAACGAAAUUGAAUUGAAAGCGUAAACUGAACUGAAUCAAACAAACAUAAUUUGAUCGUUUUGGCUCGAUUUAUUUAAUUUUUAUGAGAUAUUUUUGUUUGGUUUAAAAUUUUUUAAAACCUACAAAAAAUAAGAUGUAAUUAUGAAUAUUUUAUGUUUAAAAUUAUUACGUCUCUAAUUGUUUAAGCUUAAUAUAUUUUUUAAAAAAGUUAAAUCUAAUAUGUAUUAAAAUACUAAAAUUUGUAUUAAUUCGCUUUAUUCUUCUUUUCAAUUUUAAUUUUUAAAUUGAACCGAAAUUGAAUAAUAAGUAAAAUCGAACCAUAACAUAUAUCCUGGUUUGAGCCAAAUAAUGCACACCCCAGCCUAUUCCUAAUUUUUAUUUUACAAGUUCUCAACACUUUUUAACUUUUAUUUCUAGAACUAUAACAUGAAGAGGUGAUGUUAUUUGUACACUCCAUUUGAGGUGUAUGAUAUAUAUCUCACAUAUUUAGUUAGUGAGAUUAUUUUACUAAUCAAAUCAUAUGACAAGGAAAUAUACCUCAUCCACUAUAAGAGUGAAAUGUACAUCAUACAUUUCAAAAGGGAUAUAUGAAUAAUGUUUUACUAAGGGCGUGUUUGGUUUCUGGUAAACCAUCUUGAAAAAAAAAAUUUCGGUGGAAAAGUAAGCUCGAUUCCAACAUUUGUUUGCUCGUAAAAAAAUUUUCUUGAAAUCUUUUUUUUAUGAAUCGUAAGGAAAACGGGUGCUUUCACUUUCCGCUCAAAACGAGCGUAAAAUGAAAACAAAUGCCCGAAAAAUCACGGCGUUGGGAGGGAACGGGGCCUAGCAGCAGGCACGCGAUCCAUGAGGUUACACCCCACCUCGUGGACCUUCACCCCCCACCUCCCCGCCUUCUUUUCUUUUAUACUAAGUGUUCGUGCAAAUGCAUGUAUAAAUUAUUUUAAUUUAUAUCAAAUCACUAUAAAUUUUUACAUUAUAUUUAUUAAAAAUUUACAAUAAAAAUUAUGUUUUAGAAAUUAAUAUAUUAUAUUUUAUUGGAAAAUAUCUCCAAUAUCCUAUAUUAAUUUUUCAAUAUAUUCAUUGAAUAUUUUUAUAUAUUUUUUGAAUUCCGAUAAAUUUAAAAUUUAAGUAUAUUGUUUAAACCAAAAGUGUCAAAAUUUAAUUUACAUUUACUUUGAAAUUUAAAAUUUAAUUUUGAUUUACCGUAAUUAAAUAUUUUAAUUAUUAAUUCAAAUUGAUAUCCAAAAUUUACAAAUUUAAAUUUGUUAAAAUUUAAUUUUGAUCCACUGUAAUUAUAACUUUUAAUCGUUAAUUCAAAUUUGAUAUCCAAAAUUAAAUUAAAUUCAUUAUUUAAACUCAAAUUUUAAUUUUAAUAAAAAAUCUAUGGAUAGAAAUGCUAUUUUUUAACAAAUUAAUCAUUAGACCAAUUUGCAUAAAAAAUCUACAAAUUUUGAGCUUUUGCAAAACUGGGCUGCUUUUUUCGAUUUUGCAGAUUCUGUCCGAAUUUUCAGCAAACUGACCAAAAUACCCUUACUAUUUUUUCUCUCUCCUCUUUUUUUUCUCUCGUUCAUUUUUUUUUCUCUCACCGAAGAAGGCAGUGGAGGCAGAGGCAGAGGCGGAGGCGGAAACGGCCCGCCUCAUCUCUCACCAUCAUGCCCUCGCCCUCGCCUGUAGUAUCCUUAGUUUUUCGGUUGCCCGCGAGAUUUCAACAUCUGAGGUUUGCCGACACAUCUGGAGAGUGUCAGGACAAAUCGGAGUCGUUUUGGUGCAAAAUAGACGCAAAACGGACUCAAUGCGACGCGAGAUCAGAGUUUUAGUAUUGGAAUCUGCAAAGUGCAGGUUUUCAGUGUUGAGUAUCGGUACCCCAGUGUAUUUCCAAACAGACUGCUCUCGGGUUACGCCAAUUUGAUGCUGAGCACCGGUACGUCAUCGGGCUGGUACCGGUACCUUGUGUGCGAGCUUGCGGGUUGAGAGGCCAUUUGAGUUGGUAGAGGAUAUUGUAGUCUUUAUUGAGUUCGUAAGAGGCAGAAUGGUCUUUUUGGUUGUUGAUAAACUUGCCACCUACUCCCUCGUUAUAAUUAUCCAUUCAACUUGGACUAUGGAUUAUUAUUUUUGCUCUCUCUCUCUCUCUAGUUUAAUGGUGUGCUUGGUGGAGGCCUCGGGUGGAGCUCGGAUCGACGUCGACUUCGCGCCGACGAGCCGUUUGAGCCUACAUGCGUCGUGGUUGCGCCGUUGGAGGCCAGGCGAGCACGUUUUUUUCUUUCUUUUUGACUUAUCGCCGUAGUUGGACUAGCAUGUCGAGGUGGGUUGAAGUUUAUCGAAAUCAUCAGGGUAUCUUCUAAGUUUUAGUAUUUGUCGACAUGUAUCAUCCGUCUAUUUUUCUUGCUUGUACUCGAAUUCAUGGAUUAGUGUUUAAAUCUGAAUUUGGAGUUAAGCUAGUAGUUUAAUUUUACAUGUUGGACUUGGAAUUGACUUAGGAAAAAAUAUAUUAAAUCCUAUACUGUCACUUUCUGAAAAAAUUACCAGAUUUAGUUUCUGAAGCUGUUGAGUCUUGUAUCCACGCUGUUAGUGCGCAUUUGAUACUCAGAUAGCUUCUGAAGCUGUUGCGCUUUGUAUCUACACUGUUAGUGCACAUUUGAUACUCGGAUAGCUUCUGAAGCUGUUGCGCUUUGUAUCCACACUGUUAGUGCAUAUUUGAUACUCGGAUAGCUUUAGGCAUUGUGGUUUAUUUUUAUCACUGUUGUUUGUAUGCGGUGGAUACCUAGAUUAGUGUAGGAUAAGUUUACGCUCGUGUUGGGAUGCCGAGCUUAUUUUACAGCAGUGUGUAGACUGUUUUGGACUGUAGGGUGCCACCGCGGUUGACGGUGGAAUCUGUUAAGGAUUUUAUAGGUUGGCGGAUUUCAUAAUGUUGAAUGGAGUCUUGAAGAGUUGAUUGCAGAAGAUUGACGAAAAGAUCUAAAUUGAAGGAAAAAGACUCACUCGUAAAGUUCGGCACCUAAGGUAUGAAGAAAAUAUCAUUUGUGAUGAAGAUAUUUGAUUAGAAUAAGUUCAGAAGGCUUAGAUUGCUUUAAAAAUACUUUACUGAACUUUUCUGUGUUCAGGGACCGGUCCCUGAGGUCAAGAGACCGGUUCCCCUAAGGUUCUCACUGCGUGAACAUUGAUGCAACCGGUCCCCUGAGAUGAGAGACCGGUUUCCGAACCUUGGUAUUUCUGUCGCGCAGCGAGGGACCGGUCUCAAGCUUGAGAGACCGGUUCCCGAACGUUGUGAUUUUGGUCACGCAGUGAGGGACCGGUUCCUCACUUGAGAGACCGGUCUCUCACAGACCGGUCUCCUCGAGAAGACCGGUCUCUAAGGACGACACAGGUUUUUAAAAAAGGACUUUUUGCAAUCCUAGUCUACUUCUAAGUCUUCUAAACAUAUAAAUAAGCUAUGUGCUUCAAAUUUUUGAGAAUCAUUCGAUGAUUAAACAUUAAAUAGUGCGUUGAACAUUGAUAAUUUACAUUUAUUCAUUUCAAAUUAAUUCCAUAUUAAUUAUCGGUUUCACUUCAUUAUCAUUAUUUAUGAAGAUAAUUUAUAAUAGAAUAUCUUAAUUCUUAUAUUCAUCAAAUUUGAGUAAUCAUGUGUAAUCGUUCGGCACUUAACCUAUCUCGGUUGUGUAUGUUGAAUUUGAUGAAUGAAAAUUUGCUAAUCGACUAAAACUUGUCAAAUUUUUCUUUCAUAUAAGAGAUUGCAUAAUUAAGGGGGAGUCAUAUAAAAAGAAAAUAAUAAAAAGGGGAAAAGAAAAAUCCUAAAGGGAGUGUGAAAAGAGUUACAUCCCAAAGGGAGUGUGAAAACUACCACCACAUGGAGGAAAGAGUUACCACUCCGGUCGUCCGGUAAAUGUGUGAAGCUACCAUAUGAGAUUUGAUUGAAUAAUCGAAAAGGUUGAAAAAAAAUGUUCAUAUCAUAUAAAAAUUUUUCGGUGUAAUAAGGUGGUUUAGUAAAAAGAUGCUCAAAGAGCCACCCCAGGUAUAUUAUUGUUCGAUCUCGAAUUUGAACGUUUAUGCAACAAAUUUCUGUCAUUUGGUGAAUCUUCAUAAGUCAUCUUUAUAAUCCGUUACAUCUCGAUAGAUUUUGAGCCUUUAGAUUAUUUUUGAUGACUUGAUUUUGAUAUAUAUAUAUGGAUAAAGAAAUUUUAUUAUAUUUUCACUUCAUCUUGGUGAUUUUGUAGUGAAAUUCUUAAUUUUUGUGAAAUUGAUGUAGAUUGAGCAAAAUCUAUGUGAAUUUAUCAUGUUCAUGCACUAACUUUUGAUUGGCUCUCUCAUUUUUGGUACUUUCUUUUGGCAAUUUUUGACAAAAGGGGGAGAGAGAUGAGAUUUGAGAUUUUAGAGAUUUUAAAAAAAAGGGGGACAUAAGCAAAGGGGGAGAGAUUUUCAUUCGACAUGAACAAAGGGGGAGAGAUUUUCAUUCGAUUUUCAUAUUUUUACUACUAAUUUUUAUUUGUGAUGAAUGUAGUUUUGCAGAUUUUGAAGACAUCAAGACUCCGUGUGUUUAAGUCAUAGAGUUUGUUUAGGAGUUACAAAUUAUAAUUUUGUAUGUUUUAGAUCUUUCACGCGAGAAGUUCAUUGUUUUGGUGAUGGCAAUGAAUUUUAAUUUUUUUUAAUUUUGGAGAGUUGAGCGUUGUGAAUAUUUUGAUGUAUUUUUGAGUUUUGUCACGAAAUUGCCAAAGGGGGAGAUUGUUACGGAUUUUAUAUUGGCAUAUUUCAUGAAGUAAGUCAGAGUCUUGAAAGUUUGAAGAAGAAGAGAUGAAGAUCGAAAACUCGAAGACUCAAAACAUGAAUCCACAAUGCUCGGUAAGUUUAAAUACUAUUGAUGAUGAUUUAUAAUUAUUUAAAAGUGUUUGGAAGACUUAGAAUGGUUUCAAAAUAUAAUAUCUGGACUAAACUGAGCCUUUCAAGAUUCGGGGACCGGUCCCUGAACUGAGAGACCGAACCCCGUAGAUUCUCUCUGCGUGAAGACUGCGAGGGGCCGGUCCUUAAAGUGGAGAGACCGGAUCCCGUAAGUUGAAUUUUUCAUUACGCAGCGAGGGACCGAUCUCUGAACCGAGGGACUGGUUCCCGCAACUGGUUUUUCCCAUUGCGCAGGGAGGGACCGGUCCCUGGACAGAGAGACUGGUUCCCGUGACUUGGUUUUUCUUAUGCGCAGAGAGGGACCGGUCCUUGGCUUGGAGGACCGGUCCCCCAAGGACCGAUCUCUUCGGGAGGACUGGACCCUAAGACCGUCGUUUGUUACAAAAAAUCAGUUUUUUAAAUCCUAGUCUAUCUCUAAAUCUUCUAAAUUGAUAAAUAAGAUGUGAGGGUGUUUCAAAAGUACGGCUAAGCAUAGAAUAUCUUUUUAAAACCCUAGAAGCUUGUUGGGUGCUCUUUGUCUCUCUCCAACAACAAGUUUCUAUCGGAUCAAUUCUUGAAAUCCUAAUUUCUCGUUCUUCAUGGAGAAUUGAUCCGGCUAUUGCUUAGAAACAUCUUCUACGGAUCUUUAAUGAUUAUCUAAGCAAUAAAUCAUCAUAAAUCAUAUUGUUCUUGCUCCGGACGGAGUGCGCUCGUGGAUUCGAGUGGACGUCGUGGAUUCGGCAUGAUCAAGGCUUCGUGGAUUCGAAGUGUUGGAGUUUCGUGGAUUCGGGACAUGGCGUUCGUGGAGUCGGACGUGGGGCGUGGACAACCCGUUGGUGUGCGCGAGAUCCAGAGAAGAUAAAAGAGAGGUUUGAGUCCGUGGAUUCGGUAAAUCACCUUGUAAUCUUUUAUUUCCUAGUGGAUUGUUAUCGCGUGUUGGUCCCGUGGGUUUUUUACUCCAAGUUGGAGUUUUCCUACGUAAAUCUCGAUGUGAUUUUUAUUUUCCGCAUUUACUUUUAUUGCAUCGAGAUUGGUUUUUGGCCGUUACACCUAUUCACCCCCCUCUAGAUGUUGGAUACAAUCUAGAUAGAUCUUUGGGCACCCCAAAACUUACAAAUUUAAACUUAAAUCUGAGUUAAAUUUAUAAUUAAAAUUUAAGACAUAAAUUAAAUUUACAAUUUGAAUUUAAAGUUUAAGUUAUAACUCAUAACUAAAAUUAAAUUUUAAAAUAAAAGUUCAAUAUGGAAAUUACAACAUUUAUUCAAAUUUGAAUUCAAAUGUAACGCCCCAAUUUCCCAGGGGUCACCCAUUCUAGGACAACUCCUAUCCUAACAAGCUNCCUUGUACCGGUACACGGGCUCCUGUACCGGUACAAGAGCCAACCCGAGAGCAGCUAAAUCUGUGCGCGUAGCUUGUACCGGUACAGAAAACCCUUGUACCGGUACAGCAAGCAUUCCCCGCGCUGGUUGUACCGGUACAGCAUAGUCUUGUACCGGUACAGCAAGCAGGAAAAUCUGCUAUUUUGCAGAUUCCUUCGCUGAAUGCUGCCCUCGCGUCGCACGGAGUCCGUUUUUCGUCUAUUUGACGUCAACGCGACUCGGACUUGUCCCGACACUCUCCAGAGCUGUCGACAAGCCUCCACAGUCAAACACCAGAGAUCUCACAUCAUAAUUCAAACUGAAUAUUUGAAUUCAUAAAUUGAAUUCAAAAUUCAAACUGAAACACAAUUUAAAUUAAAUGUAAAUAGCAAAUUUAAAUUUGAAUUUGAAUUUAAACUUAAAAAUUUGAAUUUUUUAAUUUGAAUUCAAAGUUCAAAUUGAAGUUCUCAGUGAAAAUUAAUUAGAUUAGAAUUUAAAUUUCAAAUUUUAAAUUUACAUUCUAGAAUUCAUAUUUAAAUAAAAAUAUAAAUUUUAAAAUUUAAAUUUAAAUAUAAAGUCAUAAAUUUGAGUUUAAAAAUUUUAUGUUGAUGUUGAAUUUACAAAUAAAAUUCAAAAUGUGAUCAUAAUUUUAAUUAAAAUUUAAAGUGAUAUUCAACUUUAAAAAUAAUUUAAAAGAUUAAAGUUAAGACCAAAUAUGACCUUUUAACUAUUUCCUCACUUUCGAUGACUUAUGAAUUUUUUGAGCCGAAAUAAAAAAAGUGAAAUUUAAUUAUAACUCUAUAGAGUUCCGAGGGUUUGGUAUCGGAUUGGUUUCAGUAUUAGUGACUGGUCGACACAUCUGGAGAGUGUCGGACUGAGUCGGAGUCGUUUUUACACGAAAUGGAUGUAGAAAUGGACUCGGCGCACUCAAAUAAGUAAAACUAGAGUUUUGCCAGUUUUAGGCGCCCAGAACAUGGUUUGGGAUGCCCAGAUCUUGAGUGCUGAACUGAACUGAAUUGGAAACCAAUUUGGAUCCUGUGUUCCGAGUGCCCCAGAAGUGAGUCCGAAUGUUUCACUUUGGGAAUAUCGAUUGUGCUGACACGUGUCUGGUGGAGGGUAAGGUCCGCCGGACCAGGAUAAGGGCACAGUAGACCACGGGCGAAGGAACCGAAGAGGAAUGUUUGUAUAGUCUGGAGGUUUCGGACGCCCAGAAUAUGGUUUCAGGCGCCCAAAAGUGCCCGUUCCUGCAGGACAGCAGGUUGGCAGCUCUUGUUCCUGAGGCUUAUUUUAUCCUCUCACCUCCCUAUAAAUAGAUGGUAUUCGACUCCUGAGAAGUCUUUUCAUCCCUUCUUCACAGAGAAGCUAUAUUUUGCAUCUUAGCCCCUCAAAUUACUCCAAAUUCUAUAAUUUGCACCUUGAGGACUGCAGUUCAGCAGAAUUCCAGCAGCGACCUUCGGCGUUUUGGCUCGUGUACAACGUAGGAAGUUCGGAUUGCUGCGAAAUUUGGUUUAGUGGUUAGCAGACUGCUUGGAGGUUUCAUGGAACCCAUUUUGAUAGAAAUUGAUUGAGGUUUGUAUAGUCAAUUUCGUAUUUUCCUAAGCUGUUGGUAUUUUGGAAUUGAAAUUGAGUUUUCUUUGGUUUUCUUGGACCAAUGCUGGGAGGGAGCUGGAAUUGCAACCUGAGAUUGAUACUUCAUCAUAGUUCACUGGAUUUGGGACCUUUUAUCACCUGAUUUGAAGAUUGGAAGGUGAAGUCGACAUUGAGAUUGAGGCUAUUUUAAUCUUAAGUGCUGAAUUUUGGAUUAUUGAUGGAGUUUUGGUGAUUUUUGUGUGUAGACCUAUCGAGUGCUGUUGCUGGUUCGAGGUUGGUGUCGGCAGGAUUCCAUCAAUCGCUUGUUGUCGACGAGCUGUACUUGAGAUGGGUUAAUCAUCGGAUUCUCUUCCUAAGUGUAGGCAUAGUCAACAUGUAUAUAUUUUUAGUCUUGAUAUAUCUUGUUUUUAGCUCUAAUUCAUCGAUUGGCAUGUUGAUUGAAAUCUGAAUCUGGAGCAUACAGUAGUGAGUUAGAUAAUGUAUACAUGUUGGAUUUGAAACUUGACUUAGGAGAAAACUAACGAUUCUACACCGUCAUUUGUUAAAACUACCAGAUUUAUUUUUAGGAGCCGUAGUUUGUUUGUAUCGCCGCACUUUAUGAGCGGUGGAUAACCAGGGUAGUGUAAAAUACUUUUACGCUCGUGCUGAGAUGCCGAGCUAAUUUUUAUAGCAGUGUUCAGGUUGUUCCGAACUGUUGGGUACCGUUGAGGUUGACGGUGGACCCGAAUUGCUGCUUUUGCAUCAGAUUGUGCUGAGGGCACGUGAGUUUGGUUGCUAGACCCUGUUUAUUUGACUAUAGCCUGUGAGAACCUGAUUGAGCUCGGCAGAGACACGCUUGCAUACUCGGUUGGGUAGCGCCCACGAGUGCCACUCCGGAGUCGGGCUUAGUGCGUUUGCAUUGUUGUCGGUUUGUCCUGGUUGGACUUGCUCUUCACUGACGACCUAGCGUGGUGGCAGUUAGUGUAGCUUCGACAGGCAGGGCGGGUGUGUUCACAGUCCCUAGUGAGAUUGGGUCAGGAUUUACAUUUUCUACAGAUAAUUAGUAUUGGAUCAUGAUAGUAUAGCGGCAUAUAGCUCUAGUUGUUUCCAAUUCCUUUACUAUCUUUGAGCAUACUUUCUAUAAACUUGUUCGGUGAGCCGAUGAGUUUGAGGGCGGUACCCACUGAGGACUACUUUGUUUUGCAGUAGUUCUCACGCCCAGCUGUUACCCCUCUUUUUGCAGAGCCUUCUUCUACGGCUGCUACGGUUGCGGAGACUGAUCGUGGAAAGGGUGUUGCGAGUUAGAGACUUUUCUGACGAGUCACAGAGCUAGAGGAGUACCAGCUACAGGUAGUAUAGUUGUAGUUUUUAGUUUAUUAUACAUACUGAUGUUUGUAUCUCGCUGGAGAGAGUGUUUUUAUAUACCGAGAUGCUAUGUAUGUAUAGUGAACCUUUGUUGUUUAUUUAUGUUUUAUUUCGGCAGCUCUAUACUACUGGUUGUAGUGUUGUAUGAUUACGGGUACAGGUACUACUUCGCUUCGUAUACAGAAAAAAUUUCUAUGUAUACGGCGAGUCUGUUAAUGUGCCCGGGGAAACGAGUAAACCGGGGUAUGACAAACUCAUUUUAUCAGCCCAGUUUUGUAAAGUGACUUUCAUAUUUACUUUCGCAAACCAAACAACCGAUAAGGCGUCACUUUUCAAAAGUGCCAUUUUCGAUGCUUCACUUUCGGCCAACCAAACAUGCCCAUAAUAUAGAUAAGUAUGAAGUAUAGAAAAAAUUAUUAUUAGAUAAGUUGUUAAAUAAGAUGGAAUAUGAAUAUUAUAUAUGCGACAAUUAUUAGGAGAUAGGGUAUGCGUAUAAAAGGUGGGAUUUGAUACGCAUUGUCUAAGAUUACAACUGCAUACAUUAUGUUCGGAAGUUGUUUGACACUAUUCAAUUUUGCAAGUCUGUAUGAUUUGAAUUCUUGCUAAUUUUAUAUAAAAGUAAACUAUCCUACCAUCACUUUAGGUAGAAAUCAAAUUUUAUUAAAUAAGAUUGUUGUGAAAAUUUCUUUGAUAUAAUUUAAACUUAAAUAUAAAUUAAUUAAUUUAGAUUAUACAAGAUUAUUAUAUUUGGUAAAUGAAAAAUGCUCUGCUUAUAAAUAAAUUUCACAAUGUUUUACAAACUCUAUAAUUCAGAGAUUGAAUUUCAACUUUAAAAUUAGGGAGCGUUUGGUUCGCAAUAUAAAAGAUUACUAAGAAUAAAAAGAUGUCUAAGAAUCUUAUUUCUAUUCAUCCUAUUACAAAGAAUGUGGCAUUCCUGUGUUUGGUUCGUACAGUCAUAUUAUUUAGCCAUAGUAUUUUAGAUUACAAAAAAUAUACAAUUAAUUUAUUUAUUUCUUUAAUUAAUUUUAGAUAAUGCUACUAAAAAUUUCAACAUCUUUUUAGAAAAAUGGGAGAGAGAACAUACGUUCGAGAGAGAGAGAGCAUAAUUAAAGAAAUAGAAAGAUAAAUAGAGUCAAGGUUAGAGGGAGUGAGAGAGUUGAAAUUUUAGAAGAAGAGGGGGAGAGAGACUUAGUUUAGAGAGAGAAAAAAAAUUGAAGUUUAAAGAGAAAAAGAUAAGUUUAGAGAGACAUAUGAAAUUAGAUUGUAAAGAAAAAUAAUAUCAAUUAGUCAGCGGAUAGGGAGAAAGAAAGAGAUUAAAUAUAUUAUGAUUAUCCCAAUCCAUUAAUAUGAGGAUACCCACCGUCCCUCAAGGGAAUGAGAUUAGUACUUUGGGUUGAAUUAAUCUCAUUUUCAAGUAAAUCAAAUAUUACCAACUAGAUUACUUAGUGCGUUUAGCCAAACACCAUCAUAUUUUUUUAUUCCUAUUGGAUUACUAGGAAUCUUAAAAAGAUAGCGUGAACCAAACACACCCUUAAGGUUAAUUUCAAAUACCACCCAUGUAGUUUAACGUUUCUCACUUUAAUACCCUGUUGUUUAAAGUGUAUCAAAUUAGUACCCUAUGAUUUUAUUUUUCUCUUUUCGUCAGCUCCUCCGUUAACAUUUCAUUAAAUUAUAUACAAAAAACUUCAUAUACUUCACCUAUAUUUAUCGCAUAUUCAAUUUAGUACCUUUUAGUUUUAACUUUGUCACUAGUUCACUGAAAAAAAUUAGUGGAGGGAAAAAUAAAAAGAGAAAAAUAAAAUCACGGGGUACUAAAUUGAUACACUUUAAACCAUAGGGCACUAAAAUAAAAAAAGUGCGAAAUCACAAGGGUAGUAUUUGAAGUUUUUCCUUAAAAUUAUAAGUCAUGCUUACCUUCUUGUGAUUCAUCAAUUCUCCAUCAAUUAAACAUCACAUGUAUGCUAGAUUGUAAAGUGUUGUAAAAUUUGUUUGUAAGUAUAGGAUUUCUCGGUGGGUAGGGGUGGACUCAAAAUGGGUUAAUUUAUUUUACUUUUUGCUCUUACUCACCGCUUCAUUCGGGGUAGAAAGGGGCGGAAGAAGAUCUUCGGCCGAUCAGAGAGAUCAAAAGAAGUAAGGGGUCCUCUACCUCUCUCUCUAUUUCUUAGAGAAUCGGAAUAGAUUCCAGACACUAUAUAUUUUUUUUCUUUAUUUUUUGCUCCCAUUACUGCCCUAUUUGGGGUAGAUCGAGUAGGGAGCUCCACAAACCCGAACCUAUUUGCAUCCCUAAUUUGAAUCAAUUAUCAACGUCAUUAAAUAUAAUUUAUGGCAUGUGAACUUCCUAAAAAUCAAGUUUUUUAGUAUUUUGACAUUCUUUACAUAUUGUUUGAAUAGUCUCAAAAUUAAUAAUUUUCAAUGAUGUAUUUAGGGUGUAUUUGAGAUCGCUUGAUCAUUGGGAAGUUCACAAGCUGUAAAUCAUAAUUAACAUAUCAAACUGCAAUUCUAGCACCCUACCAUCAAAACUGAUAUCGAAGUUUUUAGGGCUGAUGCUUAUAAAACUUUUCUAGCUCACUACCAUUAUUUUUUUUUUUAAAAUAAUGAUAGCAUGCUACGCGCUUUGUUUAUUUUUUUUAGAAAUAAACUUAACUGGAAAUGUGAAUCAGUUAGGAUUCAAACUUAAAACCUUGGAUAUCAACCACCAAAUCCUUUGUCACUUGCGCUAGGGACGGUCGGUAGCUCAAUUCUAUUAUUAACUUAAUAAUAAACAUCAUUAUGCAUUCAUCAUCUAAAAGGUGGAAGGUCCAAAGUAGAGGAUAAAAUUAUCUAUACCUGUACAUUAUUCCUCUUAAAUUUGCGACAUAGUAGCAUAUCCUUCAUUAUUCAGUGUGGGCUCUAAUUAGAACUGGCUCAGAUCCUCUACAUAUUUUCUUCUUUUUUGGCUUGAAUCAAAUUGGAUUUUUCUCUUUUUUUGCUUGAACCGAAUUAAUUAUUGUUAAGUGUAGACUCUUCCGAAUCGGCUCAAGUCUUCUACAUGUUUUUUUCUUUCUUUACUUGAAAUGAACUUGAUUUCUCUCUUUCUUUACUUGAAUUGAACUAGAUCAACAUUUUUUUGGCUUGAACCGAACCGGAUCACACCUCUACAUUGAGCCGAACUAUUCUUCUUCCUCUUCCUUCAGUUUCUUUCAUUGGCAAGAUGAAUCUCACCCUUUACCGUCAUUCCUUUUAUUGCCGUUUUCUCUUCUUUUGUCGUCUUUUUUUUUUUAUUUUUUUCAAUUAUCUAUCCGUCGUAUCGCACGUAUUACUAUACUAGUUAAGCAACAAAUACGAUUGGUUAGUCCACAAAGACUAUUAACACUUCUUACUAAGAAAAUAGACAUUAAUUAAUAAUUAAUAGUGUUUUAAGAUCACUGCCACAAUAAAUUAAUUACUUUAUUGACUAUUACUUUUUGUUUGAUUACAAUCACAUGGAUUAGAAUUCUCCCCAUUCUUUGAAUUGAAGCGUUGAUAACGCAUACCAUCACUUGACUAUACAGCAGUGGUGUAAUUUUUAUUCUCAUCAUAUCGCUAUAUAUUCCUGUUGCAUUUAUGAAACGUCUUUUCUCAGCCAAAAGAAAAAAAUAGUUUAUAUUACGUACCUUUUUAAAAUUUUCUUUUGUGGACAAGAAUUUUGUGGGUAUCGUCCCCAAAUAACUUGUUUGGGGAUGAUACUGAUGCGCGCCGUGUGGCGUGCGGGUGCCCAUCGCGACCCUUGGAAACGAAAAAAGGAAAAAAAAAUUUGAGGGCUCCGAAUUUUUAGAGAGAGAGAGAGAGAGAGAGAGAGCAUGGUAAGAGAAAGGGACAGUCAUGAUGGGCACCCGCACACCACACGGCGCCCAUCGGCUCUGUCCCCAAACAACUUGUCUGGGGAUGGAUGCCCAUAAAAUUUUUGUCCUAAUUUUGUGUUCAACAUAAGACUUUUCAUGAAUAAUUGUCACAUGCAUACAAUAUUAAUGUAGACGUACCUGUGCACAUGUAAGAGACUUUUUUGAGAUGUAGUGUGAAAAAUUGGUUUAGUUUUGACUUAAAACUAUUUAUGGACAAAAUUAAAUCAAAAUAAAAAACCUAGUGGACAAAAUCAAAGAGAUGAACGGAACGUUCGAAUACUCUAUAGUGCCCCAACUUCCAACCAUAGUUAGUUAAUUCGGAUUCGGCAAAAAUUCGGUAUGAAUAUAAUAUGUAUAAAAUUCGUUUUCUAAUUUUUAAAUUCGUUGAAAAAUUCGGCUUAAAAAACGAAUUCGGUAUAAAAUAUAAAAUAUAAGAUAUAAAAUAUAAAUCAAUUUAUAUUUAAAAAUAAAAUUAUAAGUUUUUUAUUCAUAUUUUCAAUAAUUCGGCAAUAAUUCGUGAAUAAUUCGCGAAUAAUUCGGUUGGCUCAAAAAUUCGUGAAUAAUUCUCUUUCUUUUGGAAAAAUUCGUAAACGGACUGUUUAAUUCGGAUUUUCAAUAAUUCGCGAAUAAUUCGCGAAUUUACUAACUAAUUCGCAAAUAACGGCAAGGUUUUAUUGGAUGGUUAACUUCCAAACGUUAUUGGAACUUUGACUUUGGUAGAACCAACUAAUAUCCAUGAAAAAAACUAUGAAUCUAUACAUAUAUUAAAGGCUGAGUUUUACUGUGGCCUACGUGGCGCUUUCUCGGCGCCCCCCGCUUGCCCCGCAUUGCGUGGGUGCUCCGCGCUCGCCCCGCGUUGCGUGGGUGCUCGGGAGGGGUGCGUGUCGCCCUACCCGCGUCUCCCGCACCCUGUCUCCUGACGCCGCGGGAUCUUGGGUUCUUCUGUGGCCUACGUGUCGCCUCCUCGGCGCCCCGCUCCUCUCGCGCCCCUUCGAAGCGCCCCCGCGUUUGGCGGGGGCUUCGGUGGCCCCCACAGCGGGGCCGGCGGCAGCGGCGGUCACCUCCUCAGCGCCCCCCUCCUCUCUGCCGUUUCUCCUCGAGCGGGCGCGGGCAUGCGACGGGCCGCGCACAGCCCUCCUCGAUCCGGGCCCCCACCUCCUCCUCUCUCCGAUCCGGCCCCUCCUGUCAGGUGUUUGUCGGGCCCUACCCUGACCUCCUCCUGCAUCCAAUGCGGAGGGUCGCGCUUCUCCCUGCAGCUCCCGCAAACCCCGGGCCUUUGUCGCCCUGCUACGGUGUGCCUCCUUCCACCCCUCCCCAUCCCUGCCACCGCCGAAACUUCCUCGCCCAAUUCCAUGGUUUGCUCUCUGUCGCCUCUCUCUCUCUCUCUCUCUCUCUCUCUAUCUAUCUCUCUCUACUGAGUGGAGCAAGGGGAGCUCCAAGAAUUGUUCGUUUUGCUGCGCCCCUCAUAUGUUUGAUGCAAUGUCUACUAGAGUCUUUUCUCUAAUUCUCUCUCCACUAUCAAAUUUUUUUGAUUUUACUAUGCUUGCUCUUGCAAUCUAUUGCUUAAUUGAAAUUUUAUGUUUUGUUUGAUUCUUAUAUAUUCUUUCUUAUUGCUUUCUUUAUCCAAAAACAAAGUUAAGAACUUUUAUUUGAAAAAGAAUUCUGAUAAUAGGCGGUGAUGAUGAGUUGAAACACCACAAUGUAUUCGGAAGUUCGAUUCUUGAUUAUAGGUUUCAUACAUUGAUGAUGAAGUUUCAUAAGGUCUCUAUCUUCUCUUUUAAGUAUUUUUCGAAUUCAUAUUAGAAGGUUUGGACGGUGAGGCAGUAUGGAUGGCCACAUGGCAACCACUGCAGCUUUGAAUCCUUUGCAAAAGUUUGGUUUGCACUUGAAGAGAAUGGACAAUUCCAUUUGCAGUUAUCAAGUUGAGUUCUUUUAAUGUUUCGUAUGAUUUCUUCGGCUGUUUGGUAAAAAGAAAUUAAUCCUUCUUGGAUUUGUUUUCUAUCUUUUUUUUGCCUCUUAAGAUUUUUGUGUGGGAUUUUGAUUAUUUUCAUUGGUAUCAAUUACCUUAGCUUUCUAAAAUUCCAUCGCUAAAAAGAAAAGUGGGUUACUAUUUAUUUUCUGUUUUAUUGAAGGAUAUUUCCUUUGCUGUUUCUUUCUUUCUCCUGGCUCUUCUUUGAGGCGAUGAUGAUAAGUUGAGGGAAGUGCGAAAAAUAUUUUCUUCGAACAAGUUGAGGUUUGGAUGGCCUACUCAUAGGCAACCGCCUUAUAUUGUCUUAACUUUGGUGGUUGCGCACAUUCCCCUCUAACGGUAGUUUAUUGCUUGGCAACCGGAAAGUGUGGAAAAUGUUUACUUCGUACAAGUGGAAGUUUGGACGGCUUACUCAUAGGCACCGGCUACAUAUUGUCUUACCCUUGCUGGUUGUGCACAUUUUCCCACAAUGGUAAUUUCUUUCUUAGGCCCUGCUUCCUACCAUUCUUAUUCUUAGCGGCUGCGCACAUUUCCCUCCUACGGUAAUCUAUUGGUCCUACUACUACCCUAUACUUAUGAGCAAUGCUGUCGAGUGCUUAUGAGCAAUGUUACCAAUUUGACUUAACUGAGCCUUACCUUUUUGUCCCCUUUUAGGGUGAUUCUUUAAAUUGGUUUUGCAACAGAAUUUAUACAACUGUUUGAAUUGUUCCCUGUUUAUCGACCUUUUAAAUAUUCUUCUUCGUUUGGCUGUCGGCAUUUGAAUUGAAUUCUUCCUGUGGUUUUUUUUUUAUACAUAAUCUUUUGAUGAUUCUUUAGAUUAUGUUUUUUUAUUCAUUUACCAUAGUCUAUUAUAGUAUUUUCAUUGAGCAUAAUAGAGCUAUUUAAUUUAAGCUGAAGAGAGUACAUAACAUAUUUACUUCGAACAAUGAUUCCCCAAUGAACUCUCUGUUGUCAUUUUAAUUUACAUUGUCUGCUACACUCUCUUGCUAUUAUGAUGAUUAAUAGGUAGUUUCAUGCAUUUUUACUGUCCUUUUGCAUUCUGAAAUCUGAGGCCUUGAUAUUGACAGUACAAACUUAUUUGACUGGCCUUCAGAAUGAUCUGAUGUUUAGUUGUGCUCAGCUUUGGCAUUCCUAUUUUGUUUAAGCUGAAAAAAAAAGUUGCGCUUCGAUAACCUGAUCCCUGGGCAACCAGCUGUAGAUUGCUUUGUUUGCAAUGUCCAUAUAGAUUAUAACUCAAAUUGCAUUAUUAAUCAAGAAGGUUUCCGUGCUAAUCUAAUAAUAAUGUUUAGUGGGGGGGGGGCUGAGCAUAUUAUAUUUGUUUAUUUCCACCCUCAUUCAUGUAUACUAUUUGGUGUGAUUUUCCUGAGCUGAUUUACUAUAGAGGUUUCCAUCUUUCUUUCAAGUAUUUGUUUAAUAAUACAGUUGGGGAUUUUGAUGCUUUGCGUAUCACUUGCUUUGGUUCAGCAUGCAGCUGUUGGGGUUAAAAAAGCAUGUGUUUUCAGUUAGAUUGGUCUUUUUUGGUGUAUCCGUAAGUGCCUAAGAACUACAGAGUUUCUUGGUGUCGAAUGUACAGGCAAAGUUUCUUUAGUUUGGACAAUGGAAGCUUUGAACUUUCUUUCACUAACUCUUGGUACCUAUAAUAACAUAGAAGCAAAACCGAGCAUAAACCAUGUAUCAAGUUGCUUUUGUACUUCGAAAUAUAUGGCUCAACCUAUUAGCGCCAGCGAAUUGUGUGUUCAUUCUUUCUGUUGAGUACGACUGACACUUUGUUUCAAGUACUUUGAAGUUGUAUCCUAACUACCAAAACAGUUUAUAGCAAAACUCAAUCAAAUGCAUUCAAAUUAAGCAUCUCUGAAUUUUCUUGAUUCGGAACUUAACUCUGAGGCACAAUGGUGAAUAUCUUUCAAAAUAUCCAAAAGAGGAAACUUGGGUGCAACAAUUUUAUAACAGUUACAGCAUUUAUUCUCCACUUCCUUGCAUAUAGCCUCUAUGCUAGGCAUAUGAAAACCCAUAUAAGCAAGCGCAGAGGGAUUACAUGUCAACAAAAGUUUAAUGGCUCCCAAAUUUUGAGGUAGCUGCUUCAAGCCGGUGUAUGUAGUUUGGUGUCAUUUGCACAGCCUGAUUUACUAUGGAAUUUCAAUUUUUUCCCGUCGAUUUCACCGUUGAUGUUGCUAUUUUCUAUCUUUUCUUUGAGGCGAUGAUGAUAAGUAGAGGAAAACGUGAAAAAUGACGGUUUCGAACAAGCGGAAGUUUGGACGGCCUAUUCAUAGGCAACCACUUCCUAUUGUUCUUAUCCCUGGUCAUUGCACACAUGUUCCUCCUACGGUAAUCUAUUGCUUCCUCCUAUUACUAUUUUGUGCUUACGAGAAUUUUCCUGACUUAAACUGAGCCUUACCUUUUUAGGUUUUUCAUGAAGACUGCUUCAAUUUUUUCUGCGGUGAACUAUUGCUUGCUCCUAUUUCUAUCCUGGUUCCGGCUGUGUGCUUCAGGGGUGGUUAAUCUCCUUUGCUAAUUUUGGGGGUGCUGACUUCUUCUUCUUCUUCUUUCUCUUUUUUCCCUCUUUCUUUCUAUCUUCCUCUCCCUUUCCCUGUUCUUCCCUGCUGCCAGCUGAAUUUCAGCAGUAGCAGUUGUUGUCGGGGCCAACAGUAUAUCAGCAGCAGCAGGCUGCAUCAACAACAGCAGCCUCUGCAAUAGCUGUGGUGGCAGCGUCUACUGUGGGAAUUGUGAAAAUUUGGAACUUAUAAUUACUGAAUUGGGUCUUAGUCGAGAAUUAUUUGGUGGGGGAGAGCUCGAGGAUCAUAUCCUUUCACCAAAUUGCAGGUUAGAAGGUUUGAAUUUGAGCCAGUUUGGAGCCUUAAGCUGAAUUUUGCAUUAUAUUGAUUUUUCGUUUAGUUUUCGGCCAAUUCUCUUAGUUGAGAUUGCGGGGUCCUGAAUUGGAUUUGUGCUAGAGAUUUCAUGGAGGAGAGGAGCUCUUGGAUGGCUUUACUUUAGCUAAAAUUCAGGUUACUUGAAAUGUAAUGGGUGCAUUUUAGUUAUUUAAGCUGAAAUUUCAUCAUGUUGAUUGAAUGGUGAAAUUAAGUCUAUUCCCACCAAUUCCUUAUUUGAAGCUGUGAUUCCUUUAAUUCUUCUUCUGUUUUUGGAGUUGAAAGCUUAAGAAAUUCCACUACAGUCUGGUAGCAAGGUUGGUUGAUCUUUGGUUUAGUAAAAUUUUAAAUUUUUUCCGUCAAUUUCGCUAUUGAUGCAACUUUGUAUUGGAGUAGUUUACCUCCUGUGCUGAUUUUGGGGGCACUGAAUUCUUGCUAGAUUGGAGGCUGAGGAGAAGUGUGUUUGUGAUCGAUUCAGCACUAUAGUUGGGUUAGCACUUGAGGUGGGUUUUAUUAAUUAAAUUUGAUGGAAUAGUUGGGUUAGCACUGUGUACUAAAUUCCUACAUACAUGCUAUUCAAAUACAUGCUUAUAAUCAAUCUACUCAAUUAUAUUGGCAUAGCUUCAUGUUAAAUAUUUUGUUUAUCGAAAACUUUUAGUGAUGAUAACCGUUUUUCCCAAUGAUGUCAGUUCAAAUCGGAGCAAAUUUAUGCAUUGAUUUGUCGGAGCUGUGGCUUAGUUAUUUGACAUAAUGCUUUUGAGGUUUUGUCUAGAAAAAACUCUUGCUUAUUGCCUUUCCUUUAGCAUGAUUUGCCAAAAAAAAGAAAUUCCUAGAAUCCGCAAGUCCCUUUUUGGUUCCUGUAUGUUUUCCAAAAAAGAUAACAAUCAUGUUUCCUACAUUUUCUUGCUGGCUGUAGGUUCUUUGUUGCUCUUUGUAGAUGUGUUCUGUGUGGUUUAUAAUAAUGCUUUGUUAUUUCUUGGGUACUUUGGCUUCACCUAUUUUUGUGCAUGCUAUGAUGACUGCCUCUUGAUUUGUCAUUUCUUGGGUACUUUGUGUGGUGUAUGUGUGUUUUAACAUGUUUUGUGUUGAGUUUCUGUGUUAGUUUUUAUUUUAUAAUCGCCUUAUGUUUUGUGGGCUAUGAUGGCUGCCUCUUGAUUUGUCAUUUCUUGGGUACUUUGUGUGAUGUAUGUAUGUUUUAACAUGUUUUCUGUUGAGUUUUUGUGUUAGUUUUUAUUUUAUAAUCGCCUUAUGUUUUGUGGAUUUUCUAUUUUAGUUUUCUUUUUCGGGCUAUGAUGCUUUUGUGCCUUUGAUCGCCACAUGAUACUAUUGGCCAUAUCUUUUCCUUCUGUUGUAAAAGUGAGGAUAUUCAGUGAUUAUACUUAGUGUGCAAUAUUUGGAUGGCCUAUUAUAUAGGCAACCAGUUGUGACUACUUAUUUGAGAUAUAGAUUAGAACUCCGGUUGGUACUUUUUAUGUCAAGAUGGAUUCAGGCUAUAUGUGGUCCCCGCUUAUUUUUUCCGUCUGUGUUAUUUUCCUGCAGGUCGGACUUGGGAAAUUUUUAGCCUUCAUUGCUGAUUAAAGCUGAGCCCGUAUACUUAUUUUCCCUGUUUUUUUUUAUUCCUAAUGGUUUUUUGGUUUUAGACUUAGGGACCUAGCCUGCNCCCCCACUUUUCUAUUUAGGUUAAUUUAUGUAUUUAAGUCGCACAUACAAAAUGGUUUAAGUUUACAAAGUUUUUGCCUUUGUUUAUUUAUCUAGGUUUAUAUUUAAUUCCCUUUGAAAGAAUUAGGCAUAAUUGUUGAUCACACUAUUUCAGUAUAGCUAAGUAUAAUUGCUUAAAGGCUUCAACAACGAUUUCGUUGAUGCGUUUAGUAAAUUGAAAUCUUUUAGAAUUUAUGAUAUGACGACAAGCUGGACUAAACUAAGACUUCUAUAACCCAGUGCCUGAAAUUUUUCCGAUGAAUUUCGAACUGGACUGAACUAAGAAUUCUAAAACCCAGUGUCUGAAAUGUUUCCGAUGAAUUUCGAACUAACUCGAAACCAGCCCUGUAGUUUUUGGUUCUAUACUUCUGCUGAUGUAUGUGUGCUUUCCUGAUUUUGAUAUUUGGUUUGUUCAUUAUUUUGAGUUUUAUAAUUGGGUUAUAUUUUGUGUUAUUUCUUUUAUGUUUUCUCUUUCGGGCUAUGAUGGUUUUGCUCCUUUUAUUGUGACAUGGCAGUAUCGGUCAUAUGUCCUUUCUGUAAAUGUAACGUGCUCAAUCUUUGGAUGGCCUAUAAUGUAGGCAACCAGUUGGCACGGUUUAUUUGAUAUAUAGGUUAGGCCUUUGGUUAGUACUAUUUCUUUAAAAUAUGGAUUAGGUCUAUGACUUUAUAUGCAGUAGCUGUAUUUUUCCCCUGCCUGUGUUCUUUUCCUGCAUAUUGAACUUGGAGCAUUUUUAGCCUUCAUUGCUGAUUAAAUCUGAGUCCAUUUAUUUUGUAUUCUGCUUUUAGUUCAAACAGUUUUUUUUUAGUCCUACGCUUAUUCAGAUUUUUUUCCUCAAGCUUAUAGGCAUGUCCUUUUUUAGCCUUCAUUUGUUUUAUAAUUGGGUUAUGUUUUGUUGUAUAUUGGUAUUUGUUUUCUCUUUUGAACUAUUAUAGGUUUGUUCCUUUAACUGUGCUAUGGCAGUAAUGGUUGUAUAUUUUCCUUCUUUUUGUAAAUGUAAGGGUGUCGCAUGGUUAUAUGUUGUGCUCAAUCUUUGGACGGCCUAUCAUGUCGGCAGCCAGUUGGCGCUAAUUAUUUGAUAUAUAGGUUUGUUACGUUGCAGUAUUAUUAAUAACAAAUAUGAUAUUUACAUGCUUGAAUCAUAAUUUGAAUAACUCUUUGUCAACCAAUAAUUUUCCAAAGGAUUGAGUGUGCACAGUAAAUCAAUUUCAAUCCCAUUUUUCCCAUAUACAGAAGCACAAUUAUUCUUCGCUUUGUUACAGCCAUUGUUUUAUAUUGCAAGGAUAUACAUGCAACUGUUAUAUAUAUAUAUAUAUAUAUAUAUAUGUAUUUUUUAUUCUAUAUUAUAUAUAUAUGUAAGGCUCGAGGAUGCAGGAGAAGAGGCUAAAGUACUUAGUCUCCUCUCUCUUGCCGCCGCGGCUUUAUAUAUACAUAUGUACACAUAUAUAUACACAGUUGUUAUAUAUAUAUGGUUGCAAAAGCUUCAGGUUUCCUUCCUGUUUAGCACAUGCAUGCAAAUUCACAAUCUGUAUAUAGCACAAUCCGUAUUUAGCACACUUAUGCAAAUUUCCUUCCUGUUUCGUUAAGCUUUCUAUAUCCUUAAUGGACAGUUUUAUCUCCGGUUAUCAAGUCAAAUUUUUUUAACGCUUUUGUAUGACUUCUUUGGAUAUUUAGUAGAAAAAAAAUAUUAUCACUGGAUUUGUUUUCUAUCUUUUUUCCUCUUUUAAGAUUUUUGUGUGGAAUUUUGAUUAAUUGCAUUGGUAUCAAUUUCCUCAAAAUUUAUGUGCUUUGCUUUUGACUGACAGCAUUACACUUUUAUUCUGACUCGAGAUUUUAUAACAUGCAAAGUGUCGAUCUUUCACCCUGAUUGUAUACUGCAUUUAUUUGGAAGCUAAGUUGUCUAGCUGAAUUCUAAAUUAUCUUGCUGAGAUUUUAUAACAUGCGAACUACCGAUCUUUCACCCUUACUGUAUGCUGUAUGUUUUUGGAAUCUAAGUUGGCUAGCUGAAUUCUAAAUUACUUUGCUGAAUUCUGCUGCCUGGAAAUUCCAUAGAACUGCCUUCUCUGUAUUGCCCAUCUGAAUUCCCAAUUGCCUAACAGGAUCCUGUGUUUCUAAUUCAGGUUUGUGGAAUCAAAAUUGCACUAUUAGAGUAAGAGUGGGUAAAGAAAAAGGUUUUUUAAUUUUGUACCAGCUCCCUUUUAAUAUGAAACAAUACAUAUGAAUUUGCUUUCCAAGUUCUGAAAUCUGGGUUCUGAAUUCGAAAAACGAACUCUGGACAAAGGAUAUUUAUUUUCCUUAUAUUCUUCAUAGAAUUCCUGUUUCUUGCUAUUUUCUAUUUCUUCUUUUAGGCGAUGAUGAUAAGCAGAGGAAAAUGUGGAAAAUGAUGGCUUCGAACAAGUGGAAGUUUGGACGGCCUAAUCAUAGGCAACCACUUCCUAUUGUUCUUAUCCUUGGUCGUUGCACACAUGUUCCUCCUACGGUAAUCUGUUGCUUGCUCCUAUUACUAUCCUGUGCUUACGAGAAUUUUGCCGAUUUAACUGAGCCUUGGCUUUUUAGGUUUUUCAUGAAGCCUGCUUAAAUUUUACCUACGGUAAACUAUUGCUUGCUCCUAUUACUGUCCUGGUUUCGACUGUGUGCUUCAGAAUUAAAUAUGUUGAAUUCUUACUUAGCUAAGUUUUGAUUUACUCCUUUAUUCUUCACUUCUUUUGCUCCAUGCUAUGAUGAAAAAAUGCUUCUUUCUACAUAAGGCAUAUAGAUGCUUCUCUUAAUGAGGCAAGAAAGUCCUAUGGAUGAUGGUAUGAUCAUGUUCCCACUUAAUUGUCCAGCUGUUUUGGUAAUUAAUAAGAUAGGAAAGUACUAUGAGUUAAAUUACAUAUUUAGAAAUAUCGGGUUGGCGAGGCGGUCAAUUGCUCUGCUUCUUUGCUGGUUGUAGGGGUGCUUUGGUCGGUCUUUUCCUAGGCAACCAGGCCUUCUCAUUUGGCCUGAGAACGCUUUUGGUAUACAUGUCCGUUGUAGCUCAACCAACAGUUCUAUUUGUCCAGGCUUCAGCACUAUUCUAAUAAUGUUCGAUGAUCCGGGGGGAGUCUGAGCAAAUUUUUUUAUUUUCUUGCUCUUCAGUUUUCCUUACUUGGUUUCUAUAUAUAUAUUUUGGAGAGUUUGUUUAUUUUAUUGGCCCUAACGCAGUACUUGAUUUUAGUAUUUGCGUCUUCCUGUGUAGUAUGCUAAACUUUGCAAUGUAAAGCUAAAUGCUUUUAGGCACUAUAUUUUAUGUUUCUUAGAUUGUUUAGUUGGUGGACUCCGAUAUAAUCAAGCUGAAUUCGGCUAGCCAAUAUAUUUAAAUUAGCAUGUGAAAUUCAGAUUUCAUCACUGUGUUCUAAAUUAAAUAUGUUGAAUUCUUGCUUUGUUAUGUUUUGAUUUGCUCCUUUUUACUAUGAUGACCUUCCUCUUAGAUGUGAGUUACUUCCGAUAAUUGAGGGCGCACCGAGCCUUAUCGGUUUCCUAUAAAAGGAUUUUCGAUGUCGGGUUUCUCCACUGAUGAUGAGUGGGCUUUGGGUGGUUAACUUCAAAGGCAGCCAAUUGGUCUUCGCUGGUUGUGGGGGAGAUUUGGAUGGUCUUUUCCUAGGCAACCAGCCCUCUUAUUUGGACUAGGCAUGCUUUUUGUAUGCAUGUCCGUUGCAACUCACUCGCAAGUACUAAUUGUCGAUCGGAUUAGCAGGGUUUCAUUGUUGUUUUACUUUUGAAACAGUUGAAUUGUGGGAAUUCCUAUACAUGUUGCGAUCUCUGAAUCUGGUUGUUAUUUUACCACAAGGGUACUUAUCUCCACCAGUUGAAAAUUUGAAAAAGGUUGAGAAACAGUCAUCGACCAAUUGACUUAAACCUAUUGAAAAAAGUUGGGCAACAGUCCUCGACCAAUUGACUUCAAUAAAACUUUCCUUUUGUGAAAAAUUUGUAGGUUAAUCACUCAGCUGAAUUAUUGUUGAAUUACAUGAAAAAAAUUAGAAUUCAGCGGAAUUCUAUAUAGAAUCUAAUCUUUAAAAUUUUGAAUAUUAACUAUUUAAAAUUCUAAAUUGUAAUCUUUUAAUUAUUAUUAAAAAUUAUUUAGAAAUUAUAAAUAUUUUCCGCCGCGAAGCGCGGGCCUUCACUAGUACAUUCUAUUUUGGAGUAUAUGGUAUACAUCCAUCUAUCUAAUGGAUAAAAUUAUUCCAUUAAUCACAUAAUGUGACAAAUAAAGAAAUCUCACCCACUAUAUGGGUGGGAUUAUAAUAUACAUCUUUUUGGCGUGCGUGGGUACCUACUCAAUAUUGGUCCUCACAUAAAAUAUAUUCGACACUACUACAAAUUCAUGAUUUAACGACAUUUACUCCGCAUAUUUAUUUAAAUAACGCUAAUUAAUAUAUUUAACAGUAUUACUUGAUAACUGCCGUAAAAUUUAAUAAUUUAGCAGCAAUUUACUAUUAAUGUUACAAAAUAGAAUAAAUUAGCAGCAUAAAUUAGUAAAUGCCAUCGAAGUUUCCAGCAUUUUAUAAAAAAUAACACUAAAUGUAAUAAAGUAGCAGCACUUAGUACUAAAUGCCGCAAUAUUUGCACCGCGACAUUUAUUUAAAUCAUGUCAAUUAAUAUAUUUAGCAGCAUUACUUAAUAAUUGCCGCUAGAUUUAAUUAUUUAGCAGCAAUUUCCUAUUAAUGCUGCAAAAUAGGAUAAAUUAGCAGUAUAAAUUAGUGAAUGCUGCUAAAUAUAAUAAACUAGCAGCACUUGUUACUAAAUAUCAUUUCUAAUUAAUAUAUAAUUAUUAAUAAUUUCUUUUUUAUUUCGAAUUAAAAAUUUUAAAAUUAAAGUUUAAAAUUUGAAACAUAUAAUUUUAAAAAUUAAACUUAUAAUUUAAAAUUUAAAAUUCUAAAAUUUAUAUUUUAAAUUUUAAAUUCUAAAAUUAUUAAUUUUUAAAUUUUAAAUUUUUAAAUUUAUUUUAAAUUUUAAAUUUCAAAUUUAAAACUAUUAAUUUUGAAACUUAAAAUUUCAUAUUUCAAAAUUAAAAAUUUAAAUUUAGUAUCUAAAUUUAAAAAUUUAAAAUUUUAAAAUUUUAAAAUAUAAGACUUAAAAUAUAAAAAAUUAAAAUAUACAUAACUAAUAGUCGUUAGCGCAAGUGGCGAAGGACUUAGUUGUUGGUAUUUGAGGUUUCAAGUUCGAAUCCUAGUUAAUUCACAUUUCCAGCAAAGUUUAAGAUAAAAGGAAAUAAAUGAAGCGGGUAGCAUCUCAAAAAAAUUAAAAUUUUAAAAUUUUAAUUUCUAAAAUCAGAUAUUUUUAUUAGCGGUAUUAUAUUUAUGUGCUACUAAUAAACAAUUUAAAAUUAGCAUUUAAUCCCUUUUAGCGGCAUAUUCCUAAUGACACUAAUUGAUUUAUAUUGGCGACAUCUAUAAUUAAUGCUGCUAAUACUUUUAGCAAUAUUGGCAUAGGCAGUAUUUGUUCAUCAUUUAGCAGCAUAAAUAAAUGCCACUAAUGACUAAUUUUCUAGUAGUGUCAAACAUGGUUUCAGAAGAUAAUAUAGAAGUAUGAAAAUUUUGGUAUUUCCACAAUAUUUCUACACACUAGAGAGAAAGGGUAAGAGUGAGAGCUUGAAAGGUGUUAGAUGUAUGCCCUAUAAGCCAACCAGGCUGACACAUGUAUUCCUUUUAGGAUAUAAAUUUGUAUUUGAUUUUAAAUUAUUAUGAAUGAAUUUGAGUUUUUAUUUUCACUCAUGUUGUGUAUGUAUCCAUGAAUCGUCCAAAGAAUUAAUAAGAUAAUGACAUAUAUUCUUUAGAGUUGAGAAUUUGAGACAUAUAUCAUUGGUAGUUAAUUAAUCUUCAAUGCUCCUGAUUGAUGGAUCAUUACGAGAAUGGUGAUUGAUCCAAUGAGAUUGGUGGGUAGGUCACUUCCCUUUUGGGUAGACAAGUCUUGAGUCAACAGUAUAUGGACACUAGAGCGAUUUUGUCGGUGGUUGCUAGAGAACAAGGGUACCGAGCAUGACAAACGCAAGAAGUCGUUUGGAUGUCGACUCACUCGUCAGUGAUUUACUCAAUGUUGCAGUAGUGUGACUAGUUCUUUGACUUGCAGUACCAUGGCUAUUCAUAAUAAGGUUACUGUAGUUUGACUGCACACACACUUGGUCCCUAGCUAUGCGGGUCCUAGUGGUGCAUAUUCGCUGCAGUAGGUUCGUUGGAGGAAUAAGGUGUACACCUAUAUAGAAUCUAUCUCUCUUGGUAGAUGGGGGCAUUAGUCCUAUGUGAUUUGUGAGACCAAGUUUAGAAUACCUUGGCUAGGAAAAAGUUAAUAGCGGAAAGUGUUUUCAAUAUUAGAAACUCGAGUCGAAUAAAUUUGACAUAUGACAUACGAUAGGGUUUGACGAGCUAUUCCAUGACCUCCAUCUCGUCGGGACUCCUAAUAGAAGGGUUGUAUCACAUAGUAACAGCACCAAGAGGUUUAGUAUUCCAUUCUACAAAAAUACCACUAUAUGGUACUAAGCGUCAUUGGUGAUUUGUGAGACUCAUGAGACUUAUCUAGAUGAUCGAUAAUUCUCAUUAGGUUAAGUUGGAAUUAUUCCAACCCAUUAAAAUGAGUUUUAAUGAUAUUGUUGAUACUGAUUAGAAUAUAUCUCACUACUAGAUAAAAUAAAAGCUAUGGGGUGAUAGAAUAGAAGCUAUGGGGUCACACACCUAAGAGAUUGCGACUGAGCGGAUAUAAAUACAUGAACGAGAUGUAUAAAUGAAUAACUAUCGCUACUGUAUGAAUGCAUCAACCGGACGACAAGUCCAAAAUACCCAAUCUGAACUACCAUAUUGGCCCGCACACCUCAGGCCUCUGCCAUAACUGCUCUAUUCUGUAAAUGACCCCAGCAUAAGCUCUUGGGUCUGAAAGCAUAAGUCCAAAAUACCCAAUCUGAAACUGCCAUAUUGGUUCGCACACCUUAGGCCUGUGCCACAACUGCUCUAGUCCGUAAAUGACCCCAGUAUAAGCUCUUGGGUCUGAAAGCAUAUAACCCCUCUUGGGCUCACGGGUUGGCAUUCCCAACCACUUUUCGGAAAAAGAACGCCCUCUUGCGGUGGAUGAGAUCGCUGGUGUUCGUGAAAUAUGUACAAAUAGUGAUGAUCGAUGCUGAUAUGCUCAAUAACCAAACAACGGCAACUAGCUGAAAAUCCAACCCCUCAGGGUAUACUGACCGCGUAGGUCAAGAAAUUGGACCACAUGCUUGGAUUGGGUCAAACGAACAAACUUGGUCUCGGAUAUGAAAGAACUUAUGUUGAGAAGAUUCAAAAGUCGACAUCAAAAGUCUCAACAAAUUCGAAAGAAAAGGUGUGCUAUAAAUGUGGGAACAAAGGACAUAUCAAGAAAAUUUGCCCGAACAAAAAUAAGAAAAAUCAACUGACAACUUCUAAACGUCCGACGGCACCCUCUAAUACUCGACCUCCACCACGGAAUCAAAAGAAAAAUCAAUCAAGUCGAGCACCUCAAGGAAACCGAAAUUCAAAGCCACAACGGCAAUUUCAACCGAAGCCACAUGCAACGAAACGACCUACAGUGGAUCAAAAGUCUAAAUGAAUCGUGCCUAACGUCGACAAGCCGAGACAACCAACAAUCCGACAAGUUUGGGAAAGGUGAUAUCUUUCCUUGUUCUUCAUCUUAGCUUGUUCUUAUUUAUGUAAUGCUUUGAUUUGUGCUUAUUGCAUAUUUUUAUUCAUUGCAUUACAUGUUUAGACGAUUUUUGAAUGUUUGACAUAGUUUUUGAAAUUUGUUUUUAAAAUCGUUUCGAGAAAGGUGAUUAGGAAUUAUAUUUUAAAAUUUUUUUUUUGAGAGAGGUGAUGUUUUUAAAAAAUUAUUAAUUUAGGGAGAUUAAAAUUUUCAAAGUACCUUAACCGUCUCAAAUUCAUCAUAAGUUAAAUUUAUAUUAAUUAUCGGUUUUAUUCCACUUUUAUUAUUUUGACGAUAAUUUAUUAUAUGAUUUCUUAGUAUAUAUAUUCAUCAAAAUAAUGGAAUCAAAUUUGAUCUCUUGGUGAUUAAUCUAUCUUGGUUCUGUGUAUUGAAUAUGAUGCAUGGAUAUUCGCUAAUAGACUAAAAUUUGUCAAAAUUACUUUCAAUUGUGAGAUUGUCUAAUUUAAAGGGAGUUUUAUUUUUUUUAAAAAAAAAUUUCUAUGUUUAAAAGAUGUGAAAAGAGUUAUAUCCAAAAGGAGUGUGAAAACUACCACCACAUGUAAAAAAGAGCUACCACCCCGGUCGUUCGGUAAGUGUGUGAAGCUACCCCAUGGAAAUUAAUUGAAUAGCCGAAAAUGUUGAAAAAUGAAUAUUUUAGAUUUUUCGGAGUUAUAGGGUGGUAGGAUGAAAAGAUACUCAAAGAGUUUAUAUUAGUUAAAUCUCUAUUUUGAACGUUUAGCGACAAAUUGAUGUCAAUUUUGUCAAAUUUCUAUAAAUCAUUUUUCGUAAACCGUUACAUCGUGACGAUUUUGAACCAUUAGCUUAUUUUUGAUAAGUUAAUUUUGAAGUCCAGAUGAAUUAAGAAAUCAUAGAAUAUUUUAUAUUCAUUAUAAUGAUUUUGGAGUACAAUCCUUAAUUAUUAUGAAAUUAACUUAAUUAUGAUGCAUUUUUAGGCAAAAUUUUUGAAUUCUGGCAACCGGUACCGAUACUAAAUGCCAUGUACCGGUACCAGUACUAUAGACAGCGUUUUAUUAACCGGUUACGGGCUUUAUUUCUUCCCCAAAACGAAAUCAAAUUGCUCUUUUUCUCUCUCUAAAAAUUCCUAGCACUCUUAAGUUUUCUAGUAUGUUUUCUCUCUAUAUGCUCUGUUUUGGCAAUUUUUGACAAAAUGGGGGAGAGCAUAGGUGGACAGAUAUAGAUCAAAGGUGUCACGCCCCGAACUACGCCUAUUUGGUUAGAUUCGAGCACGCCGACAGACCGCCGAACGGACAGGGUUUUCCCUGUACCGCGGAUAGAGUUUUCCUUGUACGUCCAGGGCAUUGCAAUCAAUACAAUACGCUAGGUUCCAACCAGGAACAGUAUUCAAGAAAAGAUUGCAUAAGGAAGUAUCAAAAACAUAAAUACAACUAUGCUAUUACAAGCAUUCAUCUCAAAUUUUACAUAUUACAUGCAUUUUAUAUUUUAGUCUUCCAAAUACAAUCCAAAUUGUUACAACUUAUUACAAGUUUGAUCUUUUCAUUUUCACCCCUAAGCUAGACUACUUUAGGGUACCGCUAUCUCAGGCCUCGGUGGUAGGGCGCUAUCUACGGAGCUACGUCCUGUCCUCACGUUGCCGCGCCGCUCACGUGUGAACCUAAAAUCCCCUAAAACAACGUAGGGUGAGAACUAUAUCGGCUACCCAAGGGAGAAGCUCAACCCAUCAUGUCCAAAGGAGGCACUGCAAACAUGUUAGUCCAACAGAUAUCCACAGAUAUUUAUGCAAAUAUUAAAUACAUGCGUAUGCCUCACAAUAUGCAACAUGUAAAUUAUGCAACUCUUGCAAACAACUAAGUAGAUCAUCCAAUACUACUUUGCAUCUCGCUAUCCAGCUCAUGUCCAACUAACUUCUAAGGUUUCCUCUGCCUUAGAUUCAUGUCAUUUAUCACUUGCUCUUAAGAUUUUAUGUACCAUAACCAAGCUAACCACUCGACUCGGUCUCGAGUCAAUCCUACGCGGAAUACCGCAUACUCUGCUGCAUCCACAGUCCAAUCAUUUACCUUUUUGUAACCCAAUCAUUCCGGUUAACUCGAAGGUUGAGCCUCGACUCACAUACCCAACCCCACAUCGUGAGGAGACGUCCGUUACUCUCACCCGGGCCGUCUGCGGGACAACUACGUUUGCCCCUACCGUGAAGUACUCCGGAGACCAUUAUUUGGGUGAAGCGACCACCAACCAAGCGAAAACAGACGAAUGUGAGCAUGAUCCAAUCCUCUAACCCGAGGAUACCCUACCAACUAGCAGUAAUCAAGCCGGGAUAAACACCAAUCCCAAUCCUCAUAUACUGAGUAAUCACAUUAUCUCUAGCUAAUGCCACAAUGUCACAAUGUCUCUAGCUAAUGCCACAAUGUCACAAUUGUCUCUAGCUAAUGCCAUAAUGUCACAAUUGUCUCUAGCAAAUGCCACAAUGUCACAAUUGUCUCUAGCUAAUGCCACAAUGUCACAAUAUCUCUAUGUUCUCAUUGUUAUGUCAAUGCCAUUCCUGUUGCCACAAUGUUCACAUUUUUACAUGCAUAUACUUUCUCUCAUAUUCUCAUAGUGCCAAUAUCCAUUUAGCAAUUGCUAUAAUAUGUUAACAUGCAUAUUCAUCUAACAUAAUCCACAAUGUCAACGUUUACAUGAAUCCAACACAUAUUCAAAAUAUGUCCACAUGCAUAUAUAAUCUAGCAUGAUCUCACAAUGUCAACAUUCCAAUACCAUCUAGCAUAUUUCUCAUAAUUCUAACAUGCAUAUACUUUCAUCCAACAUAUUCCAUCAUAUGUCAAUAUAUAUAUUCUUUGUCAUCCAAGGGUAGUUACACAUAUCAUCUCAUGCAUUCACAUGGCAUCACCUAUGCAUUCAUAUAUGUAAUUAACUACCGCUAUAUGCAUCAACGACAAACCACUUCGCUUUUGACAUGGAAGUGACCUAAUCACUUCGGUGAAGCACAACCCACCUUGUAAUGCUUUCCGAUUGCUUGUCGACACUUGCAAUCGGCCUCCCGCGGCACUCGUAGUCCGGUUUGGCUCGACCCAAGCCUAACGAACCGAAUUCUACAAAUCUCUCAAUCGGACGCAGUAACCUCAUCGUAAUCCAAAACGAAGUUAUCCUCCGCGUCGAAUUAUCCUUCAAUUAAGGUUUUACAAGGUUAAUUUAGCUCAAAACCUCUUAGCCCCAAUUUCUAAACCUAAGGUUCAAGUUCUAUAAAAAUACUCCAAAUUUCAUAAUUAAACUUUAACCAAUCUAGUUUAGAAUUAUCUAGGGGUUCUAAAUAUCUCAUUUACAAGAGAUUUAAUCCAAACCCUAGCUUGAAUCGCAAAACUCAACAUGGCCACCUUGGGAAAGAAGCUUGAUCCACCAUUGGAGAGCUUACUUCACCACCAAGCUUCUUCUCCAACUUCAUCCCCUCCAACUUCUUCUCUUUAAUGGAGAAAUCGCUAGAGAGAGAGAGUUAGGGGAGAGGGAGAGGGUUUAAGAGAAAGAGAGAGAAGCUCUCAUGUGUGGAAAAGAAAGAGACCCUCCACUCCUCUCACGUUUUGGGAGAGAACCAAGGAGAGAGAGUGUGUAGGUAUAUAUAUAUAUAUAUAGGUCCCCCAACACUAUUACACUUUCAGCUUAGCAUUUCAGAAACUGACGUUUUUCACCGGAGCCCUUCUGAAUGUCCGUUUGCGCUCAAAUUUGACAGUCAGACUCGGUUUUACCUAACAAGAAGAAAGAAAUCUUAAAUUCUCAAUUUCGACCAUUUUUUGGUCACUGAAAGCCCUACCGAAUUGAAUCUCUAGCAGAUAGCAGUCGGAUUUUAUUUUUCACUUUUCGGGUGUCGGAAUGACAUGAAACUUUAAAUUUAGCCUCAUAAAAAUAAUCUCGAUAUAUUUUCAGAUUUUCAUCAUUUUCUGACACUGUGAAUUUUCUGCUAAAAUAUCAGCCUCGUUUCUUACAGAAAAUUCUAAAUCUUCUGUUUCCAUUUCAAUUUCAACACAAGUCAUUUCCGACUUAUAUUUUACUUCUUUAAGUCCAAUAAAAAUAGCAUCUUAUACUAUUUUUAUUUACACUAACUUUUAUAUUAAAAUUCGGUACAUUACAAAAGGAGGAGAUGAUAUUGAACGAUCAUGAUGAAGGUGAAAACAAGACUUCAAGACUCCUAGUUGCGUCUAAGUCAGGCAUAGAGUCUGUUUUAGGAGUUUUGAUGUAAUUUUAAAUUUUAUAUGUAUUUUGGAUUACACGCGAGAAGUUUGAUGUUUUGGUGAUGACAUUAAACUUCGUUUUACAUUUAUGAUGUAAUUUUGAGUUAUUGUGUUUUGUCACGAAAUUGCCAAAGGGGGAGAUUGUUCAGUAUUGUGUGUUGGCAUGUUUCGUGAAUUGAGUUGGAGUCUUGAAGGUUCGGUGCAUAUUGUCGAAGAUCGAAGAAUCCAUGACUUCGAGAACUCAGAAAUAUCUCACGGCAUGAAUCAAGAUGCUAAUGUAAGGUUUUAAUUCAUGUUAUGGUGAUUCAUACUUAGUUAUAGACAUUAGAAUCAUGAAAAUCAAUGAUUUAUGGAUUAGAAAUUGGUUCUGAUACUUUUGAAACCCGAAAUGAAGUAAUUCUGAAAAUUGCACAAGGUACAGGUACUGCAUCGGCCUGGUACCUAUACAGUAUCGGCCUGGUUUCGGUACCGCAUCGGCCUGGUACCUAUACCGCAGCCUGAGGAAUUUCUGUGUCGUCUUUUGGUACCGGUAUCAACUUGAUGCAGUACCGGUACGCAGUGUAAAAAUCUGAAAUCUUUCCAAUCCGACUCUAAUUGAUUCUAUGGUCUAUAAAUAAGCUAUAGGGGUUCUCUAAUUGAUGGAAUAUCACGAGAAUACAUGUUUGAGAAACUCUAGAGGCUAGGAUUUCGUUCUAAACUUAUUUUCUACAAAGUAGCCUCUUUUAGAUCAAUUCGAGAUAUUGAAAAUUGAUAUCUAUAUGUCGAAUUGAUCUACUCUUCACUUAGAGAUUUUUCAAUGAUUUUCAUCGACACUCUAAGCAAAGGAUCACCAUUAACAUGAUAUUCUUUAUGGGCGACGUCGUGGAUUCGGCGUGAUUGAAGACGGUUCGAGGAUUCGGAUCGAGAUCUUCGUGGAUUCGAAGUGGUAGCGUUUCGUGGAUUCAAAACGUGGUGUUCGUGGAUGCGAACGUGAGGACGUGGACAAUCCUGAGGAUUGCACGAGAUUCAUAGGAGGUUAAAAGAGGUCGAGUCCAUGGAGUCGGUGAUCACCUUGUAAUCUUUUCUAUUAGGGAAUUAUUUUUUCGCUUGUUGGUCCAAUGGAUUUCUUACUCGAAGUUGAAAUUUUUUCACAUAAAUUUCUGUGUGAUUUUUAUUUUCCGCAUUUAAUUUUUUAUCGCAUUGAGAUUUGUGGUUUUUGGUCUUUACACCUAUUCACCCCCCUCUAGGUGUUUGAUAGUAUCUAGAUAAAAGAUCCUAGAACUCCUCAUAACUUUCAGAGUGGGCUGAGUGUGGUUGGUUGAGUAGAGGAACUUUUUAUUUUUUAUUGGAUUGCGCUUUAUAUUUAGACUUUAGUAGAUUUUUUUAAAAAAUUUUGGCAUAAUGGAAUACUUACUCAAAAGUGUUUCAAAAAUGUGUUCCUAUAACUUAAUUCUAUUGUAGUGUCUUAUGGUGUUUGCAAUUGAAGAAAUUUGAAUUAAGAAAGGAUGCCGAAUGUUGUAACAAUUCAAGCUACGUAGAGAGGAAAAAUUGGUUAGAUUUGAGUUUAUUUUGGGUAAACUUCAACGCCCCUGUACUACCCCCAUCCCCCAAAAACUAGUGUUUUACGUUGUGAUCUUAUAAUUUAAAAAAGGGAUAAUUGCCUAUAUACUCUUCAUACGUUUGAAAAUAUCCAAUUUACCCCUACUUUUUUUUCCUUUCUAAAAUAUCACUCAUAUGUUCCACCGCUAUUGCAAAAUAUCUCCGCAGUUAUCUCCUUUUAAGUUAACUUAGGUUAAACGUGAGUUAAACAUUUACCACAGUUAAAAAAAAUUAAAAUGCUAAUUUUGCCCUUAACUUAAGGGCAAAUAAGAAAUAUUGGUGACGGUAGAGGGAUAUAUUGAAAAAAACCAAAAGUCAAAAUACUUUUUGUGCCAUUGACUUUAAGGGCAAGUAAGAAAGUCAGUGAUGGUAGAAGGGUAUAUUUGAAAGGGCAAAAUAAUAAUUUUACAGAGAUAACAGAGUUCAUUAGCAGAUUUUAACUCUAGGGAUAUAUUAGAAAUAUAGGUUGGAACGUAGAAAGGGUAUUUUCAAUAUUAACCUUCUAAGAUGGGUAAAUCGAAAAAUCGAAAACUUUUCAGGAGUAUAUAAGCAAUUGCCCCAAAAUUAUAUGUAACUACUUUGUGCAAGGUUUAGCAUAUUUUUAUUUUGUCACUAUGUGAUUUAAAAGUUGUACUUAACUAUAUUGUGGUUAUUAAAAAUUUUACUUCGUUAUUUAUUCGAUUUAUUUGAUAUUAAAUUUUUUUUGAUCAAAAUAGAGAAAAAAAUAUAGAAUAAUUAAAUGUAACUUUUUUGAUGACAAAGUGAAAAUAAGCUAAACCAUGCGGGGGCAAAUUGAAGUCUAUGCUUAAUUUUUUAUAACAGUUAAAUAAUAAGGUCAUCCAUAUUUUGAUGGAUGUGAGAGUUGCAUUUUUUUUUUUCCUUUUUCUUUUUAUAGGUAAGAUCUCCUGUGGCCUUCAUUCCAUUAUUGAGGAUACGAAUAAACUUAUCUACUUGUUACUUAUUUGAUCGUAGAGUUACACGGUUAUUGACGAUCUAAACUGGGAACCAUGCCUUUACUUAUUUGAUCCUAUUCAAUUAGAAUUUGAAGCGUACUCGGGCAGGUUUUGCAAAGCUGGGCUUCUCGGCUUGCAUAUGUGUAUUAGGGGUCCUUUGUUGGGGUUUAGUAUAGUCUAUGAGCUUCUUCCCAAAUAAUAAUAAUAAUAAUAAUAAUAAUAAUAACAAAAUAAAACAAAAUAAAACAUAAAUUUUUACACUGUAUGAUCCAGGGGACUCAGAUAAUAACGUUUGGUUCGGGUCCACACAUCUGCGUCGAUCGGAGGGUGCAUAUUUUAGUGAAUUAGUGGUCGCUAGGUUCGACAUAAUUAUAAAUAUAGUACAGUUAGAGAUACAUAGAGGGCUAGGGCUAGGUCUAGGGCUACUAUAGAUUUUUUUUAUACUCAUAAGUUUUCAGCCGCCCAUUGUAUGAAAGGGUGUGAGGUUAGGAUAAUAGUGAUUCCCGAUAAUAAUGAUAGUGGUCCUUAGGGUAAAGUGAGUCGUUGGUUGAAUAGUAUGAUCUAACAGAUAGAAGUAGUCAAAAAAAUAGGUCUGUCUAACGGCCAAAAACUUACAAGUAUAAAGGGGGUCUAUAUUCAUAAGAGUAUAGUAGCCGGACUCUACAUAUAGUUAUAAAUAUAAUUAAUAAUUAUAAUUACAUACAUUUUAUUUAGUUAAAUACAGUAAAAAAUACUGCAGUGAAUAUUUUUAUUAUUUGGAUAAUAGACCAACCUAAAUGUAAAAAGCUCUAUAUUUUAUAAAUUAAUUAUUACAUUAAGAUUCUAUUUUUCUAAUUUUCUUUCAAUUUUUCAGCCUUUAGCCUGACGAUAAUCUAACAUGCUAUUCGCAAGCCAGUUCAUAUUCGACUCGUUAAUAAAUGAGCAUAAUACGAACUAAAUUUUUCAAUCCUCAAUUCAUCAUUAAGACGCCACAAAUUUUCUAGUGAAUUUCCUCGCAUUCCCAACGCACGCACUUUGACAAUAAAGCUGCGUGUAUACAAAUUCUCUCAUUAGUCUUAUUCCUACGAUGACCGUAAGUUGGUUUGAUUGGACUGGUAUCUCUUUUCUUAUUCCUAGGAUGACCGUAAGUUGGUUUGAUUGGACUGGUAUUUCUUUUUUUUUUCUUUAACCGAAUCGGAUCAAAUUAAAAUCAUAUGAACUGAAUCAACCAAAAAUAAUUUGGUCAUUUCGGCUCGAUUUACUUAAUUUCAAUAAGAUAUUUUUGUUUGGUUUAAUUCUUUUCAACUACUAAAAAUAAAAUGUAAAGAUAAUAAUUUUUUUUAGAUGGGUGGCGAAAGGGAAACCCCCACCCUUUUUCCAUUUCGCGACAAAUUUUUUUUUUUAACAUGUGUGCGUUCUUUCUCUUCCUAAAUUAAAUUUUGUCACGUGAAUUUUUGAUAGGCGUUUAUUUUGAUUCUAAAAGAAUCACUAAAAUUGCUAAUAAAAGAAGCUAAAUUAAACCACGUACUAGCAUGACUCAAAUAACAAACCGAUCGUCCCUAAAGCAAGUGGCAAAGGGCUUGGUGGUUGAUAGCCGAGACCCAAAAGUUCGAAUCCUAGUUGAUUCACAUUUCCAGCUAAGUUUAUUUCUAAAUGAAAUAAACGAAGCGGGUAGGGUGCUACCUAUCUCUCAAAAAAAAAAAAAGAAGAAGAAAUUACCCUGUUUUCAGGGAAAAAAAAAAGGAAAACUAUUGAAAAUUUAUUAAAAAAGGCAGCUUAAUUUGUUUAAAAUUACUCUCUACAACUGCAGUAAUUAGAAUGCUAUCAACUUGGAUAUAAUUCUAACGGCUGCAGUUUAAAUCUCAUCAUAUAAUUGUAACUACAAUAGUUGAGUGCGAAUACAUAGCACAAAUGCAAGAUUUGAAUCAAUAUACAAUUACUAUUACAGUACAAUUAUAACUCUAUAUAAUAGAAUAAUCUCUAAACAUUUUUUGGUUUCAUCGUGCAAAUUGCAAAAGGAGAAGAAAUAGUCGGACUCUGGCUCAUGGUUAGUUAAUUCGCGAAUAAUUCGUGAAUUAUUCACGAAUUAUUGAAUAAACGAAUUAAAUAGCUGUAUUCGUAUUUUUUCAAAAAAUUCGAAAAAUUUUUCUUUGUCAAAAAUAAUUAAUCACAAUUCGCGAAUGAUUCGCCCAAAAAAAGACGCUCGCGAUCACGGACUCGCGGCGUUGGGUCGCGUCGUCGCCGCUCUAGUCGCCGAACUCGCCCGUGUUGUGGUCAUCCUCCUCCUCCGGCGCCCUGGCUAGCGCCGGGAGCAAAAGGGCCGCGGCGGCGAAUCCCACCCAUCUCGCCCGAGGCUGUCCGCGGGAACAAAAUGGCACGGCGUUGGGACUUUUGGGAGCGCAGUGGUUGCGCACGGUCGACGAGGCCACUUUGGAAGGCCUAUAUAUAUAUAUAUAUAUAUAUAUAUAUAUACAUAUAUAUAUAUAUAUAUAUACACAUAUAUAUAUAUAUAUANUACAUAUAUAUAUAUAUACAUACAUAUAUAUAUAUAUACAUACAUAUAUAUAUAUAUACAUACAUAUAUAUAUAUAUACAUACAUAUAUAUAUAUAUACAUACAUAUAUAUAUAUAUACAUACAUAUAUAUAUAUAUACAUACAUAUAUAUAUAUAUACAUACAUAUAUAUAUAUAUACAUACAUAUAUAUAUAUAUACAUACAUAUAUAUAUAUAUACAUACAUAUAUAUAUAUAUACAUACAUAUAUAUAUAUAUACAUACAUAUAUAUAUAUAUACAUACAUAUAUAUAUAUAUACAUAUACAUAUAUAUAUACAUACACAUAUAUAUAUACAUACAUAUAUAUAUAUAUACAUACAUAUAUAUAUAUACAUACAUAUACAUAUAUACAUAUAUAUACAUAUAUAUAUAAUUGAGCUAGAAUACUUUUAGAAGCACCAUCCCGUAGGUGCUUUUAAGUUUCUAGCCCUUGGAUCUACUCCUUAAUUACUAAUACCCUAUGGAUCAAAUACUAUUUCACCUACCACCACCUACCACCUCCUACCACCAUCAUCUCAACUCUGUUGAAACUUUAUUAAAAACUAUGAUCGUACCUUCUGCCAUGAUCUCAUUUUUUCUACUCGAUUUGUAAGCGGCAACUUUUGCUCGUGGUUCGUACUCGUUCGCGAUCUACAAAAAAAAGGAGCGUUUUCGAGUCUAAUUCCCUUAUCCCCGUAGAUGGAGCCAUCACAGAUAACUGGAUUAGGGUUAGACCGAGACUCCCGUAUGUUACAUAUUCAUUUAUAACUUAAUAUAAGGAUGUUAAAUCACGUCCGUCCAUUAAACACGUAUCCAAAUACAUCCUAACCGUAAGAUCUACCGUAUCUUUAUAGAUCGACUUAAAUAGAUUGACCGUAUCUUUAUGGAUCGCCUUGAAUAUAUCACGUGGGCCACAUUCAACAUUCUCCCACUUGGCCUAGUGAUGUAUUCAUUACCGUAUAGGCGAUACAAAAACUUUAUUAGGUACCAACUAAAUAAUGCAGUCAAAAUCUCCCAUUCGAUCAAAAAAUUGCAAUACUUUGAUCAUAGCGGUUAUGCCCCAAAAUAUAAACACUCCCUUCCAUGUAUCAAAAGCACGUAUUUCUUAAUCAAAUAACUUUAUGAGUUACAACCGUAUGAACUUAUUAUAAGUUCAACUCAGAGUCCCACUUUAGUGCAUAACAAUAUUUUAAUGUAUAAAAGAUAACUUUAUGCGCAUAUAUGCAAAAACCAAAAUGUGCACGUAUUUCUUAAUCAAGAUAUCCGAUUUCAAAAAUCACGCAAACAAGAUCUCUCAUGUUAUUUAAAAUUAAAGGAGAAAAGAAAAAUCUAAUCUUCACCUUUGUGCAAGUAAAUUUUCAUCGCAUGCAAUCCGAUGAUCAUGAAAUUGGUUCUCUUGAAGCCACACAAGCAUAUGUCCUCUACAGGUAUCCACAUGAGAUUGCUGAUCUGACCGAUGUCCUCACUGGAGUGCUAGUUUUCUUGGAAAGAAUGCCUUUCUUGCUAGAGGAUUGAAAAGAAUAAGAGAAGAAUAGAAAGAAGUUGAGAAAUGACGGCUAGGAUUUUUUAAAAAUUCUUGUAUCUUAUAAAGAGGGAUAUAAUCCUUUUUAUAAUAAUAUAAUAGACAUUAAAGAUAAAAACAUAUCUAGAUUUAAUUUUAUCUUACCAUUUGGUUCGAUCGAUUAAAUUCUAAUUUAAAUCGACUUGAACUCAAUCCAAAUUAAUAAUACAAUAUUUGCACAUAAAUGCUCUCACGGUUGCUACUGUAUUACACUUACCCAUACCUUUGUUUAUUCUCCUUGACUUGUGAGUAUCUCUCGCCCUCGUCAGUUUGCGGUACCCACUGGGAAGGGAGAUAUGUGUACAUGUUCUCACCCCCCACCCCCAUUACAGGUGACGUUGCGGGUCCAAGUAGGACGGAUUGUGGGGAGCGUACUUAGCGAUCGGUAGAGCUACCGUCUCGUUAUUCGGUUAAAUUCUUAAACUCAGUUUCUUUUAAAUAAAUGACUUAGACAGUAACUAUGGUUCAGUGAUUUAUUACAUUUGGAUUCAUCUGGUUUUAUGAAUGUAAUAAAGGAUUUAUAAUUCUUGCAAAAAAAAUAAAAUGGUUUUCUACCCCUCGUGAUAGCGAGUUUUAAAAUGGAAAAGGUUUUUGUAUGGGAAGCGAUUUUUAAAAGAAUUUUCUGAUUUUUCCUAGAUAUUAGUAUUUCGAAACGAGUUUCCGAGUAGGAAACGUUUUAAACUGAUAGAUAUGGAUUUAUGAAAAUUUAUGAUGAAAUAACUGUGGAUGUGGAUGGUGAAUGAAUGUGGAUGUUCAUAUGUGUGGUUGUAUCUUGUAUCGUGUAUUUUGUACUUGUGCGACGCCGUGCAAAUACAUGGGAGACUCUGUUUGCGUGAACAAUGGACUCCUUAUAUUUAUGGCGGAUCUGGCAUACCCUGAGGGUUAGGAUUAAAAAAAAAAAAAUUUGGGCACUUCCGCAUUAAAUUUAUAUCAAAAAGGGACCCCGGAGUGUGACACACAGCUGACAAGCCAAUUCUUGUAUGACCAAAAAACUAUUGUUGCCACAAUAGUAAUAACUUUUUGUGACAAAAUAUAAAAUUUGGACACAAAUAUGCACCCUUUUAUUACAAUUUUUUAAAAUUCCUCACAAAAAGUCAUUUAACUAUUAUAAAAUAAUAAUAUUUUAAUGUAGAAUUAUUGUAGACAUAAAUGAUAUGAAAUACUAUUGUGACAAACUAAAUGGCCACAAAAGUUUAAAAUAUUUUAUGGCGAUUUAUUUUCUCCGUUAAUAACUCUUAUUUCACAAUAUGUAAAAUAAUAUCUGUGACGAACAUUUUUGUCACAAAUAACUACUUUUUUUUGUGGCGAAAGUUAUUUCCUUACAAUUAUGGCAACGCUGUGGCAGAAAUUAUUUAGCCACAAAAAUAUUUUUGUGGCGAAACAUAUACUUUUUGUGGCGAAAGUUUGCUCCACAAAACAAUAGUUUUCUUGUAGUUCUGGCAGCUGGAGUUUGGCCAUGAGGAUCUCGCAAGCACCGUAGAGGGAUACGAUCGUUACGUGUCCCUCCGCCACAAGUCGCUGAAGGAGUGGAUACUAACCAUCAAGUCGGUUCUACAUAUAGCGACCCCACAUAUAGCAACACUUUUAAAAAGUGUCAGUAAUUUAGCCUGUAUUAUAUUUUUCUACCUGUACCGACAUUCAAAAGUGUCGCUAUACACCGUUUUUUUUAUAGUGACUGUUGAGCCAAUUCGGCGUGAACAGCUGGCACGCCGGGUCCAUACCAAUACAGCAGUUUCAGAGGUGCACCGAGAGUACAUUAGGGGCACCAGAAGGAACACGAACCAAACAAAAAUCGAGGGAGUUAUAGCAACCGCAAGCAGUUACAGACGGUUCUGAUCAGCCGAAGAUGGCCCAAAAUAACAGGAGAUAAUGGCUGAUCGUGCAAGGGCUAUAACCAACUCAGGGGUACUCUAUAAAUAAGUUCAUAAUACCCUAAAAAAGGGUCUUUUCCCCCUGCGAACAAAAGACCACUCUUAUUUUACCGCAUAUUUCUUUCCUGCAUUCACCGCUUUUCUAGGAGUAGCUUGGUAACUUAGAAUCCUGGAGUCUGUCUGCCCCCUGGGCAUCACUCCGUUGUAGACUAAAACCCCUCUUCCUGUACUUUCUACUGGUUCAUUCAAAAAAAAGUCAUUUUCGGCUCUUCAGGCCGGCCAGAUCUUGUGCUGUGUUAGCCGUUCGGCUCAUCUCCCGGUCGAGUUUCCAGUCUCCACCGUACAUUCGGCUCAUCUAGCCGAACCGAAGAGAGAAUAGAGCUUUCGGACCCGGCUGAUUGAAUCCCUCAUCGGCCGAAUCGCUUGUUCAGUAAAAGGGCGCACACUUCGAGAGUCAUCUUUGGAGCCGUUUCAACCACGACGCGCUUCCCGAGGAAGAUCUUUGACUGGGUCAAGGGGUCGGAACGAUCGGCACCAACAAUCCUUUGGCACGCCCGGUAGGACCACUUUUUGAGGUAUUUUUCAUAAUUUAUCUUUAUAAUGGCUGAUAAUAAUGCCAUGAAUUUACAUAAUAGGGCCAUUCCUAGAAAUUCUGGGGAUGAACAGCCCAGUAAUUCAGAGAAUGUUGCAGAACAUCAGGCGAUUUUACCUGCCGAAGUUGAAACUAGUGGUCAAUCUGGCCAACAUGAGCCUAGUUUGAGCCAAGCACUUGGGCAAAUGACUCGGGUCUUGCAAGCAUUGGACCAAAACAGCCAUGCUAGCUCUGCACGGCUGGACGCAGUAUUGGCCGCACUCACGGCCUCUAACGAGAAUAUUGCCCGAAUAUGGCAGUUUUUAACUCAUAACGAGCAACCGAUAGCAGGCAUACAAGCGCCUGUGAUGACACCAGUAUUAUAAAAUCCUGUAACACCGGUAAAUGGUCAGCCCCAAUACCAGGGGGCACCAUAUCAAGCGGCUUAUAGACCGGCUGUCGUUAAUACCGGUCAACAACCAGAAGUAGCUUAGGGGUUACCUCCGCCUCCACGAGUAGCAGCGUACCAGCCCCAAAAUGUAGGGGCUAGGGGGCAGGCUCCAAAUGCACAAGGGGUUAAUCCCUUGGUACAAAAUCUCUGGGUGCCACAACCACCGAACCCAGCACCAGCGCAAGUCCCUUUACAGGGGAUUAACAAUGAGAUUUAUGCGCAAAUAGAGGAAGCCAUCCGGAAUACCUACGGAGUAGGCGCAAGGCCGGCAAUGCGGCCCGUAUUCAGAUCACCAUAUCCUGCAAAUAUAGAUGCAGAACACCCAUAUCCGGCAAAUUGGAAGAUGCCGAAAUUUGACAAGUUUUUCGGCAACGAGACCGAAAAUACGGUUCAGCACGUCGCGCGGUUUACAGCUCAGUGCCGUGAGGUCGCGGUAGAUCCGUUUUUAAAGUUGAGGUUAUUUAAUACCUCAUUAACCAAGACGGCUUUCACUUGGUACAUGAGUUUACCUACUAAUUCCGUCCGAGAUUGGGACGAAUUAGAGGGUAAAUUCCAUGAACAGUUUUAUAGAAUAGAGCCAGAACUAUCAGUUGCGGAUUUGGCUCAAUUCAGACAAAGAACAGGAGAAUCGGUUGAUGAAUAUUUGAACCGAUUCAAAACAGCUCGAAGCCGUUAUUUCGUAAGAAUGCCGGAAUCGGAAUUUGCCAAAAUGGCAUUCAACGGCAUGCAUUUUAAAAUUAAAGAUCAUUUUGAGGAUAAAUUCUUUUCAAAUCUUUUUGAUUUGGGAGUUCGAUUCAAUACGAGCAGUUUCGAAAAGGGAAUAAUGAGGAUCGGCCUAGAUGGAGCCAAAAUAAAGACUGGAACAAAGGGAAGGAGAAAAAUAUUUCCUUCUUUGAAGAGUCUUCGGCUCAUGAAGAACCGAAUUCCGUCUGAAGAGGCAGAAGAUUCGGCUGAUGAAGCCGAAAUCUGUGCUCCUGAGAUGGUGAGAAAUAGUCAACCGUACAAAUGUGCUUUGUUAAAGCCCGCCAGAUCAAGCGAGGCUAAGGCACAUGUGUCUGCAUUUAACUAUUCGUUCGAUAUAUCAAAGACCGAUCUGAUUUUUGAUCGAUUGCUAAGGGAUGGACGAAUUAAACUACAAGAGGGCCAAACUAUGCCCCCUGUGGAAUAAUUAAAACGUAGAAGAUAUUGCAAGUGGCACCACUCGUGGAGCCAUAAAACUAGCGAUGCACUGCCUUCAAGAGGCAGAUACAAAAGGAAUUAAUGAAGGUCGGCUUAUUUUUGCCGACCAAGAAAGUAAAAAUAUGAAAAUCGAUAAGAACCCUUUUCCACCACAGGUUAACGUGGUGAACAUGAGGAAAAAAGGAAAGCUACUGCCAACAGGCGAUUUCAAGAAGAAAUAGAAGAGGGUGGGCUCAUUUUAGCUGACUAGCAAGUUAAAAGUAAAGAAGUUGAUAAAAAUAUGCUUUCUUUACAGGACAAAGUGAUGGACGCUAGAGGAAAGGCGAUUGCGGCCAGAACGACCGUGGACGACAUCGCCCAUGCGAAAAGAAAUCUUCGGUUUUGCAUAAGGUGCAAAGCCGAAAUGACAAAAAAAGAUUGGGAAGCCAUAAUCAACGAUAAAAAGAGAAGCAAAGAGUGGAAUGAAUUGAUGGCAUUCCCUGAGGAGUGGGAGCAUAUCCCAGAAGGAGAUGAUCAAGAAGAGGACGGCUCAGACGAAGCCUCCAACGAGACUGAACCGGAAGUCGACUCGAUUCAACGCAAGCAAGACGUGUUGAUGCAGAAAAUUCUGCAUGAUUAUUACAACAACAGACGUGGCGAGCAUCAAGGCCGAUGGGGCUAUCAGGAUAGACCAUUCGGCUCCAAGUAAAGGUUCCUUGGAUAUCGGCCGCACUGGCAACAUCAAGCCAGGCCGAGACCAGAACCCGAAUUUGAUGGAAUGACCGAAGGAGACAUUGAGUUCUUGGGUCGGAGACUAGUGAAUGAGCUCGGCAUUCAGCCUUGACCGAGGCUUUAGGAGAGAAGAGAAAUUUUGAAAAAUCAUUUGAGAACGGUAAAGGUACGGGCAAAUGUGCUAGUGAAUGAAUGGCACGAAGUUGAAGUCAAACGAUCGGCCAGGUGGCAGGGGCCGAUGUUAACAAAAAUCGAAAAGCGUCGGCAGCAGAGGAUGCAAGCCGAGGCAAGACAACACUACGAAGAAGCGAAAGGGAUAAGGCUCAACGUAUAGAGGCGUCCUAAUGAGCAAUCACACCCCUUUCGCCCAAUGCGAAAUGACCACGAGGUAGGCGACUCAUCGCCUGUCCCUUGGAUGAAGUCAAAGGUAGAACGAUCAACCGAGGUCGAGUCGAAAGAAAAAAUGACCAGGAGGGAGUUAGAAGAUAAAAUAGCCUCCCUUGAAAUGAUUAUCAAGAGAGAAUGAUGGCCCCCUAAGGAAAGGGAGGUCCGUGUGGAAAGCGACUCUUCAGCCGAGGUAGCCAAAGAGUCAGAGGAGAAGAAACAAAAGAUUAAAGGUAAAUCGGCUGAUGAGUCACCAACUGAGGUGAAUAUGGUAUAUGCCCUGCCUCAAUCCUUUAAGGCAGAGCUUGUCAAAUAUGAAGAAUUCAGAGAGGAGGAAGAAGUUGGGCUUAAAGUGGCCCAGUUGCAACUGGAAGAUUUUCAACCGGCCGAUGCAGUGGUUUUCGAGAAACCAUCGGCCAUGCAGACAAGAUUCAUAAGGCCUCUGUUCAUUAGAGCCUUAAUCGAAGGUCGGCCAGUAGGCCGAGUUAUGGUAGAUGGUGAAGCCAUGGUCAAUGUGAUGCCCACUUCUUUCUUCAAGAAGUUGGGGAAAGAUGAAGAUGAGUUGAAGCCCACCGAUUCAAUCAUGACCAACUUCACUAGUAGCGGUCAGCAAGCCCGAUGAGUGCUCACCACCGAGCUCACGAUAGGCUCCAAAACUUUAAAAACUGUGUUUUUUGUGGUGGAUGCAAAUAGCCACUACAACCUACUAUUUGGACGCGAUUGGAUACACGCGAAUGAGUGUGUACCCUCUACACUCCACAGAAAGCAAUUCCAGUGGGUUGGGGACAAAGUAGAAGAAAUCUGGGCCGAAGGGUGGCCCGAAAUGAUAGAUGUCAAUUGGGAGGAAAUCGACCACACCAAUUGGGUCGACGCAAAUCCAGAUCAGAUUUCUUUUGUCAGAGUUACGGAGGAGGGGGUUCAGUUGAUCUUCUCCAAAGAUGUAGGUGGCAUAGUGGCAGACGAAGAGCCACCGAAUUGGUUGAAAUGGAAUACAAAGAAUUGAGAAUAGAGGCUUGUCAAGAGCCUCGACGAGAUAAGCCGAUCAACAAGAUUGGCUAUGAAGAUGAUUUGGCUGCCAUAGCCGAUGUGUUAAUGUUUGACAACUCAACUAAUAAAGCCGAAUAAGUUAUAAUAGAUUCGGCUCCCAAAGCCAAAGAAGAAAAUCAAAUGAAAUCGGUCAUUGAGACCGAUAAAUCACAUGAACCGAAAGGGCAAACAAGUGAAUUGAAUCUAGAAGAAUCGCCUAUUAAAGUCGGUGAGAAAAAAUUGGAGACCCAAGACCCGCUGAUCGAAGUAAAUUUGGGAUCUGACGAAGAUAAGAGACCAACGUAUAUAAGUGCAAAGCUUUCGGCUCGACAGCAGGAAGAGCUGAAAGAACUAUUGAAGGAGUACAAGGACUGCUUCGCCUGGAGUUAUGAAGAAAUGCCAGGUUUAAGCCGAGAAAUUGUAAAGCAUAGGCUGCCUAUUAAAAAAGGGUUUAAGCCUUUUAAACAACCGGCUCAUAGGUUUGAGCCGAGUAUUGUACUCCAAAUUAAGAAUGAAAUAGAAAAUCUUUUGAAGGCCGGAUUUAUUAAAGCGGCCCGUUAUGCCGAUUGGGUGUCCAAUAUAUUUCCAGUGCGUAAAAAGAAUGACAAACUUAGAGUUUGUAUCGAUUUUAGGAACUUGAACAUAGCUACACCUAAAGAUGAAUAUCCAAUGCCUAUAGCCGAUAUAUUAGUAGAUUCGGCUGCCGGUAAUGAAAUUUUGUCCUUUAUGGACGGACAUGCUGGCUAUAAUCAAAUUUAUAUUGCUGAAAGAGAUGUGGCUAAAACGGCUUUCAGAUGCCCUGGUUCGAUCGGAACUUUUGAAAGGGUCGUUAUGCCGUUCGGCAUAAAGAAUGCCGGAGCUACUUAUUAGAGGGCAAUGAAUUUUAUUUUUCAUGAUUUAAUCGGCAAGAUGUUGGAAAUAUACAUCAACGAUAUAGUCAUAAAAUCUAAGUCACAAGCCGAACAUUGGAUUGAUUUAAAGCUCACCUUUGAAGAAUGAGAAAAUAUAAUUUGAAAAUAAACCCUUUGAAAUGCGCCUUUGGAGUCUCAGUGGGAAAUUUUCUAGGAUUCUUAGUGCAUAAAAAAGGGAUUGAAAUUGAUAAAAACAAGGCGAAAGCAAUAUUGGAAUUACCGCCACCAAAAAGUAAAAAAGAAUUACAAAGCUUGUUGGGGAAGAUCAAUUAUCUUCGGCGGUUCAUAUCCAACUUGGCCGGAAGAAUAGGGGCGUUUACCCUACUACUUCGGCUAAAAGAUAAAGAAGAGUUCAUUUGGAUAGAAGAGCAGCAAGGGGCGUUUGAAAAUAUAACAAUAUAUUUAUCAAACCCUCCGGUAUUGGCGCCUCCAAAGCCAAAUCAGCGAUGAAAUUAUACAUAUCGGCUGCAGAAGGAAAUUUGGGAUGCUUACUGGCCUAAGAAAAUGAAGAAAAAGAAGAACAAGCCAUGUAUUAUCUAAGCCGACGUCUUUUAGAUACUGAGAAACGAUAUUCGGCCAUUGAAAAAUUAUGUCUGGCUUUAUACUAUUCAUGCACAAAAUUGAGAUACUAUAUUUUACCAACCGAAGUAUCGGUAACAUGUAAAACUGAUCUGGUAAAAUACAUGUUAUCUAAGCUAGUGCUAUGGGGACGAAUCGGAAAAUCGGUGUUAGCAUUAUCCGAAUUCUCCCUUAAUUAUGUUUCUGUAAAAGCUGUCAAAGGCCAAGCUAUAGCCGAUUUUUUGGCUGAUCACCCAUGUGUGGAGAUUGAGGAGCCGAAACACAAUUUUAUCGGUUGUCAACCUUGGGUACUUUAUUUUGACGGUACAAAAACAACCGAAUCCGCAGGAGCAGGAAUAGUUAUAGAGUUCCCUGAGGGAUACAUUGCCAAUUCGUGUUUGAAUUAGAUUUCGACUGUUCCAACAACCAAGCUGAAUACGAAGCCUAGAUAAUCGGCCUUGAAAUUUUGCAAGAAUUGAAAGUAAAGUCAAUCAAAGUCAUCGGUGACUCGCAUCUAGUAAUCAAACAAGUUAAUGGAGAAUACCGAUGUGAAAACCCGAAUUUGCAAAAUUAUUUAAGGAAGACAGUAGAAUUACUGUGCAAUUUCGGAGAAGCUGAAUUUGAACAUUUGGGCAGACAGAAAAAUAAAAAGGCAAAUGAACUAGCCCAAUCGGCUUCAGGAUAUAGAGAGCCGAAGUCAGAAUCAAUAGUAAUACAAAGAAGGCUGUUACCUUCGGUUCAUAUACAAGAACCGAUCAUAGCUCCCAUAGAGGUAAAAGAAGAUUGGAGAAAAUCUUUAAUCGAAUAUUUAGAAGAUCCUAAUAAAGGGGUCGACUAUAAUAUUCGAAGGAGAGCUCUCGGCUAUUGUCUGUUAGACGGACAACUUUACAAGAGAACGGCCAAAGAAAUUCUAUUGAAGUGCUUAGGGCCCGAUGAAGCUCUACUGGUAAUGGGAGAAACACAUGAGGGAAUAUGUGGAACCCAUUUACCAGGAAAAAGGCUAAGAUGGCUGAUUCAGCACUUAGGAUAUUAUUGGCCGACUAUGCAUCAAGAUUGCAUAGAAUAUGCUAAGGGUUGCUAAGAUUGUCAAUUUCAUGGCUGAAUACAAAGGGUUCCUGCCUCUGAGAUGUAUGUCAUAAUUAAGCCAUGGCCUUUUCUAGGUUGGGCUAUAGAUUUAAUUGGAGAAAUCCAGCCGAACUCCUCGGCCGGUCAUAAGUUUUUAAUAGUGGCCAUUGAUUACUUUACUAAGUGGGUGGAAGUAAAACCUGCUCGGUUGGUCACUUAGAAAGAAAUUAUCGAUUUUGUUGAAGAUCAUAUAAUCCAUCACUUUGGGAUUCCCGAGACAAUUACGACCGAUCAAGGGACAAUGUUCACGGGUCGACAGUUCAUUCGGUUCAUCGAAUCUCGAAAGAUAAGGUUACUUCAUUCGUCUCCUUAUUAUGCUCAAGAGAAUGGACAAGUAGAAGCAGCAAAUAAAAUAAUUAUUAAUCUCAUGAAACUGCAUAUCGGAAAGCAUCCAAGGAAAUAGAACGAAAAGCUUUCCGAAGUAUUAUGGGCAUGCCGAACUUCAGUGAAAACGGCAACAGGGAUGACGCCGUUCCAGUUAGUGUACGGCCAUGAGGCCGUAAUUCCAGCCGAGAUAAUAAUUCCUUCUUUAAGAAUAGAAAAACAAAAAGAACUGUCGGCUGAUGAAUACAGUAAUUUGAUGAAAUAAAAAGUAGAAGAAAUAUGUGACACUCGGUUGAUGGCUCUGGAUAAUAUGCAAGCAUAUCAGAGCCGAGUGCGUAGCGCAUACAAUAAGAAAGUUCGGUCUAAGGCAUUUGCGGUCGGUGAUUUGGUCCUUCGACUGGUUUUUCCAAUCGGUCAAAAAGACCGAACGUAUAGAAAAUGGUCCCCAAAUUGGGAAGGGCCAUUUCAAGUCAGUCGAAUUACAAAAGGAAAUGCAUAUUACUUGAAAAACAGAGAUGGGUCAGAAAGUGAAAAACCAAUCAACGGAAAGUAUUUAAAGAAGUAUUACCCAUCCAUGUGGGAGAAAAACCAAGAUGAAAGUUAGAAUAUUACAAGCCAAAUCAAGAUAAUAAAUCUCUGAGUUGGUUCCAUUCGGCUAUAAGGUUGGCUUGAGCAGCUUCGGCAGCCUUUCUUCGGCGCUUCAUCAAGGGAUGCACCUUGUAGAGUUGAGAAAGCUCUUCUUGAAUUUUCAUCCCUUCUGCUUUUUUAGACUUCAAUUGGUUCUGCAAUUGAAGUCGGCGCUCAGAGGUUUGGGCUAAAGUUGAUUCGGCUGCUACUAACUCUUCUUUAAGAGUUGAAAUUCGCUAUUGUAGAGCUAAUUCUUGAUUGGCCAAAGCCUGAUCUUCCUGAUUCACUUCAGUAAUAGGGGCUGCUGCCUCAAGAAUAAUGUUCUUAUAGUGAUCAACUUGAUGAAAAUGUUGAUCCGUAGUUAAAAGCUCGGUUCUUAAGCAUUAUUGCCAAGAUAAGAAAGAAGAAAGCUGAGACGACAGAGUCUCUACAAAACAUUUGAUACUAGGGGCGAUAUCUGAUUGAUCGGCCAGAGCAAGUAAAAUAGCAUAUAGCCGAUCAAAUAGUUCUGAAUUUUGAGCUAAAUAAGGGAGACCAUUACUAUAUAUUUUAAGGCACUCAUCAAAUUUGCGUUGAGUGUCUAAUGAUGCGAUAAUGGUCGAAGAAUCAUCUCCCUCAUUGGAACUAAGACUCGAAACCAGUAGAGAAUGAAGAGUGGCAGAUAGAGGAUCCUCAAGAGCAUAAGAGGGAGCCUCAUGAGUCGGAUGAGGAGGUAUGGUGCUUGCUUCUCCAGAGCCUUGCGCUUCUCCAGAACCUUGCCCGAAAAGUACAUUUGCUUUUUCAUCCCCUGUAAUUGGUAUUGGGGCAGAAAGAGGUGACGCCUCGUUUCUGCAACGGAUUUUUUUCUUUUUCUCCAUACCUCGUUUCUUUUCAAGAUGAGCUUCCCUACGAAGCUGUCUAUCCAUCUGCAUCUUCGAAGAAUGAGUAAAAGGGACUCUUUCAGGAGAGGACUGUGAGUUAAAAGAAAAUGAUAAAUAAAUGAAGAAAUAGAAAAAUUGGGUACAGACAAAUAACUUGGCUUACCUCGAUCUCAAUCGGAUCGGUCGGGAUAGGGCUUUGUUCUAUAGCCGAAGUAGGUACAUUUGUUUCUUCUGAUGGAACACCAGCCGGAGGCAUAUCUUCGGCUCUUAUUUCUGGGAUUGAAGCCGAGGGUGUAUCUUCAGCUCUGUCCUUUAAAAUGUCAGCCGAAGGAGCAUCUUCGAUUUGUCGAAAUUGCCGUUUAGCAACUAAUUUAUGCCGUUUUGAAGACGGCGGAGGAGUAGUUUGUACAGUUUCAAUCGGUCUUUUGUCUGAAGCUGGGACCGAUGAAGAAGUAGGAAUAGACUGCCGAUGAAAGUGAAAGAAAAGUUAGUAUUACAAACAUCAAAAUAGGAAGAAUCAAGAGAAGAAUAGGAGACAUUACAGAGGAAGGAGGCGAAGUUUCAGCAGCCUCUUCCGAUUUCUCUUCUGAUAUGGAUGGCUCAGCAGGGCCUUCCGAUUAGGUUUUGCUUGGAAAGGGGACUACAAAUAAAAAAUAGAUAAGCAGCAGUAACUAUGAGCAGGAAAUCAACCUUAAAUGAGAUAACAUACCGAGUGGGUCAUGAGUCUUGCGGUGUGCAUGCGAAACAAUGGAAGGAAAGGUGUUCUUGAGAAAGAUAUCCCAAUUAACGGUAUAGCGGAAACCUAAUACUCCGGUAUAAUUCGGCUUGAAGCUAGUCAAUUUGAAAAAUCACCGAAGACGAUUUCCCAUGGCUGAAAUCCGAUCGGCGUCGUCUAUACUCUUGGUAGGUGGACGAUAAACGACAGUAUUAGCCGUGAAGAGUUUGGCCGAAGUACGGAUUGCCUGUGUAAAUCCAAAUUGGCGCGCCACAAACUGUGGAGAGUAAACCUCGGUGCUGGGCAACAACUUCAUACGCGUUUUCAAGCCAAUAUGCAAAUCCUGAGGGGCCAAAAAAGAAUACCAAACAUCAAGAUGCUCGCUAGCACGAGAAGAAGCGAGCUCACCUUGAAGAGAUUCAUACCUAGCUAAAAACCAAGAGGGGCCAGUGACUCGGUCAGCCAAAGAAAACCAAUAAAUGAGAAGGUGAGGACUCGAAUCAUAAAAAACGAAAAAAUAAGUGGAAAAAUCAAGAGGAUGUCCAGAUGUCAACGGCGGAGGGCAGCCGAGAGCAAGCCCAUAGGAGUCAAAAUGGGCAGCCGAAUCCAAAUCUAAAGGUUCUCGGCACAACUUACGAAAAUAAAUUUGCAAAAACAUUUGCAAAAACCAAAAAAACGCCGCAACCUGAGCUAAUGGUUACACUAUCUCCAAAGGGUAACGACUUAAUGGAAUCAAAAAUUUUCCUGUAAACAAAAGCAAGGAAAUAGGGCCCCAAGGCCAAUUUAUCGCCGUUAGAUAAACCAACGGCGAUCAGAACAAAAUCUGGAUUGAUUUUCUGCGAACGAGUACAGAAAAGAUUAUGACAUAGCCAGGAGCAACGCCAUAUGUUCCUUCCUGGUGACCGGAGAAGGGAAUUCACCUGCAAACUUACGGAGAAACUUAGAGUAAGCCAAAUCAUUGAGAUCGAGAUGGGCUUCAAAAUCAGAUACACCAUCAGGAUUAUAGACCAUGGAGAGGGUAACGCCAUGAGGGCGUAAACCAACAAUGGCGGCUACAUCAAAAAAAGUUGGGGUAAGUAGGCCUCCUCUGAAAAGAAAAAUGUUGGAGACAGGGGACCAAAAACAGAGAGCUGAAGCUAAUAAAAGGUUAUCGGCUAUAGGGGAUUUCCGCGAUAACUGGAUAGCUUCAUAAAUCCCAAUCUCUUUCCAAAAAUCGCCAUAAGUAGAUUUGACUCGAUCUAACCAAGAUAGAUAUGCUUCUGAGGUGCUCGGCCAAGUCCUAAGACUCCUUCCUGUCGAGGCCGAGGGGUACCAGGAAUGAAGAUGAAUGGAGUCAGCCAUUAAUGGAAGACCAUCACUGGAGAAAGGAAAAUCCCCAGGAGUUGGAUCUUGGGUAAAAGAAGGUCCCAAGAUCAAUCUGGUAGGGUCUAAGGGAAGAUACGGUUUGAGCAAGGUGUAAUCCAAUGAAGGGCGAAUAGAUAAUGGCGGAAGUGGUGCCAUCACUCGAAACAAAAAAAAAAAAAAAACACAGAAACAGAAAGUAAAGGAAGACGAAGGAAACUGUCGGAAAAGGCAAAGAAGAAAUGAAAAGAUUUCGUCGGAAAAGAAGAGGAAGAAACGAAAGGGUAGAAAAGACAAAAAGAAUGCGAAGCUUGGGGAAGAAAAAAAGCCGUCGUAUCGAACCAUCGCAUCGAAGCGAGUUCCGAGGUCGGCUAUGAUGAUGAAUAGACGACGGAAAUUAAGAGGGCAUAAUUAAUACCGCAUAUAAGACAAAAAUUGAGAACGAAUCAGGGCCGUAAAAAAAAAAAAUGAAAUAAACGGCCAAAAUCGAGUCACUGGGUCUUGCACUAGCGCAGAAGAUUUGAAAUUGAUUGGAUCGAAAAGUAUGCCUCGGAUCACGCCCAUUUUGAAGCAGUGGCGGGAUUUUGAACCGAGCGAUUCAAAUAAAACCAUGCCAAAAGAUGAAACACGCCUUGGAAAACGCCAGCUACCGAAGCGUCACUUCGAAAGCUGCCGAGGGGGCAAUUGUUGAGCCAAUUCGACGCGAACAGCUGGUAUGCCGGGUCCAUACCAGUACAGCGGUUUCAGCGGUGCACCGAGAGUACAUUAGGGGCACUAGAAGGAACACGAACCGCACCAAAAUCGAGGGAGUUAUAGCAACCGCAAGCAGUUACAGACGGUUCUAAUCGGCCGAAAGUGGUCCAAAAUAACAAGAGAUAAUGGCUAAUCGUGCAAGGACUAUAACCAACUCAAGGGCGACUCUAUAAAUAAGUUCAUAAUACCCUAAAAAAGGGUUUUUUCCCCCUGCGAACAAAGACCACACUUAUUUUAUCGCAUCUUUCUUUCCUGCAUUUACUGCUUUUUCUAUGAGUAGCUUGGUAACUUAGAAUCCUAGAGUCUGUCUGCCCCCUGGGCAUCACUCCGUUGUAGGCUAAAACCCUUCUUCCUGUACUUUCUACUGGUUCAUUCAAUAGAAAGUCAUUUUCGGCUCUUCAGGCCGGCCAUAUCUUAUGUUGUAUUAGCCGUUCGGCUCAUCUCCCGGUCGAGUUUCCAGCCUCCCCCGUACAUUCGGCACAUUCGACCGAACCGAAAAGAGAAUAGAGCUUUCGGACCCGGCAGAUUGGAUCCCUUAUCGGCCGAAUCGCUUGUUCAGUAAAAGGGCACACACUUCGAGGGUCAUCUUUCGGAGCCGUUUCAACCCCGACGCGCUUCCCGAGGAAGAUCUUUGAUUGGGUUAAGGGUCGGGACGAUCGGCACCCAACAGUGACUAUGGGGGCAUUUGGUUCGGCAUAAAAUGAACUAAAAAAUUAGUUUUAGUAUAAAAAAUACUUUUCACUUGUUCGGUUCUACGUAAAAAUAUUUUCUUAUAAAAGUAUUUUUACAGAUUUGGAGGAAAAUUUUUUUGAUCAGAGAAAUUUUGGAGGAAAAUUGAACUAUUUGUUUUCUACUAUUUUUUGGUGGAAAACGAAAAUCCAACCGGCGCAAAACUUUUUUUAUUUAUUUUUUCUACCGAACCAAACAAAUGUGAAUUUUUUUUAUUUUAACCAAACAAAUGUUGAUGAACUAUUACUUUUUCUUUAUAGACCUAAUACUAUAAAAUAUAAAAUUUUUUGCCACCAAAAAUUAUUUUUUAUGAUUUUACAUUGAACCAAACAGACCUACGUUGAGCCAAAUAUUUAAAAUUAUUUUUGACGAUUAAUUACAUGAAAAUUUUAUUUUUUACGGCUUUACUUCGAACUAUCAAUAUACAAAGCUUGUGUAGCAUCACAUCUGUCGUGUCAUUAUUGGUAUCCCGAUCAUAAGUAUCCCCCCAAUAUUUACUUCAUUUACAUGAAAUUUUGCAUUUUCUAACAACCAACCAAGAUUAAACUGGUCUGAUCAUAUAGAUCUUGCGCACUAAUUUGAGUCACUACAACAAAAUCGGUGUAUAGCGACAUUUUUAAAUAUCGGUAGAGAUCAAAAAAGGCGCUGCUAGCUAAAUUACCAACACUUUUUAAAAAUGUUGCUAUAUGGCGCUGCUAGCUAAAUUACCGACACUUUUUAAAAAUGUUGCUAUAUGUGGAGUCGUUAUAUGUAGGACCGCCUUGAUGUUUGGCAUCCACUCCUCCUGCGAUCUGUGGCGGAAGGACACGUGGCGAUCGUAACAUUUUACGGUCUCUGCAAGAUUCUCGCGGCCGAACUUCAGCCGCCGGAAACCUACCUCGUGCGCUGUGACGGUGGAGGAGGAGAAGGGAAGGGAGAUAGAUGGUGAUCAUUUUUUUUUUUUUUUCUAUUUGUAAUCGGGCCGAUGGGUUGGGUGGAGUUACUUAAGUAGAGGAACUUUUUAUUUUUGAUUGCAUUGGGCUUUAUAUUUAGGCUUUAGUAAAUUUUCGAAAAAACUUCAAAUAGCCCUCCUAUGGUUUCUCACUUUCUCACUUUACUACCCUGUGAUUUAAAGUGUAUCAAGUUAGUACCAUGUGGUUUCGCACUUUCUCACUUUAGUACUGUAGUGUCCCGGGUGCUCAGCUGUCUAUGUGAUUUCAGUAUCUGAGGCUUGUCGACACAUCUAGAGAGUGUUGGGAUAAGCAGGAGUCGUUUUGGCGCGAAAUAGACGCAAAACGGACUCAANUGAUAUUUUAGUCAGUUUAUUUAAAAUCCAGACUUUAGUGUCCUUGGUGUUGGGCUGCCUAUGUGACUUCAGCAUCUGUGGCUUGUCGACACGUUUGGAGAGUGUCGGGACAAGUCGAAGUCGAUUUGGCGCGAAAUGGACGCAAAACGGACACAACACUAUGCGAGAGUGGAGUUCUGACACUAAAAUCUGCAAAGUGCACGAUUUCAGUGUUGAGUACCGGUACCUGGGAGGAGUACUGGUACCCCCAUGAUUGCGUAACUGGAUUGCUCUCGGGUUUGCGUAUAUGUGAUGCUCAGUACCGGUACCCACUUGUCGAGUACCGGUACCGAGCCCGAGUACCGGUACUGCAUCGGGCAAGUACUUGUACCCAGUGCGCGCAAUAGCGGAUUGAGGGGCCGAGUAUCGGUAACCAAGUUAGGUACCGGUACUCCAGCUGGAAAAGGGAGUAGGUAAGGGGCUUUUUGGUCUUUUGUUGGUGAUAAACCAAACCAAACCCCCAGCAUUCACUCUUUGUGCCCGAGGUUGAUAGAAACACAGGUUGGUUCCCUCUUUCUCUCUCUAGCUCCUUUCCUUCAUUUCCUUGGGGAUUUUAGAGAUCCGAUCUUAGUUUUUGUUCGCUUACUUUUCGAGGAUUGUGCGUGCGCACCGUGGUUGAGUCCGGUGGAGGCCGUUGGAGGUCGAGUGAGUGUGCGGCUUUCUCCCGUCGACUUCUUGCCAACGUUGGAAGAGCGUUCGAGGUGGGUUAAUGUUUACCGAAAUUGUCAGAUUUCCUUCUAAGUCCUUGAAUCGUUAGCAUGUAUUAUUGGUUCUAUUCAUCAUGUUAGGACUCAAAUUCAUGGAUUUGUAAGCAUUGUGAUCAUUCAAAUUUUUGAGCAUGUAUUUAGAUGAAAUUUAAACAUGUUGAACUAGGAUUUGACUUAGGAGACAACUCGUUUAACCUACACUAUCAUUUUUCUAAAAAGUUACCAGAUUGAACUUCAGGAGCUGCUGUACUUGUGUAUCCUCGUUGUUAGUGUGUAGUAGAUACCCAGCUUAGAGUAGGCUGACUUUACGCUCGUGCUGAGGAGCUGAGCUUGUUGUACAGUAGUGUUUGGAUUGUCGCGUGACGUCCAGGUUGAUGGUGGACCCAGAAUCCUGUAUCACCGCUGUUAGUGCGAGGUGGAUACUCGGAGGAGUGUAGGUUGAGUUUACACAUACACUGAGGAGCCGAGUGUAUUGUUACAGUAGAGUUACAUUGUGUUGGACCGUAGGGUGCCGUCGGGGUUGACGGUAGACCCAGAUUUCUCUAUUUUGCAUCAGAUUGUGCCAAGGGCACGUAAGUUUUGGUGGAUAGAUCAGUUUGACCCAUUUACAGUGAUUACAGCCUGUGAGAGCCUGACUGAACUCGGCAGAGACACUUGUAAAUUCGGUUGGGUCGCGCCCACGAAUGCCAUUCCAGAAUGAAGUUUUCAGUGCGAUGAGGUCAUAGUUUUUGUUUGGACAGUUCUUGAGCUAGCCACCCUUGUGGGUGGUGUACGGCGUAGCUUGGAUGCAAGCAGGGUGAGUCCAUUUGGGCAGCUCGUGUGAAGUUGGGUCAAUGGUAGUUAGUAACGCUUUUCUCUACCCUAAGUAAGGCUGUGACGUGUAUAGAGUCACAGCAGUUCUAUUGGACCUUUCUUCUUAGACGGCCAUUUUCAUGGGUUGGAUACGCUGUAGCUUAGGCAAACGGGACGGGUGUAGCACAGUCCCUAGUGAGAUCUCACCACCGGCAGCCCUCAGGGUGGUGUGCGGUGUAGCUUAGGCAGACGGGACGGGUGUAGCACAGUCCCUAGUGAGAUCUUGCCACCAGCAGCCCACGAAGUGGUGGACGGGGUAGCUUUGACAGGCAGGACAGGUAUAUCGCAUUUCCCAGUGAUAUUGGGUUAGAGUGAAGCAUCGUUCAUAUCUACAGAUAGCCUAUGUUGGUUAGCGAUAGUAUAGUGGCAUAUAACUGUAGAGUUUUUCUAGCUUGUCUUACUAUCCUUUGCGCAUAUUUCUAUAGACUUAGUGGGUAGGCCAUUGAGAUCGGUCACGGUACCCACUGAGAACUACUCUAUUUUGCAGUAGUUCUCAUACCCAGUUAUUGACACCUUUUGCAGAGCCUUCAUCUGCGCCUGCUGCUGUUCCUGAUUUCGACCGCUAAAUCCCUACCAGUCGUGUCGCCGUACUAGAGGAGUACCCUUCACAGGUAGUUUUGAGGUAUUUUGGUUCAUGUACAUACCUUAUGUUUUGUAUACUCGCUGGAGUGUGGUGUAGUUUUGGAUGUUGUAUGUACAGUGAAUCCUUAGCUUUUAUAUAUACAUGUUUUAAUUUAGCAGCUCUAUACUUUUGGUUGUAGCUAUGAUUUGAUUAUAGGUACAGCUAUCACUUCGUAUACACGAAAAAUUCCUAUAUAUACGGUGGGUCUGUUGGCGUGCUCGGAAAAAUGUGGUAAUCCGGGCGUGACAUAUUAAGUUGGUAUCAGAGCUUAGUAUUAGGUCGUUGGGACUUAGCAAAUCCUAGGUUUGGCAAACCUUAGGAAGGCAAGACACGAGAGGCAUGACUUAUUGCGAAAGUCAGUGAUUGAGUUGUUUUAACUUCUUCUAGAGUGGAGUGAGUGACUGAAGGAGUGUCUAUUUCUGCCAAGAAAAAUAUGUCGGCUGCAGACGGCAUAGUUUUGAGGAGAAACAGGGGCGGCCUUCUUGACUUUCGCUUGAUUGGGUCGAGAGUUGUGUGUUUUGUAUCUGACCCUUAUUUUGGUUUUCAGGUGGCUAUGAGGCCUUAUCGACACCGAGGUCGACCGUUGACGCGAGAUCCGUCUGCGCCGCCGGAGAUCCCAGCACAGGCGGGACCUAGUGCACCCGCGGAUUUGAUAGAGCAGUUGGCUGCCUUGGCUGAAGUGAUCAGGCAUCAGGGUGCGUUAUUGUAGAGGUUGUGCGAGGCAAUUACUCUGUAGUUGGGUAUUGAGCCAAGAGCAUCCGUGCAGCAGGCAGUCUAGGUGGAGCGAGGGGCUAUAUUAGUCCAGGAGCGGGCAACGGCACCGGGACAAGGGCAGGAUAGGAAGCAUCUGGUUCAAGAUGACAGAGGACAGACCAGCAGUAGACGUCGGCCGAGGCCUCCACGAUCACACUCUCAGGGUCGUGGGCCCUCGGGGCGACAGCGGUUUGGGGGACCUCGUCAGCAGAGACAGCAGCAGAGGACUCCGCAGUGAGAGAUUUGUGGGGACCGCACCGGCCUCGGUCUUGUGAGCAGCGAGAGGGUCGAUAUUUUGGAUAUGGCUAGUCAGGGCAUCUACGGGCAGCUUGUCCCCGAGCGGCGUCAACAACACCUUUGGCGGCGUCGUCCCCGUCGGUACCUCAGCAGACUUUUGGAGCACCACCGAUCUCCAACUGGGCGGAGGGAGUUGCAGCGCCAGAACAGAGUGAACGGCAACAACAAAAAGCGAGUGGCAAUAUGCAUGAAGCUCAAGUUGAGGAUUUCACGACAGCAGACCGUGUGAUGGCAGGUAUCAUUUUGAUUUCUAGUAUCAGGGUUCAUGCAUUAUUUGAUACCUGUACAUCCCAUUCUUUCAUUAGUCAAGCAAUUGCAUCAUUGCAUGGACUAGAGAUAGGGCCACUGUUGCAUGCACGUGAGGUGCAAAUUCCUGACCAUGUUUUGCAGGUGGCCGAGUGUUGUUGGUCUUGUCCAGUGCGGUUGGACUUUUGGAUUAUGCCUGCAGACCGGUUAGUCUUGGGGUAGUGCAGGACUUUGAUGUAGUGCUUGGCAUGGAUUGGCUGGUUCGGUACUAUAUGACGAACGACUGUGGAGCUAGGACAGUAACGUUUCACUAGCUAGGCCAGGGAGAGUUUACUUUCAGAGGUUGUAUGAGUAUGCUGUUUGCCACUUGGAUCUCUUCAGCGAGGGCUAGACAACUGAUGAGUCAUGGAUGCAUUGCUUCUUAGCGACGAUAGUAGAGAUGCCUACGGCGGCACCAGGACUCAAGGAUAUCCCUGUAGUUCGUGAAUUUUCAGAUGUCUUUCCCCCAGAGCUGACGACUAUGUCGGCUGAUAGAAAGAUUGAAUUUGCGAUUGACGUGGUUCUUGAAACUGGGCCAAUCCCAAAGGUACCUUAUCGGAUGGCACGAGCAGAGUUGAGGGAGCUCAAAGCGCAGCUUCAGGAUCUGAUGGAUGAAGGGUAUAUGAGAACUAGAGUAUCGCCUUGGGAAGCGCCAGUGUUAUUCUUCAAGGAUGGUUCACUUAGACUGGGUGUGAAUUACCGAAAGUGAAAUAAAGUGACCAUCAAGAACAAGUAUCCUUUACUGCGCAUUGAUGAUCUGUUUGAUCAGCUGCAAGGAUCUUGUGUCUUUUCGAAGUUUGAUCUUCUGUCAGGUUACCACCAGUUGAAGGUGAGGGCCGAGGAUGUUUCGAAGACGGCUUUCUGGACACGGAACAGGCAUUAUGAGUUUACCAUGAUGCCGUUUGGAUUAGCUAAUGCCCCUGCCAUUUUAUGGAUUUGAUGAACAGAGCGUUUAAGCCGUUCUUGGAUAGAUUUGGGUUGUGUUUUGAUGCGGUAUGAUAGGGUAAUUGUUUAUGAUUCCCGGCAGCUGAAGGAUUCUAAGAAGAAUUACCCUACGCAUGAUUUGGAGCUUGUUGCUGUGGUUUUUGCUUUGAAGUUAUAGUGGCAGAUGCGUUGAGCAGGAAGUCGGUGCAGAGUUUGAGCUUGUGAUCGCUCAUCAGAGGUCUUUACUUGAGGAGUUGCAGUGACUUGGACUCGAGGUGGUGUCCCAUAGGACUACUGCAAAAUUGAUGUCAAUGGUUUUGCAGCCCACUCUGUUGGAUAGGAGAGAGAGAAACUGUCACACCCGGGUACUAGCAGAAGCAUAUCCGGUACGUGCACAGACCCGCCAUACACCUACAGUAUAUAAGGCGUCUACAAGAAAGCAAAUCGAUAGGAGCAAAAAAAAAUAUAAAAGAAUCCUAUCCUGAUAUCAGAGCAUGUAUAAGUCAAUAAGACUAUAUACAAAAGAACAGGAGUAACCAAUCCAAAAAUAUAAGUACAAAUGAAGGUACCAAAACUAUAACAUCUGGAUCCAAUACUCAUAUACAACACAGGGUACACAAAACAUCUGUACAAUGAUAGUCUAUAUACACUGGACGUCACUCUCGGCCGUAACCCGAGUAGCAAGGUGAUCGACUAGCAAGCUCCUAGCAAUGUUUAGCUAGACGCGACUCCCUUGCCACGAUCCCUAGCCUCUCCUAUAGAUGGCUCUGUAAAAACAACCAUAAAAGGGCGUGAGAACUAUUAACAAUAGUUUCCAGUGGGUAAGCCGCCAGCCUCGGCGAAUUACACCACUAGGCUCAUGAUGUACUAAAUGUAAGUAAAAGCGGUAAUUGCAUGGUAUAUAUAUGCAAUGCUAACAGGUAAUGAGCAAGUAAUCAACAUGUAAUUCCUGCAGUAAUGAAUCAACAGAGUAAUAGAAGCAUAGCAACUACUAUAAACAUGAACAUAAACAUGGAUGUGUAAGUAAAUACUGUACACUAUAACCGAUAAUCAUUCAUUACUGUCAUUGCCAUUUAGUACUUUCAUUUCAUUCAUAAGGACCUGCUCAAGGUAGUCCAGCUUGCGCCGCGCCUAAUGGCCCCGUGAUAGUAUACAUUCCCCACAGCAAUCCACUUCGGCACCCAAUCCCGCACGGGCGAGCAACUAUCGCGUAGGCCAACUACGGAGUGCCGGCUUGUAGGGAGCUACCCUCACAAGCGUGUGCGAAUGCACACAAUGGCAAGCAAGCAAAGUCCAUAAUCCAAUACAUCUCAAUCAUCAUGUUUUAUCUUGCACUGUUCUCACUCUCAAUCCUUUGAUCGGAAUUUUAUUGAACAUAGCUAGUAUCCAUUAGAUUAAUAAUCAUGUAUUUUACAUAUAGCAUUGGAAACUUUCCACUAUCAUAGCACUAUGGUUAUAGUCACAAAGCAUGUCAUUGUUCUCUACUUUAUAAUCAAUAAAGUCAUGAGAUUGUUAUUGUUCUCUACUUUAAGAGCAUACUAGAUUGUCCAUGAAUCAUUCAACUAAGUCAAACAUAAACAUGUUUACUUCUAUGUAUGAAUUUCUCUACUUAAGAGAGAUUUCAAUUCACUACACAGACAUAUAGCAACUAUGAUGGUGAUAAUGUCCUGAAUCUAUGUCGAUUCACAAGUUACGCAAAAUGCAUUCAUAUGCUAUUUCUAUAGUAUCAUAUAGAACAUAGGGGAGCUUCACUUGCUCUGGUUAGGUCAAACCCACCUAUUAUUAGGCUCAAAUCAGCCCAAAUGAGUCCCAAAAUUAAGCUCACUAGGCCUCGACCCUGCUGAAAAAGAAACAUAAGAAUCGCGUCACCACAAGUACUAAAAGUCCAAUUUCGGCGAGAUACUCAAUUGUACUAAAUUACAACUUAAAUUCCUGUUUUGGGUCACGUUAGAUACCUCAAGUUAAGCCUCCAAAAGCUCUCACCAAUCAGCUGAACACGAUCCAAGGGUCGAUCGCAACCCUGCUGCGAGCAAACAUUAAACGGCAUCACCACGCUCGUAUACUAGUUCCUAUAGCCGAAACCAUGCGAAUUCAGUUUUCUAACUGAAAUUUCAACUUACCUCUGAUUGGAACACCCUGUAAACAAGUUUCCCAGGUCACCAAUUUAGUUCAACUUGGUUCAAAACCCUGCUGCAAAGACACCAGUUCCAAACUGCAUCAAUAACUCAAUUAACUUCGUAUAGUUCCGAAUUAGCUUCAUAAAUAAUCAAUUAUCUUAGUCCAGCUUUAAAGCAACUUUUACUGAGCUAGAGUGGUUAAUUCACAGUCAAAAUAACUCCUCUUUACUGCUGAGAACAUUCUCGAAUUCAGUUGGAAGCAGUGAAACUAAAACGCAUCAAAUUCCAAUGCUAAAUCACAAACUAGAGAGAAAAUUAAGCUAAUUCCUUUUCGAAAGCUGAGAUUCAGCUUCUCUGGUACUAACCUCAAAGAAAACUCAGAGAAAAGUCCUCCUCCCCACAUGUUGAAAGCGUCCCUUGAGUACUAAAAUAGCGAGCGUCGGCCGGAGCGCGAAAUCGACUCAAAUCGGCCACUUUUCCGUAGAGAGAGAAAAACCCUAUAGAGAGAGAGAGAGAAGGUAAAAGAAACCUGUCUCUGAGCUCUAGCAUACUCUAGCAAGCUCCAGGAGUCGUGCUGGGAUCAAAUAGAUAUGAACAAGAUGUGAAAUGACCAAAAGAACCUUGCUGCCACGUUUCUGCCAUUGUGUACCGGUACACAAUGAUGGCUGUAUCGGUACACAAUGCAGAAAAUUCUGAUUUUCGCCAGAGCAAUGCACUUUCUUACUCUAAGCCUUCCAAUCAUUCUCUAACUUGUCCAAAAACUUGUCCAAGCCUUUUAGAAAUGUAGGAUAGAUCCACAUAUCAUUCCUCAAACUCAAACUUUGCAAUUUGCAAAUGUUCAGUGUAUUACAGAAACAGAGUGGAGACUCUCAUUUGUUGAGGAUUCGAGAGCAGAUAGAGAGGAGACUUUGUUAUGGAUAGCUCGGGAGUACUGCGGUACAGGGACCGACUGUGUAUGCCUAUAGAUUUAGAGAUCCGAGAGAAGAUGUUGAGAGAGGCUCAUCACUCGCCUUAUAUGGUUCACCCUGGUGGAAUCAAGAUGUAUAAGGAGUUGAAGACACACUUCUGGUGGAACGGAAGGAAGAGGGACAUUGGCAGGUGCGUGGCUCAGUGUCUGACUUGCCAACAAUGAAAGCAUAGCAUUGUGUAAUUGCUGGCAAGCUUCAGAAUUUUCCAGUGCCUGAGUGGAAAUGGGUCAGAUCGUCAUGCAUUUCGUCGUGUGUUUACUGAGAGCACAUGGUGGAUUUGAUGCCAGUUGGGUGAUAGUGGACAGACUGACCAAGUCUGCUCACUUCCUACCUGUGCAAACCACUUGGUCCAGGGAGCGAUUCGCUCAGUUAUUUAUGGAUGAGGUAGUAAGGUUACAUGGAGUACCUACCUCGAUUGUAUCAGAUAGAGACAUGAGGUUCGUCUCGCAUUUCUGGAGAAGUCUUCAGACGGCUUUGAGUACAGCAUUUUCACCCACAGACGGAUGGUUAGUCGGAGCAGACCAUUCAGACUCUUGAGGACACGUUCAGAGCUUGUGUCUUGAAUUUUGGGAGGUGGGUGACAUCGACACUUGGGACUGGUUGAGUUGCGUACAACAGCAGCUAUCAAGCAAGUAUUCAGCUGGUUCUGUUUGAAGUGUUGUAUGAACGCAAGUGUCGAUUACCGUUGCAUUGGAUUGAGGUGGGUGAGAGGAAGACUUUGGGGCCUGAGAUUCUGUUGGAGGUAGAAGAAAAGGUCAGAAUUGUGCGACGACACCUUGAGACCGCCUAUAGUCGACAGAGGAGCUACAUUAAUACUAGGAGACAGGAUUUGGAGUUUCAGAUUAGUGAUCAUGUUUUUCUGAAAGUCUAGUCAUCCUGAAGGUUCACAGCUUUGGAGUUCGUGGGAGGCUCAGUCCAUGAAUUGUUGGCCCUUUUGAGGUUUUGGAGCGAGUCGGGCCAGUGGCAUACAGGAUUGCACUUCCACCGUGACUUGCCGGUAUCUUUGAUGUUUUCUUGUCUCGGCGUUGAGAAGAUGUGCAUUUGACCCCUCACACGUGAUUGACCUUUUCUUCACUUGAGGUAGGAGAGGACCUGAGGUACGAAGAGUGACUGGUGCGGGUUCUUGCUCGCGAGGCGAAAGAAUUGCGCAAUCGGGUUAUACCAUACGUGAAAGUGCAUUGGAGUAUUCACGAGGAGCGUAAGGCGAUUUGGGAGCCGGAGACAUUGAUGGUAGAGUCCUACCCCUGCUAUUUUGAGAUACCUAGUUUAAGUAUGCUUCUAAAUUUCGAGGACGAAACUUUUUGUACUAGUGGAUGAUGUAAUGUCCCGAGUGCUCAGCUGUCUGUGUGAUUUCAGCAUCUGAGGCUUAUCGACACGUCUGGAGAGUGACAGGAUAAGUCGAAGUCGAUUUGGCACGAAAUGGACGCAAAACGGACUCAACGCGAUGCGAGAGUGGAGUUCGGACACUGAAAUUUGCAAAGUGCAAGAUUUCAGUGUUGAUUACUGGUACCUGGGAGGAGUACCGGUACUCCUGUGAUUGCAGAACUGGAUUGCUCUCGGGUUUCCGUAUAUGUGAUGCUGAGUAACGGUACCCGCUUGUCGAGUAUCGGUACCAAGCCCGAGUACCGGUACUGCAUCGGGCGAGUACCGGUACCUAGUGCGCGCAACAGCAGAUUGAGGGGCCGAGUACCGGUAACCAAGUUGGGUACCGGUACUCUAGCUAGAAAAGGGAGUAGGUAAGGGGCUUUUCGUCUUUUGUUGCUGAUAAAACCAAACCAAACCCCCAGCCUUCACUGCUUAUGCCCGAGGCUGAUAGAAACACAGGUUGGUUCCCUCUUUCUCUCUCGAGCUCCUUUCCUUCAUUUCCUUACGAAUUUUAGAGAUCCGAUCUUAGUUUUUGUUCGCUUGCUUUUUGAGGAUUGUGCGCGCGUGCCGUGGUUGAGUCCGGGGAGGCCGUUGCAGGUCGAGCGAGCGUGCGGGUUUCUCCGGUCGACUUCUUGCCGACUUUCGACGAGCGUUCGAGGUGGGUUUAUGUUUACUGAAAUCGUCGGAUUUCCUUCUAAGUCCUUAAAUCGUUAGCAUGUAUUAUUGGUUCUAUUCAUCAUGUUAGGACUCAAAUUCGUGGAUUUGUAAGCAUUGUGAUCAUCCGAAUUUUUGAGCAUUUAUUUAGAUGAAAUUUAUACAUGUUGAACUAGGAUUUGACUUAGGAGAAAACUCGUUUAACCUACAAUGUUAUUUUUCUGAAAAGUCACCAGAUUGAGCUUCAGGAGUUAUUGUACUUGUGUAUCCUCGCUGUUAGUGCGUAUUAGAUACCCAGCUUAGAGUAGACUGACUUUACGCGUGCUGAGGGACCGAGCUUGUUGUACAGUAGCGUUUGGACUGUCAGGUGCCGUCGGGCUUGACGGUGGACCCAGAAUCCUGUAUCACUGCUGUUAGUGCGAGGUGCAUACUCGAAGGAGUGUAGCUUGAGUUUACGCUCACGCUGAGGAGCCGAGUGUAUUGUUACAGUAGAGUUACACUAUGUUGGACCGUUGGGUGCCGUCAGGGUUGACGGUGGACCUAGAUUUCUGCAUUUUGCAUCAGAUUGUGCCAAGGGCACGUGAGUUUUGGUGGAUAGAUCAGUUUGACCCAUUUAGAGUGAUUACAGCCUGUGAGAGCCUGAUUGAACUCGGCAGAGACACUUGUAAAUCUGGUUGGGUCGCGCCCACGAAUGCCAUUCCGGAAUGAAGUUUUCAGUGAGAUGAGGUCGCAGUUUCUGUUUGGACAGUUCUUGAGCUGGCCACCCCCGUGGGUGGUGUACGACGUAACUUGGAUGCAGGCAGAGUGGGUCCGUUUGGGCAGCCCUUGUGACGUUAGGUCAGUGGGUCAGUAACGCUGUGACUUGUAUAGAGUCACAGCAGUCCUAUUGGACCUUUCUACUUGGACAGCCAUUUCCGUGGGUGGGGUACGGUGUAGCUUAGGAAGACGGGAUGGGUGUAGCAUAAUCCCUAGUGAGAUCUGAGAGAUAUGAGGAGCCCUAGGAUCUUUUAUCUAGAUACUAUCAAACACCUAGAGAUAGGUGAAUAGGCCAAAAACUACAAAUCUCAAUGCGAUAAAAAAUAAAUACGGAAAACAAAAACCAGCACACCAAGAUUUACGUAGGAAAACUCCAACUAAGAGUAAAAGAACCCACGAGACCAACACGCGAUAACAAUCCACUAUGAAAUAAAAGAUUAUAAGGUGAUUUACCGAAUCCACGAACUCAAACCUCUCUUCUAUCUUCUUUGGAUCUCGCGCACACCAACGGGUUGUCCACACCCUCACGUUCGAAUCCACGAACGCCACGUCCCGAGUCCACGAAACGCCAACACUUCGAAUCCACGAAGCUUCAACACAUCGAAUCCACGACGCCCACUCAAAUCCUCGAGUGCACUCCGUCCGAAGCAAGAACAAUACGUUCGAUGAUGAUUUAUUGCUUAGAAUUUCAUUAAAGAUCUGUGGGAAAAAUUUCUAAGCAAUUCUCAAAUUGAUUCUAGAAGAACAUCAAGAAUUAGGGCACCAAGAAUCAAUUUGAGAGAAGCUUGUUGUAGAAGAUGAGGAAAACGGCUACCUACAAGCUUCUAGGGUUGUUCAUAAAUAUUCUAGGCUUAAUUAUAUUUUAGAGACACCCCCACAUCUUAUUUAUAGGUUUAGAAGAUAUAGAGAUAGACUAGGAUUUGAAAAACAUAUUUUUAAAAACAGACGACGGUCUCAGGGGUCCGGACCCUGGCUUUAAGGUCCGAACCCUGCGGGAGGUCCGGACCCUCUUUGCAUAUCAGAAAAUACAACGUACGGUCCGAACCCUAGCCCGACAGUCCGGACCCUCACUGCGUAUACGCACAGAGGACCUAUGGGGUCCGGACCUUGAUCCUAAGGUCCGGAUCCUGAAAGUUAGAAAACUCAGUUUUUGAUUUAUUUAAACCCAUUCUAAUGUCUUCCAAACACUUGUAAAUAUUUAUAAAUCAUCAUCAACAGUAUUUAAACUUACCGAGCAUUGUGGAUCUAUGUUAUGAGUCUUCUAGUCUUCGAUCUUUGUCUCUUCUUCUUUAAACCUUCAAGACUCCGACUUAUUUCACGAAAUAUGCCAACCUAAAAUCCGUAACAAGAUCUCGCCGCCGACAACCCUCGGGAUGGUGUGCGGUACAGCUUAGGUAGACGGGACGGGUGUAGCACAGUCCCUAGUUAGAUCUUGCCACCGGCAGCCCUCGGAGUGGUGGAUGGGGUAGCUUCGACGGGCGGGACGGGCGUAUUGCAGUCCCUAGUGAGAUUGAGUCAGAGUGAGGCAUCGUUCAUAUCUACAGAUACCCUAUGUUGGUUAGCGAUAGUAUAGUGGCAUGUAGCUGUAGAGUUUUUUCAGCUUUCCUUACUAUCCUUUGCACAUAUUUCUGUAGACUUAGUAGGUAGGUCGUUGAGGUCGGUGACGGUAUCCACUGAGAACUACUCUAUUUUGCAGUAGUUCUCACACGCAGUUGUUAACACCAUUUGCAGAGCCUUCGUCUACGGCUGCUGCUGUUGUUGAUUCCGACUGCGGAAAGAGAGUCGCGAGCUAGAUCUCUACCAGUUGUAUCGUCGUACUAGAGGAGUACCCUUCAUAGAUAGUUUUGAGGUAUUUUGGUUUAUGUACAUACCUUAUGUUUUGUAUACUCGCUGGAGCGAGGUGUAGUUAUGGAUGUUGUAUGUACAGUGAAUCCUUAGCUUUUAUAUAUAUAUGUUUUAAUUUAGCAGCUUUAUACUUCUCGUUAUAGCUAUGAUUUGAUUACAGGUACAGCUAUCGCUUCGUAUACACGAAAAAUUUUUAUGUAUACGGUGGAUCUGUUGGCGUGCUCGGGAAAUGUGGUAAUCCGGGGCGUGACAAGUACCCUGUGGUUUAAAGUGUAUCAAGUUAUAUAGCACUCUGUGGUUUCAUUUCUGUAUCAAGUUAGUACCCUGUGGUUUCAUAUUUUUAUUUUUAUUAUUUAUUUCGGGGAAUUUUUUUCGUUAAAUCAGUGACAAAUUUAAAACUAAAGGAUAAUAAAAUGAAUAUUCGAUAAACCUAGGUAGGGUAUUUGAAAUUUUUUGUAUAUAAUUUAAUGAAAUAUUAAACCACAGGGUACUAAAGUGAGAAAGUGCGAAACCACAUGUUACUAAAUUGAUACACUUUAAACCACAGGGUACUAACGCGAGAAAAUGCGAAACCACAGAGUACUAACUAGAUACACUUUAAACCACAAAGUGCGAAACCACGGGGAGGUAUUUGAAGUUUUUCCUAAAUUUUUUAAAAAAGUUUUAGCAUAAAUGGGACACUUAUACAAAAGUGUCCCAAAAAUAUGUUCCUAUAAUCUAAUUCUGUUGUAGUGAGUCAUUCUAUUUUAUAUCAAAUAAUAAGUGUAGUAUCCUUGGCUUGGAGUUGGUGAGGGUUAGUAUAGUAAUUUCCUUGGCUUUGAGUUCGUGAGGGUUAAUAUAGUAAUUUUGGGGUGGAUAAGAUUGCCACCUAACCUCCCUUAUCCUCAUCAACCUAAUUAGCUGAGACUUCUCUUUUGGUUUUCUCUCUAGGAUUGAGCCGUACAUGGUGGAGGCUUUAGAUGGAGCUCGGAUCGUCGCCGACGUCGCGCCGAGGAGCCGUUUGAUCGCGCAAGCGUCAUAGUCGCAUCAUUGGGAGGCCGGGCGAGCAUGUGAUUCCGCUUCUUUCGACGUCUUACUGUCGUGGAGUCGCGGUUGAGGCGGGUUAAUGUUAUGCUUACCGGAUUCUGCGGAUUUCCUCCUAAUUCUAUAUGUUGACAGCAUGUAUAUUUGGGCUUGGUUUAGCAAGUUUAGUAGCUCAAUUCGUAGAUUUGUAAGGUUUUUAAAUCUGAAUUGGAGCCUAGAAUAUUAGCUAAAUUAUACAUGUUGGACUUGGAAUUGACUUAGGAGAAAACUGCCGAUUCUACACUGUCAUAUUCUGAAACUAAAAAAUUUAGCUCUAGGAGCCGUAGUUUAUUUGUAUCGCCGUAGUUUGUGAGCGGUGGAUACCCAGAAUAGUGUAGAAUAAUGUUACGCUCAUGCUGGGAUGCCGAGAUUAUUUUUACAGUAGUGUUCAGACUGUUCCAGACUGUCGGGUGCUGUUGUGGUUAAUGGUGGACCCGGUUUGCUGUUUUAGCUCUGGAUUGCGUCGAGGGCAUAUGAUUUAUGGUUGUUAGACCAGUUUGACCCAUUUGCAUCAGUCACAGCCUGUGAGAGUCCGAUUGAGCUCGACAGAGACACGCUGCAUACUCGGUUGGAUAGCGCCCACGAGUGCCACUCCGGAGUCGGGCUUAGUGUUUUUGCGUUGAUGUCAAUUUGUCCUGGUUGGACUUGCUCUCCACUGACGACCUAGUUUGGUGGUAGUUAGUGUAGCUUCGACAGGUGGGACGGAUGUGUUCACAGUCCCUAGUGAGAUUGGGUCAGGUUUUGUAUUUUUUUUCUACAGACAGAUAGUGUUGGAUCACGAUAGUAUAGUAGCAUAUAGCUGUAGAUUUGUUCCAACUUUCCUUACUAUCUCUGCUUACAUCUGUAGACUUAGUGGGUGAGCCGUUGACGUCGGUAGCUGUACCCACUGAUGACUACUUCUUUUUACAGUAGUUCUCACACCCAAUUGUUAAAACCUUUUGCAGAGCCUUCUUCUUCGGCUGCUGCUGCUGAUUCGAAUCUUGGAAAAGGCACUGCGAUCUAGACCCUCUCCAUUUGCUGCAAACUAGAGAUUAACCAGCGACAGGUAGUUGUAGUUUUUGGGUUCUUAUACAUACGGAUGUUGUUUCUCGCUGGAGCGAGUUUUUUGUAUACGAGGAUAUGAUGUAUGUAUAGUUGACCUCUGUUAUUACAUAUGUUUUCUCUUUUAGCAGCUCUAUACUACUAGUUGUAGUGUUGUAUAAUUACAGGUAUAGGUACAGCUAUCACUUCGUAUACAUGAAAAAUUUCUUUGUAUACGGCGGAUUUGUCGGCGUGCCCGGGGAAACGAGUAAUCCAGGACAUGACAAUAAGAUUCCAAAAUAGAAUGUGAAACCUGAUUAAGUUGAAUACGGACACUUAGUCAAUAUUUCUAAUUACUAUUAUUGAAUAUAGAUAUUCAAAAUACUAGUUUUAGUAGCAGAAGCGAUUGAAGAUAAACAAUUAUUUCACAUUAUCUAGAGUAAACUUCAAUUUGCUUCAUUGUGGUAUAAUGUAUUUUCACUUUGUUAUCCUGUGAUUUAUAAAGUUGCACUUAACUGCUCUGUAAUUUUAUUUUUAUUUCAAUGAAAGAACCUAUCGUGAAAUAGGAUUGUAAAAUGAUUUUUUUUAAAAAAUAAAACAAUACAGUGGUAUUCUGUUUCAUAAUAGAUCUUUAUAGUAGUGGAACAAAAAUAACAUAUCGAAACAAAGAUUCUGAGUUUGAAUACCAGCAAACUUCCAAUUUUAUAUAACUUACUUUUAUUUAAUUUGAAUUCACGCUUUGAGUCCAAAAUAUUAAAAACACUAUUCUCAUAAUCAAACUCUAGACCUCAGGCUUGCUUUCUAUUUUUCGCCCCCUCAUAGACUUCUUGAUUUGAAAAAAAUUUAAUACAAUAUUUGAACCCACUAACACAAUAUCAUCAUCCUCUAUAGAAAAAAUCUUUAGUGGCAUCAUUUUAUAUUGGCUAAAAUAUAAAAAAACCCUUGCAAAUAUCAAUUUUUCUACGUUUCUUCUUAUUGUUUAAGAAUCUCUAUUUUAACCUCUUAAAAUUCAAAAUUGUAACACUUAAUUCAACACUGUUAAAAUUUUAUCAAUAUACAAUGCAUAAAUUAUGUGGUACAGUUGUAUAAUUACUAAUAUACUUAUUUAAUCCUUACAAAUGAUGAAAAAAAAGAGUUAGUUAGUAAGUAGAUAUUUUCACGAAGUUAGUUUAUUUGAGAGAACAUGUAAGAUAUUUAUGUAUUCCUACCGUUUUUUAAGAAUAUAAUGAGUAUGUUAAUAGAUUUCUUCCUAAAAUUUUAUUUAUGCACGAAAUUGUAACUAAAUUAUAACAAUGUUGAAUUAAACACUACUAUAAAUUUUAGGGGCGAAAAAUAGCAUUUUGUAGAAGACAAGGUGUGAAGUGGAAUAGUGUAUAUUUUUAGAAAGUUUUUCUGUAUUUUUGCCAAUUUAAAAUUUAAAUUUAAAUUUAAAUUGGUUAGAGGCUAACUUAAAGUUGUUAUUUGUUUUCUUUCCUUUGUGUUGUGAUCGGCGGCCGACGACAUGAUGCUUUGGAAGGAGAAUAAAUACACUUAUUGCUUUCGCCGAAUUGGGCAAGUACGAGUAUAUUGGUUAGGUAACUAACGUGGCAAUGGCACCUCGACCUCGUGGACGACCGCGAACAAGGUCGAUGGCCGAGGAGCCGAGUGCGGCUCCCGUGUAGCUCGGAGCGGGAGGCGACGGGGAGCUUCGGGAGCAGUUGGCCGCACUCAUUGGCGUGGUGCGGCAACAGGCGGAGUUGGUCCAGCGCCAAGGGGAGCAAAUCCAAAGGCUCCAAGAGGCGUUGGAGCGGCAGCAGACGACGGCGGCUCAGGCAGGGGUCGAACCCCCUGCGCCCCCCCGUUGUGGUGCCGAUGGUGGCUGAGGGAGUAGCGGCGGCGGCGACGCCGGUCGCGGCCGUACCAGUGACGGCGAUACCGGCCAGAUCGGGAAUCUCAAAUCCCGAUAGUGCGACGGUGGAGGCGGAGCGGGAGCGCGCGUUAGAGGCUCUCGUUUUGUUCAAGAAGUUCAACCCACCUAUCUUCGACAGGGAGAAGAUAAAUCCGGCGGUAGUCGAGGCGUGGGUCGACUCGAUGGAGAUGCUCUUCGAGGACAUCUAUUCCUUGGAGAAAGACAAAGUACCUCUCGCCACACACUACCUCGAGAAAGCGGCCAAAGUGUGGUGGAAGCGGGUGAAGCGGGAUCGAUCUUCUGACCUCCCGCCUAUGCUUUGGGAGGAGUUUAAGAGGGCGCUGUUCGCCAAUUACUUUCCUGACACGGAGAAGCGGAAGUUGCAAGAAAAAUUCAGCAAGUAGAAGCAGGGCGACCGAUCGGUGGGGGAGUACGAGCAGGAGUUCUCCCACAUUAUCGACUACGUCCCGGAUAUAGUUCGUGAUGAUCGGGACCGGGCCGAUUGGUUCGUGCAUGGGCUUCGGCCGGAGAUUCAUCGGGCCGUGCAAAUCCUCAAGCUUCCGACCUUCGCCGAGGCCUUUGAUCGAGCACUAUGGGAGGAGCAGGGCUAUGCCCACGAGCGUGAGGAACGCGAAGCCGCUGCUGAGGCAAAGGAUAUGAGCAAGAAGCAAGCGGCGGGUGGCACCGGGGGCCGGCCAAGUGCAAAGAAACCCCCUCGGUAUUCCCGACAGCAGUCGAGGGGUGGGAGACCCUCCCGUUGCGUUAUUUGCGGCGGUAACCAUCAACAGCCGGCAUGCCCGCAGCGCGAAGGAAAGUGCUUCACGUGCGGCUAGGCGGGGCACAUGAUUCGGGAGUGCCCGAGCUGGGGUUCAUCUGCACCGACCUCGGCAUCAGUUCCAUAUACCCCAAGACAGCAGGCCGGGUUACCACCGGCUAUGUCGGCUGGACGUUCGCCCUCAUCGCGUCAGCCGGAGGCAUCGAGGGCACCGAGUGGGCGGAUUUUUGCCACUCAGGUGUAGGAGGAGCCGAUUCCUGUUCCCGACGACAUCGUGGCAGGUAUUAUCUCGAUCAGAGGCACCAGAGCUAGAGCUUUAUUCGACACAGGCGCAUCGCAUUCAUUCAUAGAUGCAUCAUUCGCUAGGACUCAUGGCAUUAAGAUCGUGCACCGUUAUGACUAUUGGACGGUAAAUUCGGUCAAGCAUACUUUUCAUGUUCACGAAGAAUGUGUAGCGUGCCAAGUGCAGAUAGGUGACUAGGUCAUGCCGAUUGAUCUGUUGGUGUUAAACCGAAUGUGGGGUUUCUAUCAAUGCCUCAAUGCACUAAUGCCAAAUGCAUAAAGUCUACAACAUGACAAUUGGGAAAAUCUACUAUCCCUAGGUUCAAAUGCCAUAGUGUUCUACUACACUAGAUUUGAUGCCACUCAUUUAUGUCAUGAUAUUAUAUGCGUCUCAAUACACUAAAUUGACAUGCCACUCGUUUUUGUUAUAGUGUCUCUAUUACACUAAUCCAAAUGCCACUCAUCUAGGCCAAUUAUAUGUCCAAGUUCAUCAUCAUUCUUGUCACUAUAGGAUUCUUGUCACUAGACCCAAUCCUCAUGUCACCUAAGAUUAAGUGUCAAGCCCACGAUGCUACACAACAUAGGAAACAUGCAAGGAAUGGAAACAUAAUCAUCUACUAAUCCUCUAAUGCACAAUGUACAAAUAUAUAAGAAUAUGGUCAAAAUAUAACUUAGACAUAAAAGAAAGCCCGGAUGUUUCGGGACGACACCCCCCACCUUUUAUCGCGUUCCGAUUGCUUGUCGACACUUGCAAUCGGCCUCCCGCGGCACCCGUGAUCCGGUUCGGGCCAAACUCUUGCGCGACCACCCGAACGGUCACCAAUUCGCGAUCCGUCUAUUCUGGAGUUUAUUCCUCGAUACCACGAUGCUACGAUUCCAUUUUCACGAUUUUUGGAAGCUUACGCCGCGAGCUGCGACAAUCUGUACCUUAACGGCUUCGAUCCUCAAUAUCUCCCACGUAUUAUGCCGUGAUAGAUUCCGAAAGUAAGGUGAUCACGUUUCGUGAGCCUAAUCGAGAGGAGCUAGUGUAUCAGGCAGCUAAAAGCUCGCUUUUCGCGGUGACCGUGUCGGCGGCACGAGCGAGGAAAAUGAUAAAAGGUGGUUGUGUGGCCUACUUAGCAACAAUGGUGGAAGCCCAAAAAGAGCACCCGGAUUUGGGAGGCAUUCGGGUGGUGUGCGAAUUUUCGGAUGUAUUUCCGGCUGAGUUACCGGGAUUGCCACCGGACCGGGAGAUCGAGUUUGUUAUUGACUUGGUCUCGGGGGCGGCGCCAAUCUCAAAGGCCCCGUAUAGAAUGGCACCAGUGGAGCUAAAAGAACUUAAGGCACAAUUGCAAGACUUGCUCGACAAAGGAUUUGUGAGGCCGAGUAUGUCACCCUGGGGAGCUCCGGUGCUAUUCGUUAAGAAGAAGGACGGCACACUUCGACUCUGCGUGGAUUACCGCGAGUUGAACAAGGUCACAGUGAAGAAUAAGUACCCGUUGCCGCGGUGUGACGCCCCGACUUCCCAGGAGGUCACCCAUCCUAGGACUACUCCCGUCCUAGCACGCUUAACUCUCUUAACCUCUUGGGCCUAGCCACCACCCAAAAUGCUUAAGUCGGGUUAAGUGUUUAGCCCUAUUAUAUCUUAUAUAUAGGACUACCCGGGGUCUCACACGCGGAUUGAUGACUUAUUUGACCAGUUGCAGGGGUCAAAGGUAUAUUCAAAGAUUGACCUUCAAUCGGGGUAUCAUCAGUUGAAGAUACGGCCCGAGGAUGUGCACAAGACGGCGUAUCGUACGCGGUAUGGCCAUUAUGAGUUCACGGUGAUGCCGUUUGGGCUUACUAAUGCCCCGGCAGCGUUCAUGGACUUGAUGAAUAGAGUCUUCCUUCCGCUAUUGGACCGGUGCGUCAUGGUAUUCAUUGACAACGUAUUGGUGUAUUCUCUGACCGAGAAAGAACACGAGGAGCACUUGAGGACCGUGUUGGAAAUACUCCAAAAAAAGAAGUUAUAUGCCAAGUUGAAGAAAUACGACUUUUGGCUAUCGGAGGUCACUUUCCUUGGUCAUGUAAUUUCGGGCGAUGGUAUCUCGGUGGAUCCGAGGAAGUUGGAGGCAAUUAAGGAUUGGCCUCGCCCGACGAGUGUAUCGGAGGUCCGCUGUUUCCUUGGGUUAGCGGGCUACUACCGGCGGUUCGUGGAGGGGUUUGCUAAAAUAACUACUCCACUGACGCGCCUUAUACACAAAGGGGUGAAGUAUGUUUGGAGCCCCGAAUGUGAGCGGAGCUUCGAGGAGUUAAAGAAAAGGUUGACCACGACCCCGGCGCUUGCUCUACCCACGCCGGGGGAGACCUUUGUGGUAUAUAGUGAUACUUCCUACGUAGGACUCGGGUGUGUCUUGAUGCAAAAUGGGCGGGUUAUAGCUUAUGCUUCACGCCAAUUGAAGAAUUAUGAGGAGAACUACCCAAUUCAUGAUCUUGAGCUAGCGGCGGUUAUUUUCGCGCUAAAGCUAUGGAGGCAUUACUUAUACGGGGAGCAUUGUGAGAUCUAUACGGAUCACAAAAGCCUUAAGUACCUGUUCACCCAAAAGGAGCUAAAUAUGCGACAGCGGCGAUGGUUAGAAUUGUUGAAAGACUAUGAUGUUACUAUUCUAUACUACCCCGGGAAAGCAAAUGUCGUGGCCGAUGCACUUAGUAGAAAAUCGGAGGAAAAUUUGGCUUCGGCAAUUACACCCCAACUAUUAUUGCAAAAAGAGAUGCAACGGCUUGGUUUGGAAGUAGUAGCACCGAGUGCCGGCGACACUUGCGGCGUUGGUUGUUCAACCGACUUUAUUGGAGAGGAUUAAAGAGUUGCAAGCUUCAGAUGAAUAUCUCCAAAGCGUGCGCGGGGAAGUAGAGAAUGGUAGUGCCGAUGACUUUGGCAUUGGGACCGACGGCGCACUCCGGUUUAGAAACCGUUGGUGUGUGCCUAAGAAUAAGGACAUCCGCAGGGUGAUCAUGCAAGAAGCACACCAAUCCCCUUAUAGUAUACACCCGGGCGGCACCAAAAUGUAUCAAAAUUUGAAGUUGCACUAUUGGUGGCCGGGCAUGAAGAAAGACAUUGGGGAGUUUGUUGCGCAAUGCCUUACUUGUCAACAAGUAAAAGCGGAGCGGCGUUUUCCGGCAGGAAAAUUACAAAGCUUGCCUAUACCCGUUUGGAAAUGGGAGAACAUCGCUAUGGACUUUGUGACCGGAUUGCCACGAUCUCAAGGUGGGCAUGAUGCAAUUUGGGUUAUAGUGGACCGGUUGACGAAGUCGGCGCAUUUCCUACCAUUCAUAUUAUAUGGUCGGGGGAUAAGUUGGCUCAAGUAUAUAUCGACGAGGUUGUGAGACUUCAUGGGGUGCCCGGAUCUAUCGUGUCGGAUCGGGACCCGAGGUUCACUUCUCACUUUUGGAGGAGCCUACAGGAGGCUUUGGGCACGCGGCUCGACUUUAGCACGGCAUUUCAUCCUCAAAAUGAUGGUCAAUCGGAGAGGACAAUACAAAUACUUGAGGAUAUGCUUCGAGCGUGUGUACUGGAUUAUAAGGGCAAUUGGCAUGAUCACCUACCAAUGGCGGAGUUCACUUACAAUAACAGUUAUCAAGAAAGUAUCGCGAUGGCUCCAUUCGAGGUCCUUUAUGGGAAGAAAUGUCGCUCCCCAAUUCAUUGGAGCGAUGUGGGCGAGAGAGCGGCUCUUGGCCCCGAUGUAGUGCGGGAGGUGGAGGAGAAGGUUCGUCUUGCUCGCCAACGACUUGCCACGGCGCAAUCGCGGCAAAAGAGUUAUGCUGACAAGCAGAGGAAAGAUAUAGAGUUUGCCGUUGGAGACCACGUGUUUCUAAAGAUUUCGCCGAUGCGAGGGAUUAAACGGUUCGGUAUCCGUGGGAAGCUAAGUCCCCGGUACCUUGGACCAUUUGAGAUACUAGAGCGGAUUGGCGCGGUGGCGUACAAAAUAGCAUUACCACCGAGGCUUGCGGGAGUACACGACGUGUUCCAUGUACCGAACCUCCGCAAGUAUGUUCAUGACCCCGAGCAUGUUCUCUCGUUUGAACCGUCCGAGAUUCAAGAGGACAUGACCUAUGAGGAGUUCCUGGCAUACAUCAUCGAUCGAGAAGUAAGAAAACUACGAAAUCGCGAGAUUCCGUAUGUUAAAAUUUGUUGGUGCAAUCACGACGACCGGGAAGCUACUUGGAAGCUCGAGAGCGCAAUGCGGGAGCAUUACCCUCAUCUCUUCGACGAGCUGAACUAAGGUACAAGUCGAGUUCGGGCUUAAAUUAAGCUAGUUUCGCGAAUGAAACUAAAUUUAAGGGGUGGAGAAUAUAACAUAUCGAAAUCCGAAAACGAUAAUCGAACUUUAAUCAAUUAGUUAAAGUGCCGAGAGAUAUGGCUUGGUGAGUUCCAUUUUGCAUUCCAACGAGUUUGGAAGGGCAAACAUGAGCUAAGGAAGUGUUGGAAUGGGUUUGGUAUCGAACGACACGAAGUAGAGUCGAGUCGAAACCAAAACAGCAAUCUAGAGCAUUGUGUACCGGUACACCAUGGUGGUUGUACCGGUACAGCAAGCGACCCGAGCCCAGGCUGCUCUCGGGUUUGAGUCUGUGCGAAGGUGUACCGGUACGGGACCCCGUGUACCGGUACACAAGCUGCGAAACCGAGAGACCUUGCUCUCGGGUUUGGACUUCUGCGCAAGGCCGUACCGGUACAGAAGCCCGUGUACCGGUACGCAGAGCCUCUGGCAGCAGGGAUACGUCUGCUGCAGAAUAGAAAGUUGAAGGGCCUAAAUGCAAUUGUCACAAUAUGUUAUUUGACCCUAGCCCUCUCCUCACAGCAGCACACACCCCUCCUCUCUUUCCCUCUCAUUUUGCCCUCUUUCUCUCUCUAGAAAGCUUAGUCUAGGGCAAGGAGAAAGUGGAGAUGAAGUUUGGAGAAGAGAUUUCGGUGGGUUUGAAGGCUUUGGUGGCUCUCCAACAAGGUGGACCUUGGUAAGCUCGUGGCCAAGGUGAGUUUAUUACACAAGAGAGUCUAGGGUUUGGUUUUAAACCUUGGGAUUUAGAGUUUUGAUCUUCUAAUUAACCUAGAAAUCCUCUAAAGACCGUGACUCCAUGAAAAACAUGGUUUUCUUGGACCCCUCUCAUGGUGGAUCACUAUGGCUCAAAGUAGAUGCCGUAGGGAUGGUUCUAAAAGCUUAGAGACCUUAUUAGAGAGCUUCCCAAGUAAAUCUAAGGUAUCUUUUGCUUAGGAAUGAGAUCAAUCUCGGAGAAAUGCAAAAAUGACAUGUUAGGGCAUCCCAAAGAGGGGUUUUGCCCAAGUUGGGUUUUGAUCUAUUUUGAUCAUGUAGAAACCUAAUUGAGGGUAUUUUAAAUGCGUUGGAAUGCUCGGUUCGGCAACCCGACGAGUGUACGCAAAGUUAUUGAUAAGAACGUCAUUUUCCGUACAGAUAGCCGCAGCACGCGGACUAGGGCUUCAAAAAUUCUAAGAAAUUCACCGUAGCAUCCUCGUAACCAAUUAAGGUGGGUGAUGCAUUCCAAGAACAUCGGAAAUCUCUUUAUAUCUAAGUGUCAUAUUUUGAGCAUAUGUGUAUUUUUGGGCAUCUUGCAUAAUAGAGUUAAUUGUGAGCUUUUAUAGCCUAAUGUAAAUUCAAAUACAUGUUAAAUGUUUGUAAGAAUGUGAGAAUGAUGAUCCCUAUAUAUGCAUGAUUGUGACAAGAACCUAGAAGGGUUAGUAAACGAAAAGUGACACUUUGACCUAGAUUUAGCAAGUGACAUUGACGAGUCUAGAACCCUUAGUAAACAAGUGUGGCAUUUGGCAUGAGGUCAAGAAUAUAGCACUUAGAGAACAAGUGUGGCAUGAGUACAAGAACUUGAUAGUGUAAAUGACACAAGUGAUAGUGAAGAAUGAUUGAGAUAAUAGGACACUUCAACCUUAGUGUACGGGUCAUUUGAGCAUGGUUUUUCCUUAAAGUCAAGGAAUGGAUUGAAUUUGAAUCCUCGAAUGUAGGAUUGAUCGUACUCACUUUUAGUCCUUACUCGAGGUUGUGAUAGCUCCCCCUCGGGCGAUGUGCUCUGGAGUCGACAUCACUGGGUUGUAGCGAGUAUCUCCCCAGAGGACGGUCCCAUCGGGUUGUAGCGAGUAUCUCCCCGAUUAUUGGAAUUUUGAGUUGGUGAGUUUAUUGAGGGCGAAACCUACGGGUUAGCCAAGAGAUUGGGUAUUGGCACUAUGACCUUACAUUCAUCAUGAGCAUUACAUUGUGCAUAUCAUUUUAUAUUGUUCAGGCAUAUUAGUUGCAUUUGCUAGUUGGUUACUUACUUUCCUUUAUUCUAAUAUGCCUGAUUAGACCUAGUGGGAUAGUCGGUGUGGUUGGUUGCCGAACCCACUGGGAACUUUGUUGUAGUUCUCACACCCCUAUUUCCACAGAGCCGGGACCCAGCGAGCCGGCGAACGAUCGCAGUAAGGGCAUCGCGUCCUAGGUAGAGACCGCCCGAGAUGUUUAUUUACUAUAGUUGCAUACCCCUUUUAUUAUAUCAUCUUUUGUACUUUGAUGAUUUAGUUGUUAAAGGAAAGAACAUGUAUGAUGUAAAAGAUCCUUAUAUUUAAAUGAAAGAAUGAAACUUUGAGAUCCUGUAAUGUAAAAGAAAAGAAAUGAUGUAAAGAUUGUAAUCCGUUCUUAAGUGUAGUUGUUUACUUUCACUCUUGGCUAUUGCUCGCCCUCGUGCAAGCCAUUAUGUAUGCUUCCGUUUUGUGCAAAAUUCAUACUCUAUUGAUACUUGUUGUUGAGCCUUGGGCGGACAGGGGAGGCUCUGUCCGUUUGGCGUCUGUUCGACGCACUCGAACCGGCCAAAAAGGAUCGGGCUCGGGGCAUGACAGCGGAGGCGGAAACAGUCCGUCUCGCCUCUUACCCUCAUACUCUCGCCCUUGCCCUUGCCCUCGUCCAUGCACCCCCCACCUUCCUCGCCUCUGACCCAGCCAAGGCCGCGCCGCGACUUUUUUUUUUUUGCUUUUUUCUUUUCCUUUCUUCUCCGACUCUUCUCCACAGUCUUCGACGACGACGCCUCUCUCGCCCUUCCCCGCCCUUCUCAUCUCUCCGUUUCCCUCAUUUUCUGCCGCCUCUGACGACGAUUUAUCUUCGCCGGCGCCGACGUCGACACCGUAGAGGUCACUGCGGCGCUACAGUCUCGGAGCGGGGGGUCCUUAGCGGCGUCGUAGCUGUUGGCAGAGAAGGUGACAAAAAAAACUUAUAGAAAAAACAGAAAAAAAAAAUAAAGAUAAAAAAUUAUAUAAAAAGAAGGAUGAAGAUGAAAUUGCAUCGUUAAUUACAAAAAAAAUUAUAAGUUGCACUAUUUAAGAUGUAAACUGCUGCUUUAAGAUAAAAAUUAUUCUAUUUGAACGAAAAUUACGCUCUUUGGGAGAUGUUUAUACUGUUUCUAUUCUUAUUGCACUCUUUCAGAUGUAAACUGUAAUUAUUAAGAUGAAAAUUACACUCUUUAAACGAAAGUUUCACUGUUUUCCUCUUGUUAUACUAUUUUUUAUCUUAAACUGCAUCGUUUCAAGUGAUAUUUUUACUAUUUCUUCUCUUGUUGCACUGUUUCUCCUCUUGUUGCACUAUUUCUCCUCUUGUUUACACAGAAAUGGUGCAACAAAAGGAGAAACAGUGCAACAAGAGGAGAAAGAGUAUAAAUAUCUUUUAAAAGGGUGCAGUUUCUCCUCUUAUUGCAUUGUUUCUCCUCUUGUUGCACUAUUUCUCCUAUUGUUUAUACAGAAAUGGUGCAACAAGAGGAGAAACAGUGCAACAAGAGAAGAAACAGUAGAUAUAUCUCUUAAAACAGUGCAGUUUCUGCUCUUGUUGCACCAUUUCUGGGUAAAGAGAAGAAACAGUAGAUAUAUCUCUUAAAACAGUGCAGUUUCUUCUCUUAUUGCACUAUUUUUUCUCUUGUUUACAUAGAAAUGGUGCAACAAGAGGAAAAACAGUAUAUAUAUCUCUUAAAAUAGUGCAGUUUCUCCUAUUGUUGCACUGUUUCUCCUCUUGUUGCACUAUUUCUUCUCUUGUUUACACAGAAAUGGUGCAACAAGUGGAGAAACAAUGCAACAAGAGGAGAAACAGUAUAAAUAUCUCUUAAAAUGGUGCAGUUUAAGAUAAAAAAUAGUAUAACAAGAGGAGAAAUGGUGCAACAAGAGGAGAAACAGUGCAACAAGAGGAGAAACAGUGCAACAAGAGAAGAAACAGUAGAUAUAUCUCUUAAAACAGUGCAGUUUCUCCUCUUGUUGCACUAUUUCUCCUCUACAAGAGAAGAAACAGUGCAACAAGAGAAGAAACAGUAGAUAUAUCUCUUAAAACAGUGCAGUUUCUCCUCUUGUUGCACUAUUUCUCCUCUUGUUUACACAGAAAUGGUGCAACAAGAGGAGAAACAGUGCAACAAGAGGAGAAACAGUAUAAAUAUCUCUUAAAAUGGUGCAGUUUAAGAUAAAAAAUAGUGUAACAAGAGGAGAAAUGGUGCAACAAGAGGAGAAACAGUAUAAAUAUCUCUUAAAAGGGUGCAGUUUAAGAUAAAAAAUAGUGUAACAAGAGGAGAAAUGGUGCAACAAGAGGAGAAACAGUGCAACUUUUGUUUAAAGAGUGUAACUUUUAUCUUAAUGGAUGCAGUUUACAUCUGAAAGAGUGCAAUAAGAAGAGAAACAGUGUAAAUAUCUCUCAAAGAGUGUAAUUUUCGUUUAAAGAGUGUAAUUUUCAUCUUAAAGCUGCAGUUUACAUAUUAAGUAGUGCAACUUAUAAUUUUUUUUGCAGUUAACGAUACAAUUUCAUGUUCAUCCUUCUUUUUAUAUAAUUUUUUAUCUUUAUUUUUUUUCUGCUUUUUCUAUAAUUUUUUUUUGUCACCCUCUCUGCCAACAGCCACGGUGCCGGCGACAACGCCGCUAAGGACCCCCGUUCCGAGCCUGUAGCACCGCAGUGACCUCCACAGUGUCGACGUCGGCGCCGGCGAAGAUGCAUCGUCGUCAGAGGUGGCAGAGAAUAAGGGAGAGGGAGAGAUGAGAAGGGCGGGGAAGGACGAGAAAGGCGUCGUCGUCGGAGACGGUAGAGAAGAGUCGGAAAAGAAAAGAAAAGAAAAAAGCAAAAAAUGAAAAAGUCGCGGGCGGACUUGGCGGGGUUGGAGGCGAGGAAGGUGGAGGGUGCGUGGAUGAGGGCAAGGGCGAGGGCGAGGGCGAGAGAAUGAGGGUGAGAGGCGAGACGGACCGUUUCCGCCUCCGCUCUGCCUCCGCUCUGCCGGCGAAAAAAAAAAAAAAAGAACGAGAGAAACGAAGAGGAGAGAGAAAGAGGAAAGAGAAAAAGUAAAAAGGAUAUUUUGGUCAGUUUGCUGAAAAAGCGGACCGAAUCUGCAAAAACAAAAAAGAUUCAUGGCCUGAUUUUGCAAAAGCCCAAAAUAAGUGGAUUUUUUAUGUAAAUUGGCCAAAGAAAAAGAAAAGUUUGGAUAAAAUAAAACUUUAGAGGGAAAAAUAGGCAAUUCAAAACUUCAUAUAAAUUGAUCAUCUUAUUACUCACCAACAUCACAGCUUUAACAUUCUCAUGUGUAAUGGGCACUUCCAAGUCCUUUUGCUCCCUCGCUUGCAGCAGCACAUCCAACAAGUCCUCCUCCUCAGUUUUUUGCGGCUUCUGCCGGCGGCCUCGAAUGGUGUCGUCAAAGAUCGCAUCCAACUCCCUGUGGACCUUUGUGAUCUCGCGCAUCGUGAUAACAUUGAGAAAUCGUAGUGAAGGAAACAAAUCCGAGGGACUGAAACCGGAGGCCAAUUCCCCGCAUUUCUUGGCAACCACCAGGAACCUGCUUUGGUGCUUGAAUAUCUUUCCGAAUGUUGCCCUUCAAAUUUUAGUUAUUAUAAGUACGAGAUAGGGACUAAUUAAAAGAAAUUUUUGUGUAUUUGUUGGCUACGAACAUGAAUUUCAAAUCUCGACCUGCGAGUUUGUAUAUAUAACUAAAUAUUGUGAACUAAUUAAUGCAUGUAAUUAUAUAUUGUUGUGUAAAAUGGCUAUAUUUCCACAACAUUUCACUUUUCUUUUACUUCAUUUUUAGUGUAGUUCUAAAAUAUAUAGUGAGGGAUGAGAUUGCAAUCAUAGAAAAACUUCGAAAUACCAAAAGCUUUUCGUAGUAUAUAUAUGGACUUGCAAAUAAAUUAUAUGCAAGCAACAUAUUUAUUACGUAAUAAUACCCGUGUACCCGCCAAGCUGCAGGAGCCGGUCGAAAUGGGGCGGGAAUUUGGAAACAUUUUUCUUACCAAGGGUUGUCAACGGGUAUUAUUUCAUCUUGGCAGCUAGAGGAAGCCUAUUAUAUAAUACUUACACGAUGCCAUCAAUAACUAAUCAAUAAUAUCUUUUCUUUAAGUAAAAGUAUAAUAAAAAUAUUUUCCUAAUAAAUUUAUAUCUAUACUUCUAUACUAUAUAUAUAUAAAAGCGUAUAGAAAUUCUAAUAAUGACAGACGGAAUUUAAAAAGAAACAGAAUAAUAUUCCCUAUAUUAUCUAUAAACUGAUAUGAUCAAUUUAUUAAAAAAGUCUCAAAUAAGAAUGAACGGUUAUGAUCAAUUUAUUAAAAAUAUAGAAAUGACAGACUAAAAAAAAUAAAAGAAUAUUCGCUACGAACGGUUAUGAUCAAUUUGUUAAAAAAAAAACUCAAAUAAGAACGAACAGUUAUGAUUAAUCUGUCAAAAAAAAAUAGUAAUAUCCAUCUAUAAAUUUAAUUCUACGAACGAUUAUAAUCAAUUUGUUAAAAAUAUUAAGAUCAAUUUGUUAAAAACUAACAUUCAUUUACAUCUAUUUUAUAUUAAAAUUUAAAUUUAAGUUUAAAUUGCGAAUGAAAUUUAGUUUUUUAUACCAAAUUUGACUUAAUAGUUUAAAAUUUUAGUUAUAUAACGGAUCAAAAUUAAAUUUUAAAUUUUAAAAUAAAUAUCAAUUAAAUUUUGAUGUUUUUAGUUUAAAACACAUACUCAAAUUUUAGAUCCAUCAUUAAUUAAAAAUAUAUAAAAAUAUUUAAUCUAUAUAAAAAAAAGAACAAUAUAAAAUAUUACAUAUAUUUUCUAAUAAAAUAUAACAUAUAAAUUUAUAAAUUAUAAUUUUUAUUACAAAUUCUAAAUUANGCGAAAUGGAAAAAGGGUGGGGGUUUCCCUUUCGCCACCCAUCUAAAAAAAAUUAUUAUCUUUACAUUUUAUUUUUAGUAGUUGAAAAGAAUUAAACCAAACAAAAAUAUCUUAUUGAAAUUAAGUAAAUCGAGCCGAAAUGACCAAAUUAUUUUUGGUUGAUUCAGUUCAUAUGAUUUUAAUUUGAUCCGAUUCGGUUAAAGAAAAAAAAAAGAAAUACCAGUCCAAUCAAACCAACUUAUGGUCAUCCUAGGAAUAAGAAAAGAAAUACCAGUCCAAUCAAACCAACUUACGGUCAUCCUAGGAAUAAGACUAAUGAGAGAAUUUGUACACACGCAGCUUUAUUGUCAAAGUGCGUGCGUUGGGAAUGCGAGGAAAUUCACUAGAAAAUUCGUGGCGUCUUAAUAAUGAAUUGAACAUAGCCUGACUCGUUAAGUAUAGGAUUGAAAAAUAUAGUUCGUAUUAUGCUCAUUUAUUAACGAGUCGAAUAUGAAUUGGCUUGCGAACAGCAUGUUAGAUUAUCAGCCAGACUUCUGGUUGAAAAAUUGAAAGAAAAUUAGAAAAAUAGAAUCUUAAUGUAAUAAUUAAUUUAUAAAAUAUAGAGCUUUUUAUAUUUAGGAUGGUCUAUUAUCCAAAUAGUAAAAAUAUUCACUAUUAAUAUAAACAUCAAUAACUCAAAUCUAUCUAUUUUUAGAAUAUCAUUCAAUUUUAACCGUUCAUUUUAUACUCACUUGAUAAACUUUAUUAUAAUUUUGAAAAAUCAUGAAACUUAUUUUCUAGAAGUUUUGCAUGCUUAAAAUAAUAUUUAAUGGUGUGGAUAUCGUCAAUUCGGAAGCUCUAUCACCAAAAAAAUUUUAUGAGUACAAAUAGCUCUAUACUUAUAAGAGUAUUGUAUUCCUAUUAUAUAUAUAUAUAUAUAUAUAGCUAGGCUACUAUACUAUCGGUAGCACGGAGCGCUCCGUGCUACCAAGUUAUUUUCGGUAAUGCGGCUUCCAAAUCAACGAUCGGCUCCGUUAGAUUUGAUCUACACUAUUAAAAGUAUUUAGAAACUAAAUUUCAUAAUUUUUCGAUAUCAUUUACCUAUCAAACAAGUAGUCUAAAAUUGAACGGCUGAAAAUAAAAAUCUCAUAAAGAAUGAUGAUAAAAUAUUUAAAUUCAAUAUCAGAUAUACUGAUCUUACUCUAAAUAGUGAAAAGAAUUUUCUAUAAAAUUUCAUCGGAUUUGGAUUAUUUUACACUGUUAAACUCUCAAACACACCACAUCGGCCUUUAAAAUUAUCAAUUUUGAGAUCUUUUGAUCAGUAGUCAAAUUAUGUCGAAAAAAUCUGAAAUUUAGUUUCCAAAUACUUUCAAUAGUGUAGAUCAAGUCUAACUGAGCCGAUCGUCGAUUUGGAAGCCACAUCAUCGAAAACAACUUGGUAGCACGGAGUGCUCCGUGCUACUGAUAGUAUAGUAGCCGAACUCUAUAUAUAUAUAUAUAUAUAUAUAUAUAUAGAGAGAGAGAGAGAGAGAGAGAGAGAGAGAGAGAGAGAGUCCGGCUAUGGUGCUUGUAAAAGUACCAAGCAUUUCAUGCUUAUAAAUUUUUUACCAUUAGAUUUACGCCUUUAAUUAUUUUCACCCGUUAGAUUAUACUAUUCAACCAACCACUCAAUCAACCAUAGGGAGCUUGUAAAAUUACCAAGCAUUUGGUGCUUGUAAAUUUUUUACUGUUAGAUUUACGUUUUUAAUUAUUUUUACCCGUUAGAUUAUACUAUUCAACCAACCAUUCAAUCAACCGUAGGGGGCCCACAUCAUCCUAACCGCACAUUCCUUAAUCCAAGGGUUGAAAACUUACAAGCACGUACCAAUGACUUGAUACUUUUAAAAGCAUAGGAGCUCAAUUUUAUAUAUAUAUAUAUAUAUAUAUAUAUGAGCAGGACUGCUGUGCUCUCAGGAGCACGGAGGCCUUCGUGCUCCUGAGCCAUUUUCGAUGAUAGAAUUUUCGAAUCGACGAUCGGCUCCGUUAGAAUAUUUGAAGUUUUUAGAAAAUAAUUUUUACGAUUUUUUGAUAUCAUUUACCUAGUGAUUGAUAAGCGUUAAAAAUCAAUAAGUUUUAAUUGUUGAUAUCUGCCGUUUUCAAGUUUAACGGUAUAGAAAUAUUCAAAUCAGAUAAAAUUUUGAUACAAAAUUCUUUAUACUAUCUACAACAAGAUCAAUAUUUCUGAUCGAAAAUUUUAAUGCUUUAUCACUAUUUUUUAUUAAUUUUUUAUUUUCAGCCGUUAAAAAUUAUUGAUUUUGAAUCCUUUUGAUUACUAGGUAAAUGAUAUCNUGAUCUGUAAGUUUGAUUUUAUUCUUAUUACAAAAUUAGUUAGAUAUUAAUCACAAUCAGAUUUUCGUUGCGGUAUUUGUUCUAACAAUCUAAGGCGUAUUUUCAAUUUGAUUGUUGUUAAAAUCUAACGGAUGUUAAUCUGUAUUAAAUUAAUUUUAUACGUAUAUAAUUUGUUUGUUAAUUUGUUUGUUGGCAUUUAAAUAUAAUUUUUUUUUGGGAUUAGCACUUUAACCUAUAAUUGCAUAUUAUGUAAUUUCUUGUUUAAAUUACAUUUUAUUUGAUGAGUAUUUAAAAAAAAAAAAAAUUGCCUUUACUGUAGCUCUUUUGGGGAAAAAAAGAGGUACGGACAUUAUGGAUUAUUUAUAGUUUUCACUGUUUGUCUAUAUGUUAAAAAGAAAAAAGAAAAAAAAGGCUGUUUUGCUAGAAUAAUAAAUAUCUUUUUAAUCAAGUAUUUAAAAAAAAAAGUUCUGUACCUGCAUUGAUUUUUUUUUUAAAAAAAAGAAAUUUUUUUGCUACAGUGAAAUUAAUCUUUACUGUGUAUGGUUUUUUGAGUUGUUGCUACAGUAAAAGCUCUUUAAUGAAAGAAAAAAUUCUGCUGCAAAAUUAAUUUUAAACAAUUUUGCUCCAAGUGGGAUUUCAACCCACACUUUCUAAAAGCAUAGUUUUUAAGCGAGAUCACCUAACAAGCAGUACUAAUACUAUUGCAUUUUUUUUUAUUGUUGCUGUCACUGGAAACUCUAUUUGUUGGAUUUAAUAUCACAACUAUCUAACUUCUCAGCACGACUGAAUAUACAACAGCUAGCACAUAUUUAUUGUGAUAAUUUUGUUGAUUGUAUUUAAUAUUUUUAUACAUUACUUGCAAUAUAUUGUUUGCAAACAAAUUACCUAAUUAAAAUCAAAUAUUUUAAAAUUGUUUCUGCAAUCUAUUUGUUGUUGAACCGAAUUUUGUUAAACAUGAUUAAAUUUUAUAAUUUUUAAAUUUUUAGUAUAUUUCAGAACUUGUCGGGGUUACUCUUUUAUCAGUUUGAUAAAUUUUGAUAUUAUAAUUGCUCUCGUGAUUUUAUCCUAGUGUUCAUCUUGGAAACGAAUUUUGCAAAUUCUAAGAUUGGGAGGUAAAUUAUUUUGGGACAUAAAUUUAUUAGAUGGUUAUUUUCAUAAUAUUAUUUAUUUGAUUUUAUCAGAUCUGAACAGAACUUUGCAGAUUAUUUGACGAACGGCCUGAAUAGGACUAAGGUCCUGGAGUCAUCGAGGAGGAUGGGACUUGCCCAUAAUGGGCCUUCCUGCAGUGGGAACCCAACCUUUGUGAUAGGAGAUCCCUUGAAGAAGGUUCAAUAUGGUAAAAACAAGCUGUCAGGAUGGCCAAAGAGCACUUUCUACAAAUUUUAUAUAGGAGCUUUAGCUCCAAUCCCAUCCUUAUGGUGAGUAGUGCUCUGUGUAGUGGAUUAGGUUGAGCUGAGAGCUCUUAAUGGGAUCCAAGGCGAUAAUUUUCGCGAGAUGUGACUCUACACACAUCCCUGGAGGAAACCACCUAUAUAAGAGUAUCCGUAUGUGGCCGCGGCUAUGUGAUAUGGGCUAUCCAUAGAAACUCUUAUGAAAAAUCAAGGUACUGUGCAUGGCCAUUAACGCACAGACCCGCGGCGGAGAAUUCUGUACUGUGUGUGUGGUAGUUGAAGUCAGGGCCAAAGGAACGUAGUUCAAGACCUGGUUCACUCCGAUUCCUUCUGAUGGAAACUAUUUACACUAAGUGAGGUUAAGUCUCUUAAAGACACCUUACCCAUUGCAUAGUAUAAAACACCCAGUAAAUUUGAAUUUAAUUCGUAAUUUUAAAAUUUUGAGUUUUGUGGGGGAUUGUUGGUGAAAACUCAAAAUUUUGAGUUUGAAUUUAUUUUAUUUGCACUUUGAUGUUUUAUUAUUUAUUAUUUUAUUUAUUUAUUACUUUAAUUAUUUUAUUUUAUUUAAUUAUUUUAUUAUCUUUCUUAAUGAGAAAGAAACUAACGGAAUUUUUUCCGUUCCGUUUCUUUCGCGUUACGUUGGGCGGGUUCCGCUUCUUUCUCGUAAGAGAAAAAACGUAAAAUCCUCUUUCCUUUUUAGGUCUUUUUCCUUCUCUUCUUGCUCAAGAUAGAGCAGGCAGAAAAGAUUUUUGAUCAUUGGUUAAUCUCUAUCUAUUUAUUCUUUUAUCUUUCAUUUUUGAAAAUUCCCCUUAUCCACUGGGUGUUGAGAAUCUUCGUCAACCUCCUUCACGAUCGUGCUCGCAGGAGGAGGAAUUCCGGUCGUACCUUGGGGUGUUAUUUCCGGUUAAUCCCGCACGUAAGGACGGAAAUACGCCUUAGGGCAGUGCCUCGCACGCUUUCGGAUAAGAUCAAAUCGUUAUUUGGAUAUUUGCGUUGAUCUGUAAGUUUGAUUUUAUUCUUAUUACAAAAUUAGUUAGAUAUUAAUCACAAUCAGAUUUUCGUUGCGGUAUUUGUUCUAACAGAAUUAUUGUUCUCGUUUUAACGGCUUAUCCUGAGAGAACCAUUAAGGGUGAGAAUAAUAUAUAGAACUCACCCCAUUCUAGAACAGCGUUAUUUCAAUGCUGUUCCUUCCCCCCAUUUUAUACUUAUACUCGAAUCAAACAAAGCUUUAGAUUAAAAUUUAAUCAAUUUUAAUUACUCUAUUAGUUACCAACUGUUAAUAGGUCUACUAUUAAGUUCUUAAUUUAUUUACAAAUAUAAAAUGUUAGCUUUGAUGUGCUAAUAUAUUUUAAACUUAAUCAAACACUUUUAAAAUAACAUAUUUUAUUCUUAUAUAUAUAUAUAUAAGUAAAAUCAUAUUUGAUUGGUACAUACUUUUUCUAAUUUAAUGUGUUAAACUUUCUUGGAUAAUAAAUAAAAAAUCGAUAAAAUUUAAACUGGGAUGAUAUUUUUUGUUAUAUAUAUUUCAUGGCAUUUUAACAAUAGGGAACUUAAUUGAAAUAAAUAAUAAAGAUUAGAUCAUAGUUAGUUAAUUCGGAUUCGGCAAAAAUUCGGUACAGGUAUAUGUUGAUAAGUAAUCCAAUAUUUUUGUUUGGUUUAGAUUUAUUUCUGUCAAGUUUAUCCUUCCAACAAUAUAAUUCGGAUAAAAUUCGUCUUUUAAAUUUUAAAUUCGUUGAAAACUACGGCUAAAAAAUGGAUUCAUCAAUUAUUCGGAUACGUGAUUUAUACGGAUAUUAUACGUUCACCAAUUAAAAAUUCGAAAUAAAAAAUUCGGCUAUUAAAUUAAGUUUUUUUUUCCUCAAGAUUUAUACUAUUAGCAUAAAUAUUCAUAUUUCUUAAAAAUAUAAGAAUAAAUAGCUAUAAAAGUAAGCUAAUUAAGUAAAAAAUUCAUAAAGUGCAAUAUAUUCUUGUAUUUUUUGCUCAUUAUCCAAAUAUGCUUGUAUUUUUGGCUCAUUAUCCAAAAAAUUCGGGAUCUGACGAAUAUUAAUUUGGCUCAUUAUCCAAAUAUGCUUGUAUUUUUUCGUUUUGGGCCAGCCGGCGCGCGAAGCUGGCGAGCUGUGACGCCCCAACUUUCCAGGGGGUCACCCAUCCUAGGACUACUCCCGUCCUAGCACGCUUAACUCUCUUAACCUCUUGGGCCUUGCCAUCACCCAAAAUGCUUAAGCCGGGUUAAGAGUUUAGCCCUAUUAUAUCUUAUAUAUAGGACUAUCUGGGGUCUCACAAUCUCCCCUCCUUUAAGCCCUGACGUCCUCGUCAGGCUCAGACUCACAAGUACCAGGCGAUGUGAGACUCGUCUCGCUAGCCCGUCAUCCAGACCCUGACUCAGCCGAGACUCAUCUCACACUUCCGGCUGGUAAUUGGCUCUGAUACCAUCUGUGACGCCCCAACUUCCCAGGGGGUCACCCAUCCUAGGACUACUCCUGUCCUAGCACGCUUAACUCUCUUAACCUCUUGGACCUUGCCACCACCCAAAAUGCUUAAGCCGGGUUAAGAGUUUAGCCCUAUUAUAUCUUAUAUAUAGGACUAUCUGGGGUCUCACACGAGCGCUCGAGGGUGCGAGCUGCGAGCGCGUGAGGGUGCGUGCGGGAGCGCGCGUGGGAGCGCGCGGGCGCGGGCAGCGCGGGUGCGAGGCGUUUUUUUGGACCGAAUAAUUCGGAGUUCGCGUAUAAUACGCGAACAAGUAUUUUUUGCCAAAAGUACGCGUUUUUUCCCCAUUUUUUAGAAAAAUACGAAUUCGACCGUUUAAUUCGUUUUUUCAAAAAUUCAUGAAUAAUUUGCGAAUUAACUAACAUAGGAUUAGAUAUCUAAUUUAAGACCAAAAUAAAUGCGACUAGGUUGGAAACGAUAGACUAAUUAAAUCCAACUAACUAUAUAUAUAUAUAUAUAUAUAUAUAUAUAUAUAUAGAGAGAGAGAGAGAGAGAGAGAGAGAGAGAGAGAGAGAGAGAGAGAGAGAGCGCUAGGCUACUAUACUAUCGGUAGCACGGAGCGCUCCGUGCUACCAAGUUGUUUUCGAUGAUGCGGCUUCCAAAUCGACGAUCGGCUCCGUUAGAGUUGAUCUACACUAUUGAAAGUAUUUAUAAACUAAAUUUCAUAAUUUUUUGAUAUCAUUUACCUAUCAAACAAGUAGUCUAAAAUUGAACGGCUGAAAAUAAAAAUCUCAUAAAAAAUGAUGACAAAAGAUUUAAAUUCAAGAUCAGAUAUACUGAUCUUACUCUAAAUAGUGAAAAAAAUUUUCUAUAAAAUUUUCAUCGCAUUUGAAUUGUUUUACACCGUUAAACUCACAAACACACCACAUUGGCCAUUAAAAUUAUCAAUUUUGAGAUCUUUUGAUCACUAGUCAAAUGAUGUCGAAAAAAUUUAAAAUUUAGUUUCCAAAUACUUUCAAUAGUGUAGAUCAAGUCUAACAGAGCCGAUCGUCGAUUUGGAAGCCGCAUCAUCGAAAACAACUCGGUAGCACGGAGCGCUCCGUGCUACCGAUAGCAUAGUAGCCGGACUCUAUAGAGCUAGGCUACUAUACUAUCGGUAGCACGGAGAGCUAUAAUAUUAUUGAUAGAAAAAGAUUCUUUUUAUUAUUAAAUUUUUAGCUUUUGGAUUAAUUCUUUUUAUCAUUUCUAACCAUUGGAUUAAAUAUUAUAAUCCAAUGGGGACUACUCAACUCUAGAGGGACCACUCAAUCCUAAAAUUAAAAACUUAAUAGAAAAAAAAGCCUUUUGCUAUCUAUAACAGAAGAUCCCCCGUCCACAUUAAAUACCUGCAUACAACGUUGUUGGCCAGGGACAUGAGCUUGAGGCUAAUGUUGACCGGCAUUUGCUGAGCCGCCACACCAGCGAUGUCCUUCAAAAACUCUCACGACCACGAGGUCUAUCUGUAUUGAGUAUGAAUGAUUUAUUAAAACAUUAAUAUUAUUUCUAUCUACUUAGAACUUUUAGAACCAGCUUGGUUCGAAUUAUAAGCGGGGAUAACGAAAAUUGUCUCUACUAUCCGUCAAACGGAAUGAUCUUUUACCGGGAUAUUUUAUCUCGGUCAAGUCUUGCUAUUUUCGGUUAUUUCGAAAUAGCUUAAAAUUUACUAUUCCAUCGCUUUAGUAGAAUAGUGCUAUUCUAAUAUUUCAUUUCAAACUUAAUUAAAAUUAUAAAUUGAAUUAAAAAUAAAUUAUAUAAAUAAAAUAUGUUAUAUAUUAUAAUACAUUAUUUUUAUUAUAAAAUUAUUAAUUGUAUUAUAUUAAUACAUAUUAUUUAUAUUUAAAUAUUAUAAUAAAUUUUAUAAUAAAUUAUUUUUUAAAAUUUAAGUUUAAGUGGAAUUUUAAAACCGUGUAGAUCUCUCUAGCAUCUCAAGAUUUUGGAUAAUAAUGAUUGUUUGGGAACCUGGCCGACGCGGACCAGCAUAAGCGGGCCGUAGGUACGGGCCAGUGCGGCCAGCGCAUGAUGCGGCAGGUCGGUGGCCAGGUAGUGCAGGCUGCCGAUUAUAGGGAGGCGAGGGGGCCCCGGCGGGAGGUCCAACCAACUGGAAGAUCGCAUAACAAUUGUUAGAAGAGGGAGAAGUACAAUUCGGAGUAGAAGGAGAGAAGGGAGCUGGAGCUCCAUGUUAGAGAGAGAGAGAGAGAGAAAACAAAGUGUGUGGGCUUAAGGUUCACUAACACAAGGGUGCAUACCGAUUCGACGAUCGGCUCCGUUAGGUAUAAUCUACCCUAUUGGAACUAUUUAGAAACCAAAUUUUAUAAUUUUUUGGCAUCAUUUACUAAGCGAUCAAUAGGUCCCAAAAAUGACUAUUUUAACGGCCGAUACGGCACGUUUUUAAGUUCAACGGUGUAGAAGUAUCCAAAUUACAUGAAAAUUUAAUAGAAAAUUCUACUUAACGUCAAUAGCAAGAUCAAUACUUCCGAUUUGAAAUUUGAGUCCUUUAUCAUUAUUUUUUAUGAAAUUUUUAUUUUCAGCCGUUCAUUUUUAGGCUACUCGUUCACUAGGCAAACGAAGUCAAAAAAUUAUGAAAUUUGGUUUCUAGAUAUUACAAGUACGGAGCCCCCGGUAUUUUUGAAAGCAUAGGAGCCUCUCUCUCUCUCUCUCUCUCUCUCUCUCUCUCUCGCUCUCUAUAUAUAUAUAUAUAUAUAUAUAGAGUCCGGCUACUAUCCUAUUAAUAGGAUUGGGACCGUUGUCCAAUCAAGUCGUUUUGAAUGAUCGACACUCCAAAUUGAUAAUCGGCACCGUUGAAAUUGAUCUACACUAUAAAAAAUAUUUAGAAACCAAAUUUUGUAAUAUUUAAAAAUCAUUACCAAGUUCAUCUUAAGAGUUAAAAAAUGAACGGCUGUAAAUGAAUAAUCUUCUUAAAAUAGAGGUUAGAUUUUUUCAAUUCAUAAUCAGAGUUAUCAAAUAUUAUCUAAAUAGUAUAAAGAAUUUUCUAUCAAAAAUCAAGCAAUUUGGAUUGCUCUAUACCGUUAAACAAGCAAACGACUUAUAUAGGCCGUCAAAAAUUGUCGAUUUUAUGACACUUUGAUCACCAUGUAAAUAAUUUUUAAAAUUUAUGAAAUUUAGUUUCUAGAUAUUUCAAAUACUCUAGAUCAACUUCAACGGCUUCGAUCAUCGAUUCGGAAUCUCUAUCAUCACAAAUAAUUUGAUAGGACAAGUGCUACUAUCUUAUUAAUAGGAUAGUAGCCCUAGCCUCUAUAUAUAUAUAUAUAGAGUCCGGCUACUAUACUAUCGAUAGUACCAAGCCGUUGGUACUAUUGAGUUUUCUACCGUUAGAUCUGCCUUUUGAUCAUUUUCACCCGUUAGAUUAUACUAUUAAACCAACCACUCACUCAACCCUAGGGGAUCACUAUCAAUUUAACUGGGAACCACUAUCAUCAUAACCGUACAUCUUUUCAUCCAACGGUCGAAAAUUCAAUAGUACCAAAGACUUGAUACUAUUGAUAGUAUAGUAGCAUAAUUCUAUAUAUAUAUAUAUAUAUAUGCACAUGCAUGCGGGUGCAAACUCUUUUCCGAGACGUGUGAGAGCUAACAAGGACGAGAAAUGUUGCUUUCAAUAGGGGAAAAAGAGUUGUAAUUUCUAGAUUAAAAUAUAUAGAUGCAUCCAAAAUUUUAAUCUGUCUUGAAAUUGAUUGUCUAAUUUUUUUUUGUUAUUUCAGUCUUUUUUUUUUUUUAAGAGAGAGAUAGAUAGCAUGCUACCCGCUUCGUUUAUUUUAUUUAGAAAUAAACUUAGCUAGAAAUGUGAAUCAACUAGGUUUCGAACUUGGGUCUCGGGUACCAACCAUCAAGCCCUUUGCCACUUGCUUUAGGGACGGUCGAUUUUUUAUUUGAGUCUUACUAGUACGUGGUUUAAUUUAGCUUAUUUUAUUAGCAAUUUUAGUGAUUCUUUUAGAAUCAAAAUAAACGCCUAUCAAAAAUUCACGUGACAAAAUUUAAUUUAGGAAAAGAAAGAAAGCACACAUGUUAAAAAAAAAAAUUUGUGGCGAAAUGGAAAAAGGGUGGGGGUUUCCCUUUCGCCACCCAUCUAAAAAAAAUUAUUAUCUUUACAUUUUAUUUUUAGUAGUUGAAAAGAAUUAAACCAAACAAAAAUAUCUUAUUGAAAUUAAGUAAAUCGAGCCGAAAUGACCAAAUUAUUUUUGGUUGAUUCAGUUCAUAUGAUUUUAAUUUGAUCCGAUUCGGUUAAAGAAAAAAAAGAAAUACCAGUCCAAUCAAACCAACUUACGGUCAUCCUAGGAAUAAGACUAAUGAGAGAAUUUGUAUACACGCAGCUUUAUUGUCAAAGUGCGUGCGUUGGGAAUGCGAGGAAAUUCACUAGAAAAUUUGUGGCGUCUUAAUAAUGAAUUGAACAUAGCCUGACUCUCGUUAAGUAUAGGAUUGAAAAAUUUAGUUCGUAUUAUGCUUAUUUAUUAACGAGUCGAAUAUGAACUGGCUUACGAACAGUAUGUUAGAUUAUCAAUCAGGCUUCUGGCUGAAAAAUUGAAAGAAAAUUAGAAAAAUAGAAUCUUAAUGUAAUAAUUAAUUUAUAAAAUAUAGAGCUUUUUACAUUUAGGUUGGUCUAUUAUCCAAAUAGUAAAAAUAUUCACUAUUAAUAUAAACAUCAAUAACUCAAAUCUAUCUAUUUUUAGAAUAUCAUUCAAUUUUAACCGUUCAUUUUAUACUCGCUUGAUAAACUUUAUUAUAAUUUUGAAAAGUCAUGAAACUUAUUUUAUAGAAGUUUUGCAUGCUUAAAAUCAUAUUUAAUGGUGUGGAUAUCGUCAAUUCGGAAGCUCCAUCACCAAAAAUAAUUUAUGAGUACAAAUAGCUCUAUACUUAUAAGAGUAUUGUAUUCCUAUUAUAUAUAUAUAUAUAUAUAUAGAGCUAGGCUACUAUACUAUCGGUAGCACGGAGCGCUCCGUGCUACUAAGUUGUUUUCGGUAAUGUGGCUUCCAAAUCAACGAUCUGCUCCGUUAGACUUGAUCCACACUAUUAAAAGUAUUUAGAAACUAAAUUUUAUAAUUUUUCGAUACCAUUUACCUAUCAAACAAGUAGUCUAAAAUUGAACGGCUGAAAAUAAAAAUCUCAUAAAAAAUGAUGAUAAAAGAUUUAAAUUCAAGAUCAGAUAUACUGAUCUUACUCUAAAUAGUGAAAAGAAUUUUCUAUAAAUUUUUCAUCAGAUUUGGAUUAUUUUACACCAUUAAACUCUCAAACACACCACAUCGGCCUUUAAAAUUAUCAAUUUUGAGAUCUUUUGAUCAGUAGUCAAAUGAUGUCGAAAAAAUCUGAAAUUUAGUUUCCAAAUACUUUCAAUAGUACAGAUCAAGUCUAACUGAGCCGAUCGUCGAUUUGGAAGCCGCAUCAUUGAAAACAACUUGGUAGUACGGAGUGCUCCGUGCUACUGAUGUAUAGUAGCCGAACUCUAUAUAUAUAUAUAUAUAUAUAUAUAUAUAGAGAGAGAGAGAGAGAGAGAGAGAGAGAGAGAGAGAGAGAGAGAGAGAGUCCAGCUAUGGUGCUUGUAAAAGUACCAAGCAUUUGAUGCUUGUAAAUUUUUUACCAUUAGAUUUACGCCUUUAAUUAUUUUCACCCGUUAGAUUAUACUAUUCAACCAAUCACUCAAUCAACCGUAGGGAGUCCGGCUAUGGUGCUUGUAAAAUUACCAAGCAUUUGGUGCUUGUAAAUUUUUUACUGUUAAAUUUACGCCUUUAAUUAUUUUCACCCGUUAGAUUAUACUAUUCAACUAACCAUUCAAUCAACCGUAGGGGGCCCACAUCAUCCUAACCGCACAUUCCUUAAUCCAAGGGCAGAAAANNNNNNNNNNNNNNNNNNNNNNNNNNNNNNNNNNNNNNNNNNNNNNNNNNNNNNNNNNNNNNNNNNNNNNNNNNNNNNNNNNNNNNNNNNNNNNNNNNNNGUGCAAAGAAUAUUAACAUGAAUAUUCCGUUUCUAAUCUGGCGGAGGAUGGCAAAAGAUAUCAAAACUUCUGGACAAAAUGAAAGGCUGCCAUUUCCUUUGAUAAUCAUGCGGAUUCUGCGACUUCGUGAAGUGGAUGUUCGUUGUACAUCAUAUGAGCACAGUUUGGGUCGGAUCAAUGAAAGGACAUUUGUGAAGUCCUCGGUGCAGUUACGUACCCCAUCUCAACGUGCUUCUUCCCCUCCUGCUGCUCCGCCUCCUGCUACUGCUACUUCUUCACGUCCUUCUAUGGACAUUUCUGAGGAAGAUAUCUCCGUUUCAUCUGUGUAUCGUGAGCAACAACGUUUAUCUGAGGAGCUUCAGAAAUUGUCUGCGGAGCAAGCUGCGAUUCGGAAGGAUGUAAGCAAGAUGAAGCGCUUAUUGAAUAUGAUUUUUGACAAGUUAGGCUGUUGCCGAGCGGAUUUACCUCCAGGGGAUGCUUCCGAUUAGGAGUUACCGGGUUCCUUCUUUUGUCAUUUUAGCGCUUUCUGACAUAAAGGGGGAGAUGGAGAUGGUGGUUCUUGAUGUUGAUGAUGCAAUGAUGAUGCACUUAGCUUAGUUAUUUUAGUUUUGAUGAUGAUGCAUGCAGCAUUUUGUUUAGGUGAACUUUAGAUGAACUUUGUUUAGUUAGUGCUUUAGGUGUUUGAUUAUGAACUAUGACUUGAUACUUUGUUUGAUCUUGAUACUUGAAUCUUGAUUAUGUUUUGAGAAUGUUUUUGCAGGAAUAAUUCAAGACUUCAAGACUCCAUGUCUAAGUCAUAGAGUUUGUAUUAAGAUUAUGAAAAUUGUAAUUUUCGUUUAUUGGAUCGAUCAUGCAGGAGAUUAUCGUUUGGUGAUUGCGAUGAUCUUCUUUUUAUUGUUUCUGUGUUGUGUACGAGUUUAUAGUUUAUUUUGUCACGAAAUCGCCAAAGGGGGAGAUUGUUAAGGAUUUUAUAGGUUGGCGAAUUUCGUAAAGUUGUUUGGAGUCUUGAAGAGUUGAUCGCAGAAGUUUUUGAGAAGAGAUUCAAAUUGGAGGACGAAGACUCAUUCGGAAAGAUCGACACCUAAGGUAUGAAGAAAAGAUCAUUUGUGGUGAAGAUACAUAAUUAGAAUAAGUUCAGAAGGCUUAGAUUGCUUUAAAACAACUUUUCUGAACUUUCAUGUGUUCUGGGACCGGUCCCUGAGAUGGAGAGACCGGUUCCCCUAAGGUCCUCACUGCGUAAACCAUGAUGCAACCGGUCCCCUGUGAUGAGAGACCGGUUCCCGAACCAUGGUGCUUCUGUCGCGCAGCGAGGGACCGGUCUCAAGUUUGAGAGACCGGUUCCCGAACGUUGGGUUUUUGGUCACGCAGAGAGGGACCGGUUCCUCACUUGAGAGACCGGUCUCUCACAGACCGGUCUCCUCGAGAGGACCGGUCUCUGAGGACGACACAGGUUUUUGAAAACGACUUUUUGCAAUCCUAGUCUACUUCUAAGUCUUCUAAACAUAUAAAUAAGCUAUGUGGGUCAUCUAAAAUUAAGGCUUUGAAUAUUUUACCAAUUCUAAACCCUAGAAACUUAUUUCUCCCCGUUUCAAUGCUUAGAUUUACAUGAUGAGUUUCUAGCAAUCAACAUCGGCUUGAUUCUUCGUUUUUACUCGAUACUUCUUACGAGAAUCAAGUAGAUGAUUGAUUAAAGGUGAACCCUCAUAGCUUAUGGUUUUCAAAAGUUAAAUCACCACAAAUCUUCAAUUCUACAAGCUCCGGAAGGAGGUUCGGCGCGUGGAUCUCGCGUGAAGCCGAGGAUUCGGUGGACGCUUCGAGGAGUUGAGGCGUUGACGCUGCGAGGAGUUGCAGCAAGGUCGAUUGGUGGAUUCUUAUCGAUCGAGGACCGGCUAAGAUCAUCAACUACGGGAAAUUGGUAAAUUGAGUCGUGUGUUUUGGUCAAAAUCACUUGUACUCAUGUUUUCUUAGUGGAUUUUUUUUGCGUGAUUGGUCCCGUGGGUUUUUCACUCCGAUUUGGAGUUUUCCCACGUUAAAUUCUCAGUGUGCUCUUUUAUUUUCCGCUAUUUUGUUUUAUUUGCAUCGAGAUUUUCGAGUUUGCCGUUUUUACACCUAUUCACCCCUCUCUAGGUGUUACUUACCUUUUAGAUCCUCGGGAUCCAUAUCUUUCAUUAUGUAAUGCUUUGUUUGGUGCUUGUUGCAUAUUUUUAAUCAUUGCAUUACAUGUUUAGACGAUUUUUGGUGUUUUGGUUUUUAUUCGGUUAAAAAUUAUUUCUUUGAGGAAAGGUAUUUGGGAAUUUCAAAAUCUUUGAGAGAGGAGAUGAUUGAGAAUCAUUAUUUUGAGGAGAGAAAUUUUUCAAAGAUUGUUUAAACGAGUUUUAUCUUCACAAUCAUAUUAAGUUAAAUUCAUAUUAAUUAUCGUUUUUACUUCACUUUUUAUUAUUUUGACGAUAAUUUAAUAUACGAUUUCUUAAUGCAUAUAUUCAUCAAAAUUUUGGAAUCAAAUUUGAUCUCUUGGUGAUUAAUUUAUCUCGGUUGUGUGUGUUGAAUAUGAUAGAUGGAUAUUCGCUAAUAGACUAAAAUUUGUCAAAAUAUUUUCAAAUUGUGAGAUUGUCUAAUUUAGGGCGAGUUUGAAAUUAUUUUUUUAAAAAAAAAGAAAGGAAAAAUUUCUAUGUGUUAAAAGAUGUGAAAAAAGUUACAUCCAAAAGGAGUGUGAAAACUACCACCACAUGUAGGAAAGAGCUGUCAUCCCGAUCGUUCGGCAAGUGUAUGAAGCUACCACAUGAAGAUUAAAUUAAUUAACCGAAAAAGGUUGAAAAUUUUUUUGAAUAUUUUAGAAUUUUCGGAGUUAUAAGGUGGUAAGUUGAAAAGAUGCUCAAAGAGCCACCCCCGGUGCCAUAUUUGUUAAAUCUCUAUUUUGAACAUAUUGCGAUAAAUUAGUGUCAUUUUUGUUGAAUUUCUAAAAAUCAUUUUUCAACUCACAUCUUGAUGAUUUUGAAACUUGAAAUCAUUUUUGAUAAUGAAAUUUUGAUGUUUUGAUGUAUUUUGAAAUCUUAUAAUAUUUUACCUUCAUUAUAAUGAUUUUUAGAGUUAAAUCCUUAAUUUGUAUGAAAUUAAUUUAAAUGUGAUGGAUUUUUAAAGUAUAAUUUUUGAAUUUUUUUUUUCACAUUUUGGUCCUUGUACCGGUACAAGAACCCGUGUACCGGUACAAGGUCUGUACCCGAGCGGCUUAUAACCGGGUAUAGCGCUUCAUUUUGCUUCAAAUCGAAACCAAAUCACGAUUUCUCUUGUCCUGAGAGCUCCUGGGAUCCUCCUCCUCUAAAUCUACUACUUUCCCCCUUGGAUUUGUAAGUUGUUUGCUCGGAUUUGUGGAUCAAACCUCGUUUUUCUUUUCAAAAAAUUUCCAGUUCAUGCUUUGAUCUCUGUUUUUUAAUCGUUUUUUAUGCAAUUUUUUGCUGUAGAUCAGUGCUUAAGGACAUUAUCUUGCUUCUAGAACACUUAGAUCAGGUUAUAAUGCUAUAUUUUUCGCUGAUCUAUGAUCCUUAUGUCAUAAUACAUGGAAUUUUGGGAUUUUGGUGCAAUAUCAAUUUUUUGAUGAAAUUUUUUGCAUGAAUGAGUUGGAAAUAGCGUUAGUAUGCAUUCUAAGAUUAUCAGAUAUUUUUUCGCUAUUUUUACAGAUUUUUUCAAAAUUUUCUUCAUAAAUGGCUCAUUUUUUAUUUAGAAAAUGGCGUUUUCGCUCGUGAUCCUACUUUUGGUGCUUAUGGCCGCCGGUCGUGGUCGUGGUGGUGGUCGAGGAUGACGUGGAACCUCAAAGAGAGCCCAUGCUGCUGCAGGAGAGUCCGGUUCAGAUCCGGAGUAUCAAGCAAGCUCACAGGAAGAAACAGAAGAAGCAGCGACUCGAGCUGCUAAAGGAAAGGGUGUUAUGGGCGAAUCAUCUCAUGGCGGUGGUUCUCGUACGCGUGAGGGACGUACAAAACGAGCCGCGGAUGUCCCUCCAGUACGACCAAGGUUAUCUAUGUCGAAGUCGUGCAUAGCUGAACGCUUCGUGAACUUCAAUGACUUCAUUCGGGAUGUUCCUGAUUUUGGACGACUGCUACAGCGUGCACCUAUUGAGCCAGUUGGACGGGUCCCUGCCAAGUCUCCCUUCUGUGUGGAACUCAUUCGGGAGUUCUAUAUGAAUGGAAAGGUACUUGCUGAAGACGAGGAGACAGGCACUUUUCUUUUCGAGACUGUUGUGCGUAUGAAGAAAGUCCCAGUUACCCCCUAUACUAUUGGAGAGAUCUUGCGAAUGCAUGUGGACACUACAGGCCUUCUCUAUACAGCAGGAGGAUUUCAAUCGUCAACUCACAUGGAUAUCAUUCUUGGAGCUAUAUGCAAGGCCGGUGUUCAUAUGACUCAUGGUUAUAUAGAAUCCAAGGAUUUAUUACAUGAGUAUCACUUGCUUUCCUUGGUCAUGAGCUACAAUGUUCAACCAACCAUCGGCACGAAGAGGAUCCGUUGGGACAGAUUAGUAUUGCUAUAUCUUCUUGGUCAUCCCGAGCAGGCUCAUGGGUUGAACAUCAAUAUCCCGUUUCUGAUCUGGCAAAGGAUGAUACACGUAAUUAGGGUGCCACUUGACGGGAUCUACUUCCAUUCCCUGUUCUGAUUACAAGGAUUCUACAAGCUAAUGGAGUAGAUACAUCAUGUGACAAGUAUGAUGUUGGCCUUGGGCCUAUUGAUUCAGUGACUUGGGCUAAGUCUGUUAGCACUCUCAAGUCAUCCCAUCAGACUAAGGGGCCACCUCCUGAAGCAUCUAGCCCAGUACCUCCACCGAGAGCAGCUUCUAGCUCUGCUCUUCCGCCUCCAUCCCGAGGGAGUUAUGAUACUUCAUCUAGUUCGGGGGGAGCGACGACGUUGGAAUCAGUUAAGGAGGAUUUGCAAAAAUUAAAGAAGAAGGUGAACAAUAUUGGAAGAAAAGUUGAGUCAAGCAUCAAGAAAUUUGAAUUAAGUAUCAAAAGGAUUAUGGAUAAGAUGGGGUGUCGACAUGAUGAUAUUUGGGAGCCUACUCCAUCUUAUGGCAUGUAUCAGUAGUCAUCUUCCCAACAUCCACUCAUUCCUCCUGCGACAGGUGUGUCAGGCGCUGGAGCAUCUGGAUCUGGUGCUGGCGCAGAGGAUGAUGACGACGAGGACACAGAGUGAUGUUUUCUAGAGCUUCAUGUUUUAUCUUAGGUUUAUGUUUUCAUGUUUAGUUUACACUUCUACGUGUAUUUGUUGCUUUCUCUCUUAGGCAUGUAUCUAUAUUUUAACUUUGAUGUUUCUUUCUAGUGGAUUUUCUCUUUUUAUGCUUUUUGGCAAUUUUCUGACAAAAAGGGGGAGAUCACAAGAUAAACAGGACACGAACAAAGGGGGAGAAGUGGUGAACAAAGGUAGAAAAAAAAAAAGAAGAAGAAAGAAGCAAUUGAACAAAGGAGGAGAAUGGAUUUCAAGACUUCAAUACUCCUAGUUGCGUCUAAGUUAUAGAGUCUGUUUUAGGAGUUUUGAAUGUAUUUUGAGUUUUAAUUUGUAUUUGGAUUACACGCGAGAGGUUCAUUAUUUUGGUGAUGACAAUUGAACUUCGUUUUUCUUUUAAAUGUAAUGUUUGUGUUUUGAGUGUGUUUUGUCACGAAAUUGCCAAAGGGGGAGAUUGUUAGGUCCUAUGUGUUGGCAAGUUUCGUAGGUCGAGUCGGAGUCUUGAAGAAGUCUGGAGCAGAGUAUUGAAGAUCGAAGAAUCCAAGACUUCGAAGAAUCGGAAAGGACACAAAACACGCAAACACGCAAAACUUGAAUCACGAUGCUUAGGUAAGCGUUAAAUCUUGUUUAUGGUGAUUCAUACUUAAUUAUAGAUCUUAGAAUCAUAUUUUCAAGUUGUAAUUGAUUAGAAAGUUUCUAAGAGCUUGUAAAACUCGAACAAUGCAUUUUCAACGAAAAUUGCAUUGUUGUACCGGUACAAGGGUGUUGCUGUUCCGGUACAGACAUCGGCUAUUGCCGCUGAGUUUUUCGAUGGUUGUUCGGGUACAACCAUCAUGGCUGUACCGGUACAAGCCCUGUUCCGGAACAAGCUGAAGUCUGUUCAGGGUACAGAAGCUUCGCAGAAAAAUCUUCCGUCAUGCUAUACCCUCGACAGCUUCCCUUGUACCGGUACAAGGUGCUGAAUAUGGAAAGAAACUUUCUAAUCCUACUCCGGUUUGAUUCUAAAAUCUAUAAAUAAGCUACUGGGCUUCUCUAACAUAUCAAGCAUCACGAAAAUACAUAUUUAAGAAACCCUAGAGGCUCGGAUUUCAUCUAAAACCUAUUUUCUACAUACGGCCUCUUUUAAAUCAAAUCGAGAGAUUGGAUUUUCAUAUCAAUAUGUCGAUUUGAUCUCCGCUUCGCUUGGAGUUCUCUUUCCUGGUUUUCAUCGAUACUUUAAGCGAAGGAUCACCAUACACAUAAUGUUCUUCAUGAUGGCGUCGUGGAUUCGGCGUGUUUGACGGCGGUUCGUGGAUUCCGAUCGAGGGCUCGUGGAUUCGAGUGGCGUUCGUGGAUUCGGACGUGAGUAAGGCGUUCGUGGAUUCAGACGUGAGGGCGUGGACAACCCGGAGGAUUGCGUGAGAUCCAUAGGAGGUUAAGAGAGGUUGAGUCCGUGGAGUCGGUAAUCACCUUGUAAUCUUUUCUCUUAGUGAAUUAUUUUUUCGCAUGUUGGCCCGUGGGUUUUUCUCCAAGUUGGAGUUUUCCCACAUAAAUCUCGGUGUGCUUUUUAUUUUCCGCAUUUAUUUUUAUUGCAUCGAGAUUUGUGGUUUUUGGCCGUUCACCUAUUCACCCCCAUCUAGGUGAUAGAUACAAUCUAGAUAGAUCCUUGGGCUCCUCAAAACUUUCAGGGAGCAGGUACCGGUACUCCAAUUUGAGUACCGGUACUCAGCUCUGCUAGGGGCUGACAUUGAAUGGUUGCAAAUAGCAAUUGUUGGAGGGUUAAAUUGAAUGGCCGUGACAGUUUGUGCCAUUAGUUAUUUUGCCUACAAAUUUGUAUUAGUUUUUUCUGUCUUGUAUUACGUCAGUGUUGAAUUAAUUUAAUUUUGCAGUGAAAGAAAUUUAUAUUUUGUAUCGUACUAUUAUUUUUAGUGAAAGAAAUUGUUUUCAUAUGUAGCUAAUAGUUUUGUAAAAAAAUUGGGUAAAGUAUUUGUAAUUUGAACUCAAGAAAAUUUUAAAUCGUAAAAUUUGGUAAUUUCAAAGUCACAAAAGAAUAUUAAAAAAUUAUAUUGGUAACAAAUUACGCAAAAAUUGCAAUCAUCUAAAUUUAAAUGCAAAAAUUAAAAGCUUUUAUUUACAUAGAUUCAUAUGAGGUGUAUUUUGGUCUUUUUAUCUCUAUAAUAAUCCACUAUCCUUCUUAUUCCACUUGCUCCAACCAAACACUAUUGUAACGUAUGAAAACGUCGAUAGCGAUUAUCGAACUUUAGCCAAAUUGGUUAAAGUGCCGAGAAAAAUGGAUGGAUAAGUCCCAUUUAGCAUUCCAACAAAGUUGGAAGGGCUAAAAAUAAGUUUAAGAGGUGUUAAAAGGGUUUUAGCAUCGACCGGCGUGAAAUAGAAUCGAAAACGGCGCAAAUACAGCAUUCUGGGCAAAGUGUACCGGUAUAAUCAGCAAGUUGUCACCGGUACAGCCUUGCAGCCCAAGGAGAGAUUGCUCUCGGGUUUGACUUUUCAUGGAAAUGUACCGCUACACCCCUGGUGUGUACCUGUACACUUUGGUAAAAUCCGAGCAGUUUGCUCUCGGGUUGCCUCUGUGCAGGAAAUAUACCGGUACAAAAUCCCGUGUACUGGUACACUUUGGUCUUGCAGCAACAAUGAAAUCUGCUGCAAAUAGAAGGAAGUGGAGGGUUUUAUUUGUAAUUGUUACAACAUGUUAAUACCCCAAGCACCCUUCCCUCUCUCUUUCACAGCCCACACCUCACGCCCUCUCAUUUCUCUCUUUUUCUCUCUAGAAAGCUCUCCAAGGAGCAAGGAGGAGUAGGAGGAGAAGGAUUUUUGGAGGAUUUUGGAGCUUAGAGAAGAUCUAGAACUCUCCUACAAGGUGGAUAUUGGUGAGCUUUGGACCAAGGUGAGGUUUUCAUAAAAACCUAGGCUAGGGUUUGUGUUUAUGUCCUAAAAAAAUUAGGUUUUGAUCUUCUAAUGAGUAUAGAAACCUAGUUGGAGCUAUAGAACACAUGAAACCCUAGUUUCUUCAAAGUGCUCUAAUGGGGGAUUUCUAGGGUUUACUUAAUAUACCCUAAAAAUGGUUUGGAUGGUUCUAAAUGAACUUCUAGAGGUUAGACAAGCUCUCUUUUGCUUGUUUUAGAGAUCAAAACCUAGGAUUUAAUAAAUGGCAAUAUUAGGGCACCCAAUUUGGGGCUUUUGCCUCCGAAUGUUUCUAAGUCAAAUUAGCCUUGUAGAAACCUAAUUAGGGGUAUUCCCGACGCGUAGGACAACUCCGUUUGACGUUACGAAAAAGUUUAGAUGAAGUUAUUGAGAAAAAGCCUAAUUUGGCUUCAUUUUGCAGCAGGUGAAAAAGUAGGGCUUCAAAAAUCCCACGAAAUUCACCGUAGCAUCCCUACAACCAUCUAAGGUGGGUGGUGCAAUCCGAGGACCUCGGAAUUCCUUUUAUGUCUAAAGUGUCAUAUUUGAGCAUAUGUGUAUUGAGCAUGAAAUUGCAUAGUAGGGUUAUAUGUGAGUAUUUCAUUGCAUGUUGUGAGUACAAAUGCAUGUGAAUUACUAGCAAAAUUGUGAGAAUUUAUAAUAAACCUUAUUUAUGCAUGACAAGUGAUAAGAAUCUAGUGGACUUAGUAAACAAUGUGACAUCUUGACAUAGAAGUAGAAAAUGACAUUGAUGAGUCGAGAAUGCUAGAGUUGGAACACUUAGAAAAACAAGUGUGGCAUGUGUACAAGAAUAUAGUAGUGUAUAUGACACUAGUGAAAAAGGUGUGAUAGCGACAUUAUGACAAUUUCAACCUUAGAGUUAAGGGUCAUAUAUGCAUUGUUUCCUUAUAGUUAAGGAAUGGAUUGAACUUGACAUCCUUAUAGUUAAGGAUUGGAUCAUACUCACCUGUAAGUUCUUGCUCGAGGGUGGUAGCUCCCUCUCGGGCGAUGUGCUCCGGAAUUAUCAUCACUCGGUGUGGUAGUCUCCCCAGAGGACGGUCCCGUCGGGUGCAUGUAGUAGUCUCCCCAAUUUUUGGGAUUUGUGUUGGUGAGUCUAUUAUGGGCGAAACCUACGAGCUAGCCUAGAGAUUGCGUUCUGAGCAGUGGCCUUGCAUUCAUCAUGAGUACUUUAUUGAGCAUAGCAUUAUUUAUUAUUCAGGCAUAUUAGCUGCAUUUGCUUUAGCUUGGUUACUAUCUAUCUAUUCUUCUAUUAUGCCUGAUUUAGAUCUAGUGGGAAAGUCAACGCGUCGGUUACCGAACCCACUGAAAACUUUGUUGUAGUUCUCACCCCACUAUUUCCACAGAGCCAAGACCGAGCUAGCCGGUGGACAACUGCGGUAAGGGCAUCGCGCCCUAGAUAGAGACCUCCCGAGUGGGUUUCCAUUUUGGUUUAGUUGCAUACCUUUGUACAUCAUCUUUUGUAUUUUGAUGACUAUAGAUGUUAAAAGAAAAAGACCAUGAAUGUUGUUAAAGAUUUUAUAUUUAAAUGUAAGAACUAUAUUUUGAGAUCAUAUGAUGUAAAAGAGAAAAAAUGACGCAAAAAUAUAAAUGAUUUUCUAAGUGUAGUUUACUACUUUCACUAUUGGCUAUUGCUUGCCCUCGUGCAAGCCAUUGUGUAUACUUCCGCUUAUGCAAUUUUUAUACUCUAUCUGUACCUGUUGUUGAGCCUUAGGCGGACAGGGAAGGCUCUGUCCGUUCGGUGUCUGUUCGACUCUCUCAAACCGGCCAAAAGGAUAGGGCUCGGGGCGUGACAACUAUUUUGUUUAUAUCUGGACUAAACCCAAUUCUCAACCAAGCACAAAAUUACUUAACUCCACCCUAACCCUGACCUUAAUCCUAUCUCUAAAAUAACUAGUUCUUACUUAACUCCGAACGAAACGAAGCCUGAAGGUUUUUAGUUUUGAAAUGACAAGAGAAGUAAAAAUAGAAAGAGGGGGGUUGGAUGGGGAGCUAUAGGAUUACAAUCACGGCACUCCUCAAACUUUUAACUAAGUAAAACGCGAAUAGAAAAACUAAAAUUUAAAGUAGUCUUAAUGUUAAGAAAUUAAAGUUAAAGGCAUCUAUUUCAAAAUAAUUUAUAGGUGAGGUUUUUCUUUUUUUUCUGGGGGGUGGGGUGGGGGCGAUACUGCGGACACCGGCACCUUUUGGAUUGUGCACUAGACAUUUCUUGCUUUUAUGGUGUUUUCUUGAUUUCACUCUCUAAAGAGUCUUUCAUUUGCAAUCAUCUAGUCUAGAGCAAAAUAUUUGGCAUAUUGAAUGGCUUAGACUUUCUACUGUAGAUCGUGAGUUGCAUUUUUUUUCUCCCCCUAAUAAUAUCCUUCAAAUAACUCCAACAAAUUCUAACAAAUUCUUCCAAGUUUUAAUUAAGAUCAUGACAACAACUUUCUCUCAAUUUAUUAGAAAUCAUGCUUCACCAAACCAAGUGCUUGCUUGACUUGUGUUCCGUAGCACAAGCUUUAGCACUCGAGCGAAUUUGUUUCCAGCAAUUUAUAAAGUUUUGCUCUUGUGAGGAGGUAAAUUAAGUAAGCUUUUAGACAAAGCUUUUGUUUUUCCUUGGAGCAAAAAUACAGGAAACUAAAAUCGUAUCAAUCAUUUUCCAACGGCUCUUUACAAUGUCUCAAACAUCUUCUUCCAAAAUUCCAGCUCAUAAAUUAGGAAAAAAAAAAUAUUAAUUCAACAAGACUCGAAAGAGAAAAUUCAACAAAGUGUGAAAAAAAAACUAUUACUUUUAGAGCAACCCAGCUUGCUCCACAUUCCUAUAAGUAAGAACUUAACAGUAGCACCAAACGAUCACACAGAAACUUAAAGCAAGAACAGAGAGAGAGAGAGAGAGAGAGAGAGAGAGUGAGUGAAAAAAAGAAAAAAAAAAACAAGAAAUGGAGCUCCGCUUCCUUUCGCUCGAUCCCGUGAUACUCGUCUCCUCUCUCCUGUGCCUCUCCGCGUACGCGCUCCUCGUCCUCGUCGCCAGGUCCAGGAGCAACUGCGGGGCACGAAUCUCGAAGCUGCCGCCGGGCCCGCGCGCGCUCCCGCUGAUCGGGACGAUGCACCACGUGGCGCGCGCGGCGCGGCGUGCGCCGGGGGGCGGGACCCAGCGGGCGCUGCGGGAGCUGGCGCGGGUCCACGGGCCCCUGAUGGGCCUGCGCAUGGGCCAGCUGGACCUGGUGGUGGCCUCGUCGCGCGAGGCCGCGGAGGCGAUCCUCCGGACGCACGACCGCAACUUCGCGUUCCGGCCGCCGCUGCUGGUGGGCCAGAUCCUGGCCUACGGCUGCAGCGACAUGGUGUUCGCCCCCUACGACGCCUACUACAAGCAGCUGCGCCGCAUCUGCCUCACGGAGCUGCUCGGCCCGAAGCGCGUCCGGGCCUUCGCGAGCAUCAGAAGGGACGAGGUGGCCAAGCUGGUCGAGGACAUUACUGCCGCUGCCGCUGCCGCGGCGGGGCCGAAGCCGUCGGCGGUGAAUUUGAGCCGCAGGCUGACCACGAUGACGAACGCCGUGAUCUCACGGGCGGCGUUCGGGCAGCAGAACGCGCAGCACCACCGCUUCCUGGAUGUAGCCAAGGCCGCUGUGGAGACCGCGGCGGGCUUCAGCAUCGCCGACGCCUUCCCCUCCUUCAAGUUCCUCGACGUCAUCUUCGGCCUCCGCGCCAGGUGCAUGCCCCCACACACCCACACAUCGAUCCCUGCCACCCUGUGCAGCAGAGCUUGUGUGCGAUAAUAAUUAAGAUAUCACAUUGAUGCCACGCAGCUAGCUAAAUUGAAUUCUAAAUAAAUCUAAAAAAUUGGCGUUUAAGUGAGCUGUAUUGAAACGACAUGCAGUAUGUGAUCCUGAAAUUCUAAUGAAGUACCAUGCGAGACAACAAUGUUUCUUGAAAAAGUAAUCAACACCAAAUUCGAAGUAUAUAUAUAUAUGCUCCAAUAUUACUGUAGAAGUACAGUAAGUAUUUUAGUAUUUCAUAUCCAAUGCCUGCAGGUUACUGAAAGUACGUAAGGAACUUGACGAAAUCUUCGAUGAGAUAAUCGAACAACAUCAGCAAAAGAAGUCGAAUGCCGGCCGCGACGGUGAGGACGAGGAGGACUUGAUAGACCUACUCCUCAGGCUUAAGGAUCAUGGCGACCUCGAAAUCCCUAUUUCAAUUGAUAACAUAAAGGCCGUGAUUCUGGUUAGUAUACUAUGGCACUAUCAGAAUUGUCAAUAGGUUUGGAUAUUAAAGUUUUAUCGACAUUUGAACUCAUGAUGUAGUUUCCAUCAAAGUUAACUAAUUGGAGAUGCAUACAUAACCCUGGCAGUGAGAGAUUGAAAGAUACCAAAUUUUUCUAUACGUUACUGAACUUUAAGUAAAAAAUGAACUUUAAUUUAUCUCAAUUAAGAUAGUGAACUUCAAUUUCUAUCUUUAUUCAGUCACGUCCUUAAGUUCUAUCUAAAUUUUCAAAUAAAACGAUAAAACAAUGUUGAAUUUAGUUGUCAUUUCAUUUUCUAGAGACGACAAUCACUACUAAUUUAUCUGAAAUGAUCUGUUAUAACUGAAAAGUAAAAUAUAUCAUAUGUUUCAGCAAUUUGAAAUAACUCGCAAUCGUUGCGGAAUUAUAUUUUAGUAGCAGCUAAAUUAGCUGACAAAUUAAUUAUUACUCUGUCAGAAAAAAAACAUUCCGAGUUUGAGAAGUAAUCCAAUUAAACUAAAAAGUUCAAUGAUAACUUUUCCAAAAUUAAAACUCUUCUGUUUCAAAUAGUUAAAAUGCAAUAUAUAUCUCUUAUUAAACUUUAAUAAUUAAAUAACCUUUUUUUUUGUGAUCUAUGUACCGCAUUUUAACUGGUCCAGCUGGAGCGGUAGUUAGACUCGGUCAACCAAUAUUUUCUCCUCAAUAAUGGUAGAAGAGAAUUUUGUUGUGAAAGUGCUAUCUCUUUUUCUUAUUUGUCUUUUUUUUUUUGCAGUAAAUUAUAUCUAAACUUUAGGCAAAAUUUUAUUUUAAAAUAUCAAAUUAUGAACAUAGAAUUAAAUUUGGAACGUUUGCAUCCAAUUUACCCACGCAGCCUUUGAAAGUUACAAUUUUAACCUUCCACGUUUUAACUCGUUUGAUUUGUGCUCUCUUAAGAACUCUGAUAAAUUAUUGGAUACAUUCGGUGCAUCAGCAUAUUCAUGCACCAUACUUUCGUUUGUUUGUUCAUCAUGUCCGAUAGUUCCAUCUUUGUUGCCAAAAGAUUUCUAAGUAGCACCCUACUUAAAAUGAAAUAAAUGAUUAGAUUAAAAGUAUGACAUUUAUGAAAAUCUUAUUAAGCUACAAAUCAAAGAAUUUCAAAGAAUAGAUGGUAAAAUAUAUAUAAAUGGCGCAAACUUGGUGUAAAAUUUUAUAUUAUUUAUUUUUAGGCUAAAUUAUAGAAAAUAUUUCUGUAAAUAUCCGUUUUUUCGCUUUUUUUCCCUAACUUUUGAAAAUCUAUAUUUUACCUCCCCAACAUUAAUUUUAUGUUAUUUCACCCCCCUCCUGCAAGAUUCCAUCACUAAUCCAUCCAUUUCUUAUAAUUUAUAUCAAAAAAAAAAUUCUUAUAAAAAAUUGUAAGAAUAAUUUAAUCAUUUUGCUUUCUCUAUUAACGUCGUCUUUCUGAAAAUAUUUUUAAAAUUUUAAGUGCACAAAAUAUAAAUUUUUUAAAAGUCAAAAAGAAAAAAAAUAAAAAAAUAAAUAUUUUUUGCAUGAAAGUUUUGUGUAAUUUAGCUACAUUUUUAUUGUUCUUCCUUUAAAAAAAAAAAAAAACUAGGAUCUAUUUCUUGCGGGGACGGACACGUCGUCAGCGCUGCUCCAAUGGGCCAUGUCGGAGCUGAUCAGAAACCCCGACGCGAUGGCAAAGGCGCAAAAGGAGGUCAGGGAAGCACUGAAAGGAACGGACGGCAUUGUCGAAGAAGCCCAAGUAAACGAGCUCAACUAUCUCAGAAUGGUGGUGAAAGAAGCCCUACGACUGCACCCUGCAGUGCCGCUGCUCAUCCCUAGAGUGUGCCAGUCGACGUGCCAGGUGGAGGGAUACGAGAUCUCGCCGGGGACGCGCGCCGUCGUCAACGUGUGGGCCAUCGGGCGGGACCCCAAGUACUGGACGGAGCCGGACCGGUUCAUGCCGGAGCGGUUCGCGGAGCCCGGCGCAGCCGACUACAAGGGGACCAGCUUCGAGCUGCUGCCGUUCGGGUCGGGGCGGCGGAUGUGCCCUGGGAUGGUGUUUGCACUCGCCGGCGUGUUCGUGUCCCUCGCAGAGCUGCUCCGUCGGUUCGAUUGGCGGAUGCCGGACGGGAUGACGCCUGAGGAGCUCAGCAUGGAGGAGACCAGCCUCGCGCCAGCGGAGCGCACUACAAAAAAAAUAGAUUUUAGAAGCGGUCGAAACCGCUGGUAAAAGUCUAUAGAACCGCUGGAAAAAUGUUUCCCGACAUUUGUAAAACCGUCGGAAAAAAUUUUAUAACCGCUGUUAGAUCUCUGUCGCUAAAAACCUUUGCCGACAGUUUAUACAACCGUUGGAGAAGAUAAUAAUUUUAGUAACGCUUUUCCGACCGCUACUAAAUAUAGUAAAAAACGCUAGUAUAAAUUAAUAAAUUUAUACCAUCGGUUUCAUAAUUGUUGUGAAUUCAAUCCAAACUACAAAUUAUACAAUUAAAAGAAAACUAGACAAGAUUUUAAGACUCUUUAAAAUGAGAUAUAUGAACAAAUUCAUCAUCCAAACAAAUUUAAAUUUGAUUACAUACGACAAUUGUCAAACAAGAGAAGUCAAAUCAUUUAAUCAAAUAGGAGUUUGUAGAGUAAAAACAGAACUGUCAAUCAAAACUUUUAUUCAAAGAAGUUUUCAAUCUAAAAGAAAUAAAAUCCAUAUGAAAUCAAAGUUUUCUACGAGUUCUUCAACUUAUUUUAUGAAUUCACUCCGCAUGAAACACCAAUCCUUCCUCUUUUUUGAAAAUUCCUGCAAAAAAAAAAAAUCAAGUUAGUGAAACAAAAAAAUGAAAAGGUCUUAAAGAUUAUGAGAUGAACCUCAAUAUAUCAAUAUAUGUGGGUUCUACUAGAACAACGAAAUGAAACUAGAAAGCUCCAAGAGACAAGGUUUUGGAAGCAAAACGGAAGUAUAUAUAAAAGUAAAAAUUCUAGCGCUAUGUUUAAUAAAUCUCUAGGAAAAGAAGGUGAAAGUCGAAAUCCAACCUCGUAGGCAAGAAAAUACAAGCUGAAUUUCAUUUCAGGGAAAUCCAGUCGCUUCAAUAACCUGGUUUUUCAUGCAAGAAAAAUUAUAAGCCUAACGCCCAAAAUUAGGUGAACAAGAAGAACUCCAACAAUAGAACUUGCAAUGGCUUCUUCUAUGUUUAAGAACUUAACAUAAGAAGUGUAGAUAUGAAAUAGAAGCUCUACAUUGUUGACACUUUUUGUCAGCUUCUUGGCACCAGUUUAAUUAAACAAAACAUUUUUGCAUCGUCAUGACCUCCAGCAAAGCAAAUAAAAGGGACAUUAAUUGAAAUUAAUUAAUCAAAAUAGGUUUUCUCUGGGCAUGGAGUUAUGCUUGUCAGGUCAAAAUGAUCCUAUUCAGGUAGCUUGAAUUAUGGAUAUCGCAAUAUACAUUCUGGGUACAUACUCUAGACACGUGCCAGUGUUUAUCAUCAGCCAAUCAUUGAUUUAUUUCUAAAAUUGUAAAGACUGUACCACAGAUCAAUAAGUAAUGAAGAAAAGAAUAUCUGAAUGGAACUUACUUCAUCCCCAACACACGAGAGUAGAAAUCAAGACUCACUUUAGGAUCUUUAACUCGAAACAUCUGCAAACCAUUAAAAAAACCAAAAAUUCAGAUUUGCUUUGUCAACAGAAGAUUACCCUCAAAAACCUAACUGCCUAACUCAAUGGGAAAAUAUAAGAAAAUAAAGGGAAAAGUACACCAUCAGUCACUAAAUUUACAGUGAAAUCUCACUUGCGUCACCAAACUUAAAUUUGGUUCAAUUGAGCUACUAUAACAUGGCUACCAGUUCACCUCUUGGCGAUGAUGUAAUCACUAAUUCAGCUGCCAACACACCUCUUGGAGACGGCGUGACAGUUGAAAAAUAAUUAGUCAAAAAAUGUCGCAACUUGAUUAACUACGAUCAUUGCCGCAUCAACUUUUGCUAGCUGAAUCAGCCGUCACAUCAUUCCUUAGAAAAAAUGAUUCAAAUGUAUGUAAACCUCCUUAUCUGUAGGCCAAUUUCAAUUAGACUCCUUUAACUACUUUUCUUUUGAUUGAAACUCCCUCAACUUCUAACUGUUUCAAUUUUAGUUACUUUCUUAAAUCGAAUCAUCCCACUUAGUUAAUAACCUCUCAAUCAUCCCACUCGGCAAUAAAGGCUCUUCAAAUAGAUAGAGAGAAACAAUUUUCAAAUUACAGCUGUAAAACAAGAAACCCAUCCAUCAACUAAUGUAGAAGCAAGGGUCCAAUAUCACUAGAACAACAAUGGCAAAAAAGGUACAUAGAAAUAAAGAGGGAACAUGAAGCAUCAAGAAGUUUAAAAAAGAGCUUAUCACAUAUACUACAAAACAUCACAGGUAGAAGCACCCACAGCCCACGUGACUAAUAGUGAUGUCUCUUGAUGUUCUAGUGUCCACCAUUUUGAGUUUAGGUAACACCCAAUAAAUCCACUAGCAUGGUGCUUAAAAGAGAUAACACAAUAAAGAUAUUAAACUAGACUAAAAUCUAGAGAUUCUAUACACACAUAAAAAGGGAACUAUACAAUUAACUCCUUAACAUAACAAAAUACAAAAACACCCAUCAAACUUAAAAUAACAUAACUAUAGACAAACUAUGCGAAAGAAGAUAUGAAAAUAUAUGUAUUGUGGAAACUUUAUAACGAAUUAGUUACCUUACAAUUAAAUUCCACUUUCUCUUUGAGUGUCACAAUCAGCUCUACCAUCAACAUCUUGAACCUACAAUAUGAAAAGCAUUAUCACAUAGAUAAGAAACAAUCUAAAAAAACAUAACAUACAAUAAUUAUUUUAAAAUUUAGAACUAAAUGCUUAAGGAUUGAAAUGGAUUCAUGACCUUUGAAGAUUGAGCAUCCGACUGCUUUGAAAAAAGCAUAUCUACUUUGGCCUCUAUAGAAGCUAAUCUCUCCUUAAGGUCAUAUAUUUCUCUAUCUUUAUCUCUUAAAAUUUCUUCCAUUGAAAUGAUCUUUAAUUGAUGAGAAUUGUUUGACGAUACGUCACUUAGCAUAGAGGGUGUUGGACCAAAUCCCACACCACGAACACGACCAUGGCGAUCUUGGCCAAUCACUUUAGAAUAUGCAUCAUCAGCCGCCCACAUUGAGCUACCUCCUGAGCUGCCUUGAGUGACAUCCGAUUCUUUUUGCAUUAAUUUCUUCAACUUCUUCUGAAAUUUGGAAAAAAAGAAAAAUAUGUGUAUAUUAAAAUAUACAAUGAAGAAAGUAAAUAUAAGUAACAAUAUAAAUUCUCGAACUAUACAAUAUUUUUUUUGGCGCGCUUUGUAACAGGCUCUCCAUUUUUUUGUUGAUGAAGCGCAAUAUAAAGCUUUCCCCUACUUGGAACUUCUCCAUGCUUCUCCUACUCAUAAAAUAUUUUAUUAAAGAGGACAUAAAGUUAAAAGGCAGCAUGCAAGAAACUGAAAAACCUCCUACUUACCAUCUCAAAUGCAUACUGUGCUAUUGAUUUUGAACCACCAGUAUGAAAGUCCUUUUUUUUAUCUCUAUUUUCUUUAUUUUUUCUACUACGUUCCUGCAAGCAUAUUGCCCCAAUUUUAGCAAAUAGGUUCCAUCUCUAAAGAAAAUAAAAAAAAUGUAUAAGGCAAGAAAUUGCAAAUUCAGUACAUUGAUAGAGCCAAUUACUUUUCCAAACAAUAUAAAUAGUGCAAUAUAGUUUUGUAGAACAAGAUAUACCUUCGCUUCAUCAGAACGCCAAUAAUCAACUAAUCUAGCAAAUUGGGCAUGAUUAACAGAUGGUGGUGCCCUAGCUAAAAUCUCCUUCCUUUUUCGUGAUUCAUCAUAAUAUUUCGCUUUCAACUCGCACUUGUAAUUUCUCCAAAGAUCGCCAAGCUUCUUUAUUGUGUUAUGCCGAAUCUUUUCUCUUGUUGUUGGAUCUCUCGGGAAUUCAAACUUUGACUAUACCCAAAAGUUCUUCACAUUAGAUAAUAAAUUUGUGCCAAAAUUAUAACAAACAACAAGAUAAAUAAUUGAAUUCAACUACCUCAAGAACUUCCCAACAAGAAUUUUUGUACUUAACAUCCAUCUUACGCCAACUCAAGUAAUCAAUUGGAGCUAGAUUUGGCUUCCUGACUACAGUACCCAUAAAUCUAUGAAGAAUGCUGCCUUCUUUAUCAAUGGGCUGAAAAUAGUUAUUAUAUUUCAACAUAAUCCGUUGAUUAGAAGGCAAAUUCCAAAUGUCAGACAUACGAGUGACCCCUCGUUUUCCACGUGCAGAUGACCCACCUAUUUGAUUAACAAAAGAAACAUACAAACAACACGAGUUUUUAGCAAUUCUUUUUCUAAAAGUAAAUAAGCAAUUCUUUCUUUACUUCUCUAUAAUACAAGUAUUUAGCAAAAUAUAGUUACUAUAAGUAUUAUGAUAUUGUUGAAGCUAUGCAGGAAAUAAAGUGAAAAAUAGAUGUUAACUUUAGAUAUGAAGAAUUAAAAUAGCCAUUUGAAGCAGCAAACAAAUCAAUUAAUAAAAUUCAAAUAGGAAUCUAAGGCUAGUCAAAGUUGAAAUAUAAACACUUUUUUAAGUUUCAAAUGAUGCAUUUAAACACUAAUUAUCAACUAUAUAAACUAAAUCAAACUAUAUAUAGAUGUUAAAAAUCAAUGAUAAGGAAAGAAUUUAAGGUAUACCAGUGAUACAAAUUUCCACUUCAUUAGAAUCUACUUGGUCGACAUCAUCAUCCAUUUCAUGCGUCUCGGCAUCUGGUUGGUGCGGAAGUGAAAAUUCUCGAGUCUGUUUAGGGCAUUGUGUCGGUAUCUCCACAUCACCCUCUACAGAGCAAAGCUUGAGACGUUUCUUUGCCAUUCCUGCACAUAAUGUUACGCAUAUCAUUAAUAAUAGGAAACAACAAAAAAAAAUUAGUAAUGACAUUAGAAAUUACAACUUUUAUAACAAUGACAUUUCUAUAUUUAAUUUGCUUAUGAUAUUGAAACAAAAUGCCAGAAAAUAUACAAUACAAUUUUGCUUUCUCUACUUGCUAGAGCAACUACUUGUUGAGUCAUCAUCAAACUAGGAGCUAUCUGUGUACUUGUCCUCCUGUAUUAAGUUUUCAGAAGCAAGCGUCUUGUUGACUGUAGUUCCAUCUACAUCAUUUCUAACCCAACUAAGAUAGUCAUUUGUAUCGCUUAAUAAACUUGCAAGAUCUAUAUUAUAUGGCUCACUAUCAUAGUAUGUGUUGUCGUCAGCUUCACCAAUUCCAGCACUACCAAUAUCAAACACAUCUCUAGGUUUUGUCUUAACAACAGUGAGCCAAUCUGUGCCCUUUCCACCAAAUUGCAAUUUACCGAGACAAACACUCCCCCAGUGAAAAGAAGGGGUUGGGAAUUUCUAUUUAAAUGCAUUUAGAAAAUUGCAAUAAUAGCAUGGAGCCAACAAAUUACAGAAUCAUAUACAGCACCAGGCAGGGAUUAGAGUUAGCAGAUAAUAGAAUAUGUACAAUUAUUUGGUAUUGAACAUCCUACAGAAUGAGCAAAUAAUCCAGCAAACAUGAGAUUAAGGGCCACUCAACACAUUUCAGAAUCAAAGAAAUAGCACAACCACAUAAAGAUCAAGAACAUACAAAUGAGUCAAGCUGACAACUAGGAAGAAGCAAUGAUAUACGCAGUUUACUAACCAACAGAAAUACAACAACCUAUCUGAAGAAUGGAUAUAGCUCUAGGAAAGGAAACUCCCCUAUGCCAAAUUGGUCAAAAGGUGGAAUUGCAUUUAGAAUUAGCUAUGGAUAAUCCACUACUUUGUGGAUUAUCCUAUAUUAGAAAAUUAAUCAAAAGAUUCAAAACCCAGAAUAACUUUACCAAAAAUACAACAACCAAAGAACAAAAACAAAAAAAACAAAAGGUUAACUUAACAAAACCUAUCAAAUUACAAACCUAAAUUAGAGCAUUAAUCACAACUCCACAAAUUCACAAAAUACAACCCAAAUCUCAACUAAUCAACCAAAUUCAUACUAGUAGAAGAAACAAGAGAAAUCCAGUCAAAACUUACUACAUCUCACCCAAAUAAAUAAAUAAAUAAAACAUUAAACCUAGAAAAACCUAAAUUAGAACAUCAAUCAAAUCCCAGUAUAUCUUUACCACCAAAAAAGCACCGACGAAAUUCAAAUCUGAACCCAAAAUAAUAAUCAGAAAUUCAUACCAGGAGGAGUCGAAGCCGAUCUAUCGCGCACCACAAAGAGAGCUCACCUACGAGAGAUCAGAGUCGGAGAGCGAGAUCAGAGUCGGAGAGGGAGAUUGGUGUCCGAGAGGGAGAGAGAGUGUUGAGGGAGAGAGAGGGGGUCUGAUCGUGAAGAGAAGGGGGCGUGGUGGGGGGAGGGGGUUUGCGCGGCGGAGUGGGGUGUGCGUGAGGUGGGGAGGGGUCUUUUUCUUUUUUGUUUUUGGGGCAGGGUUUUAGUUGGAUGAAACAUUUCGUUUGGGUUGAGUUUUAGUUUGAAUCAAAAAUUUUUUGUUUGAGUUUUAGUUUGAAUCAAAUAUUUAAAAAAAAAUAAUGCUAAAUCUACAAUCAGAAAGUGGUCGUAAUUUUAUAAGUUCACUAUAAUUUUAUAACUUUUUUUAUUUUAAUACCAGAAUCCAUAUAUUACAUAUUUGUACCUUUAAAAAAUAAAAAAAAUAAUAAAAAAAUUAAAAAAAUUCUCAAUCAUUAUAUUACUUUAUACCGGCGGUUUAUAACUGUUAUAAUAAUUAGUUAAAACCGCUGCUAAAAUAUUUUUGCGAGCGCUUAUGUUAAGUGUUAUUAAAUUAACUGUCGUCCUAAAUCAAGUUUUUUGUAGUGGCGGAAGGUCGACCUCGUCUUGGUCGCCACCCCUUGCAGGGAUCCGUAGGAAACUAUUUAAGUACAAUAAUAAUGACAUGCAUAAGCAUCCNGUUUAUGGAUUUUAGUUAGUACGUACUUGUAGUUAUGUUAUGUUAUCUAUUUAGAAUAAAGUUAUUCGGUUUACGUAUGCGUAAUAUAUAACGAGUUAGAAUGAUAGAAUAAAAGAAGCUCUUUAAAACCUCUGCAUGGUUUCAACCAUUCCUAGAGCAAGUGGCAAAGGGCUUGGUGGUUGGUACCCGAGAUCUUAAGUUCGAAUCCUAAUUAAUUCACAUUUCCAGCUAAAUUUAUUUUCUAAAUGAAAUAAACGAAGCGGGUAGCGUGUUACCUAUCUCUUUCUCUCAAAAAAAAAAAAAUCAUCAAAAAGUUUAAUUAGUGUGAAAUAUGAGUUGCAACACAGUAGUAAAGAAACUUCAUCUAAAAGGAAAAAAGAAAAAUAAUCCUUUUCUUCAACAUUGCCUAGUUUACAAAACCAUAAGGUAAAGAAUAAUUUGGAAGAAAGCAAGAAAAAAAAUACAAAAAAAAAACUUAAUUAGCUAUAGUGUAAAAGAAAUUAAACAUAUUAUGAGGACUGAGAUUUUGGCAGUGUAGCUAAACUCUCUGUUGAUAUUAUUUUUGUGUGUAAUUUAAUUAUAUAAGCACUCAUCAAGUUUCGAGAGAAAAUAAGUUAGGAUGGAGAAGUUACGCGACCUGUACUAAUCACUUAAAGUGAAUAGUAGUAACUCCGGUUUUCCGAAGAAGCCAAUGAGUGGAGAUGGCUUCUGAUGCAUAUUUGACUCUGUUCAUAGUGAUCCAAUAGCUCGUUUUCAAUGGUUCGACUGGCCUGAACCCAAUGGCACUGACAGAUUUGGAUUUUGACGCACGAUUUUCGAGAAAAAGGGAUUUUAUUAGAUUUACACAUUUAUAUAUGUGUGUGGUUUUUGGUAAUUGAAGAGUGGAUGAGUUUCGUUGCAAAUCGGCGAUCAUAUCGGGCGAAAUGAAAUUGCGAGUUUGAUACCCUGGUCAUGCUGAAUGCGCUGGCGCAGUCCGUUCGUAAAUAUGACGGACGGAUCUUCCAAAAAUUCAUAAUGUUUGCUAAAGGGUCGAUUUUGGCAAAACAGAAAAUCCGCAAAACACCUUAUAUUUUACGUACCGUUUUGAGUGAUUUCGAGCAAGGAGGUACAUCUGUGCGAUUUACUCAUGCCGUGAAGGACUCAGUAUGAAAUUCUGAGUCUUCGGGGACUUUUGCGCAAAAUUGCAAUUGGUAUAUAUGUUGCGAUCUAGGGUUUUCUUAGCCUAACCCUAGACCUUUAGCUCCCUCAGCUGACCUCCCCAGCCGCCAAGCACCUUCCCCUACCCUCGCCGCACGCGCCCCGGCCGUCGGCGCGCGCCUCCGGCCGCCGGAAUGGGCUACAUUGCUUCUCCUCCACCAACUUGCCACCAUCCCUGCCGUGGACCACACGGAAGGAUCCCCAUACCUGGGCUUCCUCCCUUGGCCUUGCUCGACCUCCGGCAGCCUCGACCGCCGGUCACCGCCGCCCCCGCGCGCUGGCAUUGCCAGUCUGGGCAGCUUGCGGCCAGCCUACGCAGGCACUGGCCGAGACCAGGGCAGUUGCUGGCCUGCGCGUCGCUGCUGCUUUGUGCCGGCCGCCCCGCCUCCCUCCGGCCUACGGCGAACCCUCGCCGUUGCCCCGGAGCUCCCCCGGCCGUCGUUACCUCGUGAGCCCGAGGCCAAGUGUACAUGUGCGACCUCGGCCUCUCCCAACGCCGCUGCGCCUCCUACCGCCGCCGGCCGGCGUGAGCCCCGAUCCUCCUCGGUCGGCCGCACCCGGUUGCCGCCGGCGCUCCUGCCCCCGGAUGCCCCUGUCGGCCGAGCUGGAGCCAGGCUCUCCAUCAACUGUGCGGCUAGGGCAUCGUUGCCCGUCGCCGCCGCCGCCUUUCGUCGCCGGCCGACGCGCACCCCAGCCUUUUUCCGUCGGCUGCACCUGCUUGCCGACGUCGCGCCCGUCGCCCGGCCGUUGCUGGCCAGCCAUAGCUUCACCUUGCCAGUUCAAAAGGAGAGAGAUAGAGAAGCUCAAGUCGGCAAAGAACUUCCAACUUCUUCAAAUCAAGCAAAGCUGAUAAGAAUAGAGUAUAAUGUGCUCUCUCAUUUACGAAAAGUCCCAAGACUUCUGAGUGUUUACGACGCCCUUAGAACUCAGCGAAGUGUUGAUCUAUGCUCUCCAAAAUCCUGAGCUCUUUCAUGCAUUCUUCGCCGAGACAAGUAUGAAGGAGGCGCUAUACCUCGUUCACUCGGCCAAUAUCACUUUUACAGAAAAGGAUUUAUUAAUAGGGACAACGCAUCAUUAUCGACCGUUAUAUAUGACCGGCACAAGUGACGGAGAAAGGAUGAACCACAUUUUAAUUGACCCUGGAUCUUCUGUGAACUUAAUGACGUUAAAAACUCUAAAGAGUCUGGCAAUGGAUGUCGGCUAUUUAAACUUAGAAAAAGUCGCAAUUCAAGGGUUCAACCAACACAGUCAAAAAGCCCUCGGGUCUAUUACCCUUCCGAUAAGGUUUGGGAAGUUGCAAACUUAGGCAAAAUUUUAUGUUAUCAAUGAAAAUACUUAAUAAGUUAUUGUUAGGAAGGCCUUGGUUGCAUAAAUAUCACGUAGUUCCGUCUACCCUUCAUCAGUGCUUGAAAUAUAUAAAAGAUGGUGAGAAAUAUAGAAUUGGUUGUGAUAUUCGACUAUUUGGAGUUCACGAAAUUCGAUAUGAAGAUGCAAGAUAUUUUAUAGAAUCAGAAGAUACAGAAGAAAAUCGUACCCUAUCGAGAGAACAAUCCUCUAAAAAGAAGAAACUUGUAGACGAAAUUAAGAGGGAGUCAACAGUGCCACAUUUCAAAAGUGACCCGGAUAGCUCCGAUCUCGAUGAAGAUGAGUUAUGUUGGGCUAUGAAGCUUCUUUCAAGCAAUUUGAAUACCCUUGAAGUCAAAAGCUCGUGAGAAGAUGAACAUCACUUUACAGCUUAUGUCAGGACUGAUAGAAUGAUUGCAAAAGCCUCUAACCUGGUGGAAGAUACAUUGGCAAUUCUCAAGGUUCCAGAAAAAUGCUACAAACUCAUUUCUGCAAAACGGGUUUCUUUUGUGGAUCAUUUAAAAACUUUUUUGUCCCGCUAAAGAUAGAAAAUAUUGAAGGAAUGAGAAUAGUAAAAAGAGGAAUCCUUUUUUAUAAAUCAGACGAUCAAAAAUCCACUGAUGUCAUCAAACCGGAGGAUUAUGAUAAUGAUAUAUACGAGGAUAUAGAAAUUCCAAAUUAUUUCUCAGCUAGCUUGAAAAAGAUGAUACACAAGUUAGGUUGCCCCACAAGGAGGUCUUGGGCCAACCACAAAGUCCUUUAACGAAUAUGGAAUCCACCUCAAAGAAGAUCCGUACUCCCAAAUGGCAAAUCUAGCAAUACAAGAGGCCUAGGAUGUUACAAAAGUUCCACUUACCAAGAUAUCUAUACCUGUAAUAUGAUCAAUGCAAAUGAGGAUAUUGCUGAACAUUUGGUCGAUGAACAAAAAUCUCUUGAACCAAAAGAUGCAUCUCAAGAGCUUGAAGAUGGGGGAUAAGCAACUGUAGACGAACUUCUCGAGAUAAAUCUGGGGACAGAAGAAGACCCCAGACCCACUUAUAUAACUGCACUAGUUCCAGAAGAAGAACAAGAGAAGCUAAAGGCAUUGCUAACAGAAUUUAAAGAUUGCUUUGCGUGGAGUUAUAAAGAAAUGCCAGACCUUAAUCCAGAGGUGGCUGUUCACAAGCUAGCUAUAGAUUCUCAAGCUCAUCCAGUCAAACAAGCACCUAGGAGGAUGAGGGUGGAUCUAGAAGAGCAAAUAAUUGUGGAAACCAAAAAGCUCAUUGAGGCAGGCUUUAUAAGGGAGGAGAAAUAUGCUAACUAGACUGCUAGCAUUGUUCCGGUCAAGAAGAAGAAUGGCCAAAUUCGUAUAUGCGUCGAUUUUCGGGACUUAAAUAAAGCUUGCCCAAAAGAUGACUUUCCAUUACCAAUAACGGAACCAAUGAUUGACAAUAUCUCAAGUUGCGAGCUAUUCUUGUUUAUGGAUGGCUCAUCAAGAUAUAAUCAAAUCAAGAAGGCGCCGGAGGACGAGAAGCAUACUGCAUUCAAAACUCCUAUUGGGAUAUAUUGUUAUAAAGUCAUGCCUUUCGGCCUCAAGAAUGCCAAAGCUACAUAUCAGCGGGCAAUGACUAGAAUAUUUGAUGAUCUACUCCACAAGACAGUGGUGCUAUGUCGAUGAUUUGGUUGUGAAAACAUAGAACAAAGAAAAUCACUUCCAAGAUCUAACCACUGUCUUCACCCGAUUGAGAGAGUAUCAGUUAAAAAUGAACCCGCUCAAAUAUGCAUUCGGAGUCUUUUCUGGUAAAUUUUUAGGGUUCAUUGUAAGGCAUAGCGGAGUAGAAAUCGAUCCUUCAAAAAUUAAAGCUAUUAUGGAGAUGCCUCCUCCAAAGGAUUUAAAACAACUUCGAUCCUUUAAGGAAAGAUUAGCAUAUAUCAAGAGAUUUAUUUCAAAUCUCUUGGUAGGGUCAAACCUUUCUCCAAACUAGUAAAGAAGGAUGCACUAUUUGUCCGGGACAUAAAAUGCCAAACAGCUUUCAAAGGCAUAAAAGGAUACUUAAUGAAUCCACCAGUACUCGCAGCCCCGAUACACGACAAACCCUUGAUAUUAUACACUGCAGCUCAAGAUGGGUCAUUGGGACCACUUUUGGCGCAAAAUAAUGAAGAAGGAAAAGAACAAGCUCCAUACUAUCUCAGUAGGAUGUUUGUGGGGGCAGAAAAUUCAUACUCACCAAUAGAAAAGCAUUGCUUAGCUCUUAUAUUUGCUGUCAAGAAGCUGAGGUAUUAUAUGCUCGAGCACAAAAUUUACUUAGUAUCAAAAGUCGAUCCGCUCAAAUUUUUAAUGACAAAACCCGUCUUGACUGGAAGGCUAGCAAAAUGGACAAUUAUCCUUCUAGAAUUUGACAUCACCUACAUACCACAAAAGGCUGUCAAGGAGCAAGCACUCGCUGAUUUUUUAGCAGCACACCCAGUACCUGACGGUUCAUCUUUGGUGUGCGAUCUACCAGAUAAAGAGGUAUUACUUGUUGAUGUUGAACAACCAUACUGGGAUAUGUAUUUCGAUGGAGCAUCUUUUAUUGAACCUGCAUAUAGCCCGGGUAUUCCGCAAGUAAGGGCGGGUGUCGGUCUAAUUUUUGUGACGCCAGAAAGAGGAAUCUUGUGGUACUCUCUAGCGCUUUCUGAUCCUCGUACAAAUAAUGAAGCUGAAUAUGAAGCCUUAAUUGCGGGACUAGAAAUAGCCAUCUUUAUGAAUAUACAACGGCUACACAUCUAUGGGGACUCUUAGUUAAUCAUUAAUCAAGUGAUGGGCGAAUAUAAAGUCUACAAGCCGGAAUUGACCAAAUAUCAGAAAAGGGUGCAAGAACUCAUAAAGGAAAUACCAAAUGUCACGCUGGAAAGGGUCUCUCGAGCUGUAAAUGGGAAAGUUGAUGCCCUAGCUAGAUUGGCUAAGGAGCUAGCUUAUCCCAAUCUUGAUGAAGUCCAUGUUACUAUCAAGAAUAGAAAGAUCCUGUCACCUACGAACUUAAAUCUCGAAGAAGAAUCUAAAGAAAUCCAGAAGGCAAAUGCGCUAAAAAUUGAAGUGGAAGAUGAUUGGAGGGAGCCUUUCAUUAAUUAUUUUAAACACAACAAACUCCCUGAAGAAAAGCCAAAACAAGUUAAGUUGAAAAAGGGGGCGAUGCAGUAUGCUUUCGUGAAUGAUACCUUCUAUAGAAGGUCUUAUGAUCAGUUAUGGUUGAGAUGUAUAUCACCAGAAGAAAUAAAACAGGUUAUGCAUGGAGUUCAUUCGGGUGUAUGUGGUGCCCACCAAUCUGGUCCCAAGAUGCGCCUCAAGAUUAAACACUUGGGCUACUAUUGGCCCACAAUGGUUCAAGAUUGUAUGGAAUAUGCUAGGAAAUGCCACCAAUGCCAAGUCCAUAGCGAUUUUAUUCACCAACAUCCGAACCCUUUACACCCAACAAUUACCUCUUGGCUGUUUGAUCUGUGGGGAACAGAUGUUAUAGGGCCAAUUAAUCCUUCCUCAUCCUGAGGGUACAAAUUUAUUCUCGCAGCAAUAGACUACUUCUCUAGAUGGGCUGAGGCUAUUCCUUUGAGAGAAGUUAAAGCGGAUAAUGUCAUAAAAAUUUUUAGAGAAAAUAUUUUGAACCGUUUCGGAGUUCCUCGUCGAAUUAUCUCUGACAAUGGCUCAGCCUUCAAAAGCUUUAAAGUUAGCAGAUUUGCCUCCCACCAUAAAAUCGACUGGCGAUAUUCGUCAAUUUAUAAUCCAAGAGCUAAUGGUUUGGCCGAAACUUUCAAUAAGACCCUGGUUAAACUUUUAAAGAAAAUUAUUGGUAAAAAUAAGAGGAAAUGGCACGACAAGAUUUCAGAUGCGCUCUGGGCUUACCGAACAACUUUUAAGACCCCCACUCAAGCCACACCUUAUUCUUUGAUUUUCAAAACUGAAGCUGUCCUUCCUCUGGAAAUAGAGCUGCCAUCACUAAUGUCACGCCCCAAGACCGCCAAUUUGGUCGGUUCGGAUCCGUACACAGACGCCGAACGAACAGAACCUCCUCUGUUCGCUUAAGGCUCAACAACAACAACUAAACAUGUGUAAUGAAAUGCCCAGAAAAAAAUUCAAUAUACAUGGCUCACACGAAGGUAAGCAACACAAGAAAGUGAAAGUAAACUAACUAAAUCAUUCAUGCAUUGUAUCUUGAUUACUUUAAAUCAAAUACAAAUCUUGCAUAAUUAUUACAUUCAUUCUUCCAACAUAUACAUCUGCCAUCUAUCAAAUGAAUAAUUUACAUUUGCUUUCAUCAACUAUAAAUAGAUGAAAUGUAUAAGGUACAACUAUACUCAAUGGAUGUAUGCUAUCUAUAGAGCGCUGUCCAAGUCACGAUCCUCAACCACCCGCACUAGCUAGAACCUGCAUGGUUAGUGGGGUGAGAACUACUGAAAGUUCCCAGUAGGUUCGGUUGCCGACCUCGCCGUCUCCCCCACUAGGUUUACUCAGGCAUAUGUUGAAAAGAAAAAGAACAGAUAGUAACUAACUAUAUUAUGUAGCUACUACAAUGCCUGUACAAAGCUGAAAGAAACAAUAUAUAACAUGUGAAAUUUAUGCAUGCCUGCUAUCAUAUACUAUUACCCAAUCAAUCUGGUUAACCAUUUGGUUAACUAUAACUCACCAACUCAAUCCCUACUAUCGGGGAGACGUCUGCUACAACUCGACGGGACCGUUUACUGGGGAGCACAUACUUGCUUCCCACCCAGUUGAUGACCACUCCGAAGCUCAUCGCCCAAGGAGGAGCGACCUUACCUCGAGUAUUAGACUAAUAUGAGUAUGAUCCAAUCGUCAUUUUGAGGAUACAAUGACAAUGCCACACUUUAACUAGCUCUUUAUGCUAGGUUUACAUGUUCAACUCUGAUUGCUAAUCAAUUCAUCUAGUUCUAAUGCCACACAUUUUACAAGUUCAUUGUUCUUGUUUAACAUUCACAAUACUUGAUGCCACUCAUGCCGUCUAUUCAUAAUAUCACUUGUUAACUAUUGUCAUAGUCAAUCCUUGUUCAUACAACUAUAGGGUUCUAUGUUUACUAUCCACUGUUCACAAGUAUUUUGCUUCCAAAGCAUUCAAUUAGACCACAUGUCAUAUAUCAAACUCAACCCUAUAAUGCAUGAAUAUCACUAAACAUAUACAUUACAUGUAUGCUCAAGAAAGACGACAUAAACAUAAUAGGCCAUUUGAUGACUUCGGAAAGCACCACCCAUCUUUAAAUGAUGCCAAGAUGCGAGAAAACUACUUCCCGCGAUUUAUGAAUGAUCCAAACCUUCGCUCGCGACAAACGAAGCUAAAAUGAGAUUUUUUCCUAACUAGCUUGCCGUAAGCUCGUCGGAACGCCGAUCUGAGCUUUCCAACGCGUCGGUUUUAUCCCCAAUUAGGUUUCUACACGAUCAAUACCAAGCUAGGCCUUUAAUCCUACAAGAUUGCGUUUUUAAGCUUUAGCUUAAUAAAAACUGUUUCUUUAUAGGUUUUAUAAGAACCUAUAGAUUAAUCCAAAUCUUAAUAACCCAAGAACCUCAAAACUAAAUAGUUUAGAGGAUUUACAUCAAUUCCUAACCAAAAAUCUGCAGGAUACUUGCUUUACUCCCAGCUGCCAACCUUCAUACAUGAUAUACAUAGCUUUUCUAUAAUUUUCAUGGCAACUUCAAGCCUUAGCAGCCCAAUAAACCCAAACUAAAUCCUCUUUAGAGUAGUCACAAUAAUCCCUAACAAAGAGAUCUCACAAACUUACCUCAGGUUUCAGGUUUUAACAAGUUACUUCUCAGCUGCCAACAUCCACAUGUAGGCUAUCCAUAGUGCAAUUACCAGCUUUCUACAUAGCAAUUUAAACUCCUAUAUGUUGUGAGCCUAUGAUUUUCUCUAAGGUCUUUCAUGGCAAAUAGGCUCUAUAGCAAUUAGAAACUCUAGUAAUCAAGAAUUCCAUUGUUUCACUCUUUUUUAUAGCAUAAAUAACAUCACUCUAACCAGGAAUGCACCUCACCUAGCCUCAAAUUUCGGCUACCAACUGAAUUCACAUAGUUCUACUAGGUUUCUUCAUAGAAUAACAUGCUAAUGGCAAGUUCUAAUCUGUAAUAGACCCAAAACUCAACCCUUUAUAUAUAAAAUAGACAUCAUAAGCCUAACCAAAAACAGCAAGCCUACCUCAAAUCUCAGCUUCAACCGGUUGCUUUCCUACUCCUAAAGCUCCUUCUCAGUUCAAAACUGCACUUUCAUCAAGAGCUUUCUUCAAACCCAUCCAUCGUUGGUUUAGACAGAGAGGAAGAAAGAAGUGAGAAGAAAAGAAAAGAGAGAGAGGUGGAUACAUAUGGAAGCUAUUGGAGGGUUGCUGGUUUAGAGAUAAGACCAGACAAAUGCCAAAAAUCCCUCCACAAAACAGGAAUUAACUCUUCUACAAAGCAGGAAUUCUGUUUAUAAAAUAGUCCCUGCAGCUUUUACAAAACAGUCUCUGCAGUUUCUUUUUGCACUUGACGGCGGCAGUAGCAGCAGCACUCAGCAGUAGCAGCAGCAAUUGCUCCUACGCCCUCACACAAUGCUGAAAUUUUGUUUUUACAUAUUGGUCCCUGCAGUUUUUUUUUAGUGCAAAAUCUGCACUUAGUGGCAGCUGGCAGCAGCAACAGCACACUCCGAAAUCGUUUUCUCGCAUCCACUACGUUCCGAACAUCUUCAAAUACUUCUAACACAUGCCCUUAUCAAUCCCCACGCCACCAAUUUAGCUAGGAAAUACCAAUUUACAUUCUUACAUUACUUUGAUCACUUUGAUCAAAGUUAGCUUCAGCUUCGGAGAUUCGAUAUAUGGUAUUCUAAACACCUUCAAAAUCUACCAUUAACCAUCCUCACACUUCCAAAAUAAUUAGGGAAUGUCACAAAUUAUACAUAUGCCUCACUUUGACCCAUUCAAUCAAAAUUAGCAUCGCAAUCCAAAAACUCUCUUUCGAGUUCAUUUCGCAUCCAAUUUGCACCGAAACAAUCAAUUACUUCCCAAAAUCAUUCCCACACCUCCAGAAUUACUCGGGAAAGAUGCACGUCCAGUUCAAACUUCACUUUGAUCCCCUAGAUCAAAGUUAGCAUUGUAACCUGAAAAUUUUCGUAUAUUACAAUCUCCUCCCGUUAACAAGAGUUUCGUCUGUGAAACUUAAAUACAUCUAUAGGCUCCUCUAUUCCUACUAAUGAGAAUAGUUUUCCACAUUACUUUUUUAAGUUUCAAAGGGUUUUAUACUCAAUACGUGUACUCCACUGCAUUAAUCUGAAGGCAAAAUAGUAAUGUGGAACUACUAUAUGCAAAAUAGUGUAAUUCUACAAUCUCUCAUUACAUUAAUUUGAAGGCAUAUCAAGUACUCUAUCCAUUCUUACUUUAGGGUGAAUGCCUUAUGCACAAUUAUGUAACAAAUUUGAAACAUGAUACUUAUUGUGCAAUCUUUCAACAUCAGUUGCCAUAUUUUUUAUAUUUCACCUUACCUAUACCUGAUGACAACAUCCCAAAAUGUCGCUUUCCAUUCUAACUCAAUAAUUCGUUUGCACACAGAACGGCGUACUCCUGUUACCACAUUCCUUCUAGGUAAAUUUUUUUUACCUUUACUGAUCAUGACUACAACACUCUUGAUUCCAGAGUGAUCUUUUCACUUAUCCUGCCCUCAUGAAUAGGGACUAAUCCAACUCUCAUUUAGGUAACAUACCUCAAACUGGCACUUGUUUCACAUAAUCAACACUUGUGCAAACUGUUUAUCAUACCCGUGUCAUCGUCAACUAUCAUUAUUGCCCCAAUUAUUCCUUGGUGAAACACACUUUGGUUUCCGACCGGCAUCGCUACAUGCGAUAUCUGAGCACAUCAUUCAAUCGCGAGUGCUCAACCACCCACGAGUUUCCACUCCUCAAUGAGAUGAUUCAUUCUAGCACAUCCAUCAACUCUAAUGAUUUGAGGCAUAGUCCUCUAAGAUCUCACGUGGCUUUCACUACACAACAAUCUCAAAAGAAUACUUUAUUUUACCAGCCACGUUCCACGCUAUAUCGACUUCUCAUCAUAAAUCUCGAUGAACACUUUGAUCAUGUCUCUAAUCUCAACUCAUCAUCAGCGCUUAAUUCGGCGAUUCAAAAUAGAUGAACAGUAGUACCGAGCCUUCGCUCACAAUGUCACUACUCUCGAUCCAUUGGGAUAAUUUCAACAUCUUCACUUCCGAAACAAUUGGCUAAACCUUUUGCCUCGAUUACUACAAGUGGUCCAUAACCAUCGAUCCGACAUAGGCCUAUCACCUAACACGAUCACAAUAUCACUCAGCGUAUCUUGCUCGCAAGCGUAGACCCAAUCAUCACAAGGCAGAGUCCUCAUUUGAGACCUCACACACCUACUCCAACCAGGAGCAAUUCAAAUCCCGAAUCACUACAAAUCUUAGGGUUGGUCAAACUUACACUUUCGGUACAUCACUAAUCACUCGAUCAAAUACGUGGCACACCACGUCUCCAGAUCCAAGCUCGGACUACCAUCUUGACCGAAAUCUCUGCCCUAUCCACAAAUAUCGGGCCGCUGCCACACAAAGCUAACUGCGCGUAUCCAAAUGGCCCUAGGCCUCACAGCGCACGCAUGGCCCAGGCACAGAUCAUCCAUAAGCAAUAUCCAUAAUCGUCGUCACCCACAACAUGCUCACAAAGCAACCCACAUCUUUAUUGGCUCUUACGCAUCUAGUGCGAGCCACCAGCGCCACGAGUGAUCCAUGACACACUUCACACUUAGCAACGCUCAAGUGCUACUGCCAACACACUCUCGACUGAGUCACAAUCCACACUCUACGGACACCUACACUUAAGCGUCCUACACCAUCACAUUUUUCACUAAACAUCACACGCUAGGCAACUCAACCUAUGCCCACAAUACACAAACACAAAUUCCCUCAUCUAUUUGAGGUACAACCCGACUAACUCGCCAAAACCAAGCGAUCGUCUAACCAACUUACGCACUAAGGACGCUAUUACCACUACGCGAUCCAUCAGAAUAUCAUUCGAAUUCUCGAGCUUUAGAGCGUCUUUCAACGCUCUGACCUGACUUUCACUAUCACUUUUAAUACCUAAAAAGGUCAGUUCACCAGUUCCAUUUGCAUUCUGAGCCCUAACAUUGGCUCACUACAAACCACUCAUUGGCACCAUCCAACUACCUAUUCAAACAAUAGGCGGUACAUUUCUACCAUCUACAUAUGCUAGGGUAUUAUCCACCCAAACCUAAGUCUCUAUAACAUUCUUGCACGUACUACUCGGAGUUCACAUCAUCCUCAAGCACACAGCCUUCUCAUAGGAGUCAAUCUACAACCGUUCUCAUUCUGCUUUCUGUGCCACAAAGCCAGGAUGCCACAUUACCUGACUUCACAGCCUUUUGAAGCUCAUUGAUCCAAUCCGCAAAACACAAGACAGCCUCCUGCUAACAUUGCAUCACAAUAACUCACCGCCACAGCACUACCACGAGUGUGGUCAACCUAUCCUAGAGCUUCAAGUUUCCUCCAAGCUCGGUCAGUUCAGGGACUUCACCAAUCCCAAACCACAUCGACCUCCUUAGAGAUCGGCUACACAAUACCACUAAACACACAACAACUUAACUAAUUUUUGACCUUCAAGGUGAAACACGAAACGACUAUCGUCAAUCCAUACUCAAAUCAGGCGAAAGUCAUACAAGGGAGCCUAUUCUCAUCACUCAGUUUCAUGUUGUUGCGCACCAACAUGAACACACCCUGUUGAGAAUAAAUUACACCUUGGAUUCACCUCUAACAUCCUUUUUAGACGUAUACAACACACGACCCAAUCGGUUUAACCUUUCACCACAUAUCAAGAUUCUCAUCUCUUAUGAACCUAGAUCCUUAUGGUUUUCCAUCCUAAGGUCCCUAGGUCCAUCCUAUACUUUCACAUGCAUUGCUCUAAUACUAUUUAAUCUGUCACGCCCCGAGACCGCUAAUUUGGUCGGUUCGGGUCCACACACAGAUGCCGAACGAACAGAACCUCCGCUGUUCGCUUAAGGCUCAACAACAACAACUAACAUGUAUAAGAAAAUGCCCAGAAAAAAUUUCAAUACAUGGCUCACAUGAAGGUAAGCAACACAAGCAAGAGAAAGUAAACUAACUAAACCAUUCAUACAUUGUAUCUUGAUUACUUUAAAUCAAAUACAAAGCUUGCAUAAUUAUUACAUUCAUUCUUCCAAUAUAUACAUUUGCCAUCUCUCAAAUGAAUAAUUUACAUUUGAUUUCAUCAACUAUAAAUAGAUGAAAUAUACAAGCUACAACUAUACUCAAUGGAUGUCUGUUAUCUAUGGAGCGCUGUCCAAGUCACGAUCCUCAACCACCCGCACGAGCUAGAACCUGCAUGGUUAGUAGGGUGAGAAUUACUGAAAGUUUCCAGUGGAUUCGACUGCCGAACUCGCCGACUCACCCACUAAGUUUACUCAGGCAUAUGUAGGAAAGAAAAGGAACAGAUAGUAACCAACUAUAUCAUGUAGCUAAUACAAUGUCUGUACAAAGCUGAAAGGAACAAUAUAUAACAUGUGAAAUUGAUGCAUGCAUGCUAUCAUAUUCCAUUACCCAAUCAAUCUGGUCAAGCCUUAGCCGCUCAAUAAACCCAAACUAAAUCCUCUUUAGAGUAGUCACAAUAAUCACUAACAAAGAGAUCUCACAAACUUAUCUCAGGUUUCAGGUUUCAACAAGUUACUUCUCAGCUACCAAUAUCCACAUGUAGGCUGUCCAUAGUGCAAUUCCCAGCUUUCUACAUAGCAAUUUAAACUCCUAUAUGCUGUCAGCAUAUGAUUUUCUCUAAGUUCUUUCAUGGCAAAUAGGCUUUAUAGCAAUUAGAAGCUCUAGUAAUCAAGAAUUCCAUUGUUUCACUCUUUUUUAUAGAGUAAAUAGCAUCACUCUAACCAGAAAUUCACCUCACCUAGCCUCAAAUUUCAUCUACCAACUGAAUUCACAUAGUUCUACUAGGUUUCUUCAUAGAAUUACAUGCUAAUAGCAAGUUCUAAUCUCCAAUAGAUCCAAAACUCAACCCUUUAUAAAGUAGACAUCAUAAGCCUAACCAAAAACAGCAAGCCUACCUCAAAUCUCGUCUUCAACAGGUUGCUUCCCUACUCCUAAAGCUCCUUCUCAGCUCAAAACUACACUUUCAUCAAGAGCUUUCUUUAAACCCAUCCAUGGUUGGUUUAGAAAGAGAGGAAGAAAGAAGUGAGAAGAAAGGAGAAGAGAGAGAGGUGGAUACAUAUGGAAGCUAUUGGAGGGUUGCUGGUUUAAAGAUAAGACCAGACAAGUGCCAAAGGCCCCUUCACAAAACAGGAAUUAACUCUUCUACAAAGUAGGAAUUCUGUUUACAAAACAGUCCGUGCAGCUUUUACAAAACAGUCCUUGCAAUUUCUUUUUGCACUUGACGGCAGUAGCAGCAGCAGCAGCUCUCGGCAGCAGCAGCAAUAGCAGCAGCAGCAGCAGCACUCAGCAGCAGCAGCAGCAAUUGCUCCUACGCUCUCACACAAUGCUGAAAUUCUAUUUUUACAGAUUGGUCCCUGUAGUUUUUUUUUUUAGUGCAAAAUCUGCACUUAGCGGCAGCUUGCAACAACAAUAGCACACUCCGAAAUCAUUUUCUCGCUUCCACUACGUUUCGAGCACCUCCAAAUAAUUCUAACACAUGCCCUUAUCAAUCCCCACGCCGCCAAUUUAGCAAGGGAAUACCAAUUUACAUUCUUGCAUUACUUUGAUCACUUUUAUCAAAGUUAGCUUCACCUUCGGAGAUUCGAUAUAUUGUAUUCUAAAGACAUUCAAAAUCUGCCAUAACCAUCCUCACACUUCCAAAAUGAUUAGGGGAUGUCACAAAUUAUACAUAUGCCUCACUUUGACCCAUUCAAUCAAAAUUAGCAUCGCAAUCCAAAAACUCUCUUUCGAGUUCAUUUCGCAUCCAAUUUGCACUAAAACAUUCAAUUACUUCCCAAAAUCAUUCCCACACCUCCAGAAUUAUCCGGGAAAGAUGCACGUCCAGUUCAAACUUCACUUUGAUCCCUUAGAUCAAAGUUAGCAUUGUAACUUGAAAAUUUCAGUAUAUUACAACUAAGGAUGGCGGUUCAAUACGAAAUGACAAACGAAGAAAAUAUUCUUUUGAGACUCGAUGAAUUGGAUUCAAUGGAUGAAAUGCGAUUGGCUGCGCAAUAGAACCUAAAACUUUAUCAGUCUCAAAUGUCAAGGGCUUACAACAAACUAGCACAUGUCCGAACUUUUCAGGGAGGAUAUUUAGUACUAAUUCACUGACGGCCUAUAAUUAUAAACAAAUAUGCUGGGGGCAAAUUUGAUCCAAAUUGGGAAGGUUCCUAUGUUAUAGAAAAAGUGAGGGAGGAACUUAUCAAUUAAUCGAUGCAAAAGGAGAAAUGCCGAAGCCACCGAUCAACGGACGAUUUUUGAAGAAAUACUAUCCGUAAAAAAAAAAAAAAGGAUAAAAGAAGAGAAAUCCGGCUAUGAAUAAAUUUCACGGGCAAAAAUGGAAUCCCUGCUGUGAGAAAACCUGCAUUUGGCUCACAGGCAAAAGUUAGGGGAAAGGUUUCUAGCAAAAACCCUCAUAGGCGCAGUUUCCAAUAAACCUAAAAUCCACACUUUUUUCUGCCGAUGAUGGAAUGCUAACUCACCCUUUGGAGUCGGUUAUGCGCAGCAAUCUCGAUAUACCGAGUUGCUUACGGAGGCCAAAUAAACUCAACAAUAUUCUUUGUUUUCCCUGCCGACGAUGGAAUGCUAACUCACCGUUUGGGGUCGGUUAUGCGCAGCAAUCUCGAUAUACUGAGUUGCUUCCGGAGGCCAAAUAAACUCAACAAUAUUCUUUGUUUCCUCUGUCGACGAUGGAAUGCUAACUCACCCUUUGGUAUUGGUUAUGUGCAGCAAUCUCGAUAUACCGAGUUGCUUCUGGAGGCCAAAUAAACUCAACAAUAUUCUUUGUUUUUCUUGCCGAUGAUGGAACGUUGACUCACCCUUUGGGGUCGAUUAUGCACAGCAAUCUUGAUAAACCGAGUUACUUCCGGAAGCCAAACAAACCCAAGAAAAUUCAAUUUUCCUUUAUUGCCGACGAUGGAAUGCUAACUCAUCUCUUCGGGGUCGAUUAUGCGCAGUAAUCUCGAAACACAGAAUUGCUCCUGGAGGUCAAACAAACUCAACAAAAUUCUUUAUCUUUCGCGCCAAUAAAAAAAAAUACUAGUUCAGCAUGUGAGGUUGAAUGUGCAAACAGAUAUCAGCAAACUGACUUUUUUCCCAAAAAAAAAGAAAAAAAGCAAAGAGAGAAUAUGUGAAAGGAAGAGAUAAUAAAAAGGGUUUGCACCUUUUUCUGCUCGCAAAAACACUCGCAGCAAAAGGUGGGGGGCAUUUUGUUUGAGUAAAAAAAAAAAGAAAAAUAAAAAAUAAUAAUAAUAAAAGGGGAAGAAAUGAAAAAAAAAGAAGAAGGAAAGAUAUAAAGAUUAAAAAAAAAAAAUCCCACCUCUUUCCAAAAAAAAAAAAACAAAGGAAAGAAAAGAUUCUAAGAAAAAAGAGUAAAAAAAAUCCAUAUCUUAUAUGGUCAAGGUACCAUUCCUUUUUGAAUUCUUUUUUGAAUAGUUUCCCAAAAAAAAAAAAAAAAGAAAAAGAGAAGUCAUUAGAGUUUAAUAUAAGUUGGCCUCUUUAAAAAAAAAAAAAAAAAAAAAANNNNNNNNNNNNNNNAAGGAGAGAGAACCGAAAGAGAAGAAAAAAAAAGAAGAACAGAAAGAAGAAGAAAAAAGAAAAGAAAAAAGGUGAAAAAAGAAAAGUUUUUUUUUAUACUCUCCCUCCCCCUCUCUCUCUCUCUCUCUCUCUCUCUCGCUCGCUCGCUCGCUCUCGCUCUCUCGCUCUCGCUCUCUCGCUCGGAUGCAUGCAUGAGGAGGGGGAAACCCCCUCCUUGACACGCUAGCAGAGGGAGUGCCAUGUGCACCCCCCCACCCCCUUUGUCCGUACCACAACAAAAGAAAAAAGAAAAAAAAAGGAUUCGGCUCUUGCAUUCGACGACAACGGCGACAACGACAAUCACGACAACUUUUACGACAAUAAGAGAUAUGCAUGCAUACGAAUAGCGUAAGUGCGAUUUUCUUGUCGGUUUGAUCAACCCGACCAUCUUCGUGAUAGGUUUCGAACCGAUCAAAUUUGACAUCAAAUCGUCACAUCCGCCGUGCGUAUGCAUCGCUAAUCUCUAAACCGUGCGGCCAUCUUCGCGAUAGGCUUGACAUGGUCAAAAUGAUUGAUCGAACACCGGAUAUUUUUCUACGUAAAUCGUGCGGCCAUUUUCGCGAUAGGCUCGACAUGGUCAAAAGGGUUGAUCGAGCGGCCAUCUUCGUGAUAGGUUCGACGCAAUCAAGCCUGUUUAUUUUACUACGUAAACCGUGCGGCUAUCUUCGCGAUAGGCUCAACAUGGUCGAAAGGGUGAAUCGAGCGGCCAUCUUCGUGAUAGGCUCAACACGAUUAAACCCCGCGUACUUGAGCAAAACGUGAUAAAAAAAUAUACAAUAAUAAAAAUGAUAAUAAAAAAAAAUGAAUGUAACAUAUCAGAUUUUGGUAUAAAAAUAAAAAUAAAUAAAAAUAGUGUGUGAUACUACUUUUAUUGGAUUUAGAGGAGUAAAACAUAAGUAAGAAGUGACUUGUGCAGAAAUCGGGAUGAAAACAGAAGAUCUAGAAUUUUCUGUUGGAAACGGGACAGAUAAAUUAGCAGAAAAUGCACAGUCUCAGAAAAUUAUAAAAAUUGGAGGAUAAGUCGAAAAUAUUUUUAGGAGGCUAGAUUUAAAGUUUCAUAUUAUUCUGACACCCGUAGAGUGAGAAAUAAAAUUCGAUAGCUAUCUGAUAAAGAUUACAGUUCGGUACAAUUUUCAGUGACCAAACGAGGUCGAAACUGAAAAUUUAAGAUAUAUUCUUACUCAGUACAUUAAACCGAGCCUGCCUGUCAAAUUUGAGCUCAAACGGACAUUCAGAAGGGCUCCAAUUGUUCCGAACUGCUAAACUGCUGCCCGAGGUGAAUAGUGAAUAGUUGAGGGGCUGAUUUGUAAAAAGGGAUUUAAUCCCUUUUCUUCUUCUUCCUCCCAGCCGCACACCACACACGCACACACACAACACACACGCAUGGAAAGGAAAAGAGAACCCUCCUUUCUCUCUCUAAAUCUCUCCCAAAAGAGAGGGUUUUGGUGGAGAUUGAAGCUCAAGGAUGGAUUUUCAUCUUCUCCAUCUUCUUCCUUGCAUGAGAAGCAAGCUUUGAAGGUAAGCUCCAAAACCCUUUAAUGGUGUCUCCUUGUAGUUUGGGUUUUAAGCUUCAAGAAUGGAUUUAGAGCUAUUCUAGCAUGCUAAAGAGAUGAUUGUUGCUUAAAUCAUGGAUCAAUUUAAUGAUUUCUUGCCUAGUUUUAAACCUAGGGCUUGAAAUGAGUUUUUUUGAACCCUCUCAUGGUAGAUCUUUAAAGCUUCAUUUAUAAUCCAUAGAAAUGGUUUAUUUGGAGUCCUAGCAUGCUAAAUAGAGGGUAAAUGUUAGAACCUAGGAUCAAUUUAGUUAAUUCUUGCAAUAGAUGAAACCUAGGGUUCAAAAUGCAAUUUUUGAAAAUAUAAGGGUUUGAUCUAAUUUGACCCUUUGUAAACCUAAUUGCUAGGUAAACAAACGCGUUGGCGAAGUCAGUUCGGCGAUUCGUCGAGCCAUUGCGAAGUUAUUAAAGAAACGGACGUUUAGGCUUCGUUUCCGCCUGGAGGGCCGAGGCGACAUCGUAAACUCAUGAAAAUGGAUUUGAAGCACCGUGGCGCAUAACCGAAGACCCAUAAUUCUCGGUGCCGCGAUUCGACGCACGGUUGGUGAGCAUUAGUAAAGUCGGGCCGAACCGGGUGCCGGGUGCCGUGGGAGGCCGAUUGCAAGUGUCGACAAGCAAUCGGAAUGCGAAAUAAGGUGGGUUGUGCUCACCGAAACGACUAGGUCGCCUAUAUGUCUAAGAGUAAUGGUUCUCUAGUUGAUGCAUAUAGUUGUGUUGGUAGGCUUAUAUAAUGAUAUGAAUGCUUGAAACAUACUAUGUAGUUGAGAUUACCUACCAAUGAGAUGAGAUGCAUAAUGAAUUAAAUACUAAAAGAAUGCAUGAGAUGCUUAGUAUGAACUAUUUUGGAUAAUGACUAUAUGUAUGUUGACAUAUCAUGUGAUGCUAGUGGUAUAUGUGCAUGAUGACAUAUUAUGAAUUAACAUAUUGUGGAUUAUGUUAAAUAGAAAAACAUACUUGAUGACAUAUUGUCAUAUUGUGGAACAUAGUAGAUGAAAAUGUAUGCAUGUUGAUAUACCUUGAGAUAUGAGUUGAUAUAUAUGCAUGUUGAUGUAUUGUGGACUACGUUAAAUAACAUAUGCAUGUUAAACUUGGGUCUAUACCUCUUGGAUGGUUAGAAAACUCGAUGUUGAAAAAUAAUGACGUAUGAACUAUGAUAUGCGACGUGGACAAUCUAUAUAUAUUAGAUCGAGUGGCAUAUGAUUAGUAUAGUGGAAACACUUAUGACAUGUUGAACACUUAGAAAACAAGUAUGGCAUGAGUCCAAGAAUAUAGUAGUGUAUAUGACACAAGUGAUAGUAAAGAAUGCAAAGAAAAGAAUGAUUGAAAUAUUAUGACAUUUCAACCCUAGAGUUAGGGUCAUUUGAACAUAGUCUUUCUAAAGUUAAGGAAUUGAUUGAACUUGGAGUCCUCAAAUGUAGGAUUGAUCAUACUCACUUUUAGUCCUUGCUCGAGGUUGUGGUAACUCUCCCUCGGGCGAUGUGCUCCGGAGUCGACAUCACUGGGUUAUAGCGAGUAUCUCCCCAGAAGACGGUCCCAUCGGGUCGUAGCGAGUAUCUCCCUGAUUAUUGGGAUUUUGAGUUUGUGAGUUUGUUGAGGGCAAAACCUUCGGGUUAGCCAAGAGAUUGGGUAACAAGCACAUGAGUUGUAGCAAUAUCCUAGUUGAGUGGACUUAAGGCUGAGGUGCAAGUGAGACGUCCUUCGCCUCGAGCCUGGCUUUAUGCGGUACUCUGCGAAUGAUUGACUCGAGACCGAGUCGUGUGGAUAGUUGAUAAAGGUAAAUGAGACCAUAUGAUCAGAAUUGUAAUUGAUAUGAAUUUAAAAUAGUGGAAUAACUUCGAAGUCAAUUGAAUGAGCUUUGAAUAGCAGGAUUAAAGUAGUAUCGAUUGAACUACUAAUUGGUUGCAUAAAUCGCAUGAUUUUCAUAUUGCAUAGUUGUGAGGCAUGACAUGUAUUUCAAUUAUCGCAUAUAUAUAUAUGUUGGAUAUUUGUUGGACUAACAUGUUGCAGUGCCUCCUUGGACCUGUGGGUCGAGCUCUUCCCUUGGGUGGCCGUACCCACUGGGAACUAUAUUUAUAUAGUUCUCACCCCCGUGUUGUUUUUGGGGGUACAGGUUCCCACGUGAGCGGCGCGGCGGCGCGAGGAGAGGGCGUAGCUCCGUAGAUAGCGCCCUACCACCGAGACCAGAGAUAGCGGUACCCUGAGUCGGCCUUUACUUAGGGAUGUAAGAAAAUGAAAAGAAUCAAGUUGUAAUAAUUUGUAAUAAAAGCUUGAUUGUAUUUGGAAGUUAAAUGUAAUGUGUAAUUAUGAUGUAAAAUAUAUCUAGUGGAUGUGAAUGCUUGUAAUAGCAAGUAAAUUAUGUUUUUGAUACUUCCUUAUGCAAUCUUUGAUUGAAAUGUGUUCCUAGUUGGAACUUUGUAUAUUGUAUUGAUUGCGACGCCUUGAACAUACAGGGGAGACACUGUCCGCGGUACCGUGGAA